GAGGGUGACCAGGGUUGUGACCAUAAUGUGGUGGCUUCUCUCCCUUAGGUGGUUUGCCAACUGGGGUUGGUGGCUUGUAUGAGUCUUCAGCAUUCUCAGCAGGAGGGUGACCAGGGUUGUGACCAUAAUGUGGUGGCUUCUCUCCCUUAGGUGGUUUGCCAACUGGGGUUGGUGGCUUGUGUUCUGGGAGUGGCUUCUCCCCCUUGGGAGGUUUUUCCAAUGGGGUUGGUUUGUGUUCAGGAGGUGGCUUCUCCACUGGAGGCUUGUGUUCAGGAGGUGGCUUCUCCACCGGAGGCUUGUGUUCAGGUGGUGGCUUCUCCACCGGAGGCUUAUGCUCUGGUGGUGGCUUCUCGAAUGGGGGAUGCUUAGGAUAAUCAGCAAGUGAGGGGGCGGUGAGAACCACCAGGCCAAGCAACACCACUAGCAAAUAUGUAGGAGACAUCUUUGGGUUUGGGCUCAGAUGGUGCAAAACUAGGAGAAUUGGCUAGCCUUUUAUAGCGGAUCGUACCCAAUAAUGAAAUGACACGUGUCAUUAUGACCCAUGUGUAAUGGGGUCGAUUUGGGUCCUACAGUGUUGAAAACUUCGACAUCCACUUUUGGCCUUUUGCUUUCUCUACAGCCGCCUUGCUUUUUCCCUCUUUCCUUUUGUUUUCCUCCUGCCCCAUUCUAUCAACUAAACACAAUUAUGUAGUUGUUUAAUUCUUAAAUGAGAUAUUAUCCGUCAAUCGUAUUAUAUUUUAUCAAGAGAGAACGGAGUGCAAUGUGGCUGUAAUUUUAUCGUUUAGUUUUAUCUCUUGGACCACUGCAUUUUUGUUAAGAGGUGCAAUAAUACACGUCUUUAUCUGCCAUUCAAUAUUUACAGUAAAGAGAGGGCACAAAACUCUUCACUUCGCACCAUAAUUAUUUUGUUUUCUGGACACCCCGGGGCCCUUUGGUUGGUUUGGGGGUCAGAAAGUGAACAUCAUAGGGGGUUUUUCCCUUAUGUGCAUUUGUAUCUGAUGGCUUUAACUCGCCUUGUUACUACAAAGAAACUGUCACAGAUAGGAACUUAUUCCAGGCUGAGUAUCUCCUCAUAGACCCUAUAAAAGAAGACAAGUCAUAAUGAACAUCUAACCUUUGUUCAAUUUGAUUCAAUGCCCCCAUUGUGUCCAUCUCACAAAUCUGAAUUAUUAUAUCCAUUGAAUACAUAAAUUAAUGAAGAAAAUAUGAAACCCAAGAUACAUCUCUGCACAACCUCAACCCUGGUUGCUAUGUUUCCCUUCUAUUCACAUGAUUUGAUGCUAAUUGCCAAACUUGCAACAAGCCCUGAGUUUGACACCUAGUAUCGAUGGGCGAAUUUAAAGUCUCCUCCAAACAUAUAUUCCACAGCUUGAAGCUCACAGAAGAUGUUACAGGCAGGGAAAAACCUUCAGAGUUCGCUACCAAAGAUAAUUAUUAAGGAGAUAUCACAAAGAGAAUUCCAAGGGGUCUGAAUCAAAGACAAAUUGGUCGUUCGUGGGGGUUCUUACUUUCUUUUGGGUAUAACUCACUGAGGGCACUGUCUUUGUUAUUUGCAUUUCACAUUUAGAGUUCUGUUCUGGAAACAUAUAAAAGGAGCAUCAUUUUGUUCUUGGGUAACCCAUAGUCGUGAGUGGGUCCAUUUGCAUGCUACUUAGUUGAAAAGUUGGACCAUUUGCUCCGACGCCUACCUCCCGGAUUCCAUGCUCGGAUAAAACAAGAAUAAAAAAAAUAUUUAUAAUUUACAAAUGGGGGAAAGAAAAAAAUGUCAACAACAAACCAGGAAAAAAGAGUAGUAAAAUUCAUGUCACAUGCUAGUGAGAGAAGGGGUUGUUACACUCACUCGAAGUUCUUUCCAAAAUAUCGCAUGGUAUUUUAUUUUAUGUGUCAGCGCAGUUGUGAAUGGAACGUGCAAAAGUCCAAAUUGGCGUUUUUCCUUUUCCCGUGUAGGAUGGCGACCUUUAAUAAAUAUUUAAAACAAAAAACGAAAAAAAGGAGGGAAAAGGGAUCAGAAAAGAUAAAACAAUGUGUACAAGAGCUCAAUUAGUUUGCAAAUUACUGUUUGGAUUUUGAUAGUAUUUUAUUUGUCCAUCUAUAUUUGAUGGAAAAGAGAAUUUAAGAUAUUUCUGAAACAAAAGCAUUAGUGUAAAACUAAAUUAAGGUAUAAUUAAGUUAGUUCAAUGCAUUAAUUUAAGAAACUUGAUCUAUCCAAAGUACAAAAUUAGAUGAAAUCCAUUUCAAUGGUUAAAAUGAUCAAAAUCAAACUUUUUCUAAGUAUUUUUUAAAAGCAUCAAUAUUAAAAGACAAUUUUAUAUUUAGUCGGAGUUUGGACAAAACCAAAAAGCACACAAAAUCCAAGCGACCAUCUCUAGCUUGGAUAGUCACUUGAUCCCACCUAGAGAUGUGCAUGAGUAAAAGGAUUUGAAAAUGGAAAUUGACUAAAUAUUUAGUUGAUCAAUUAAAUUUGCAAUGUCAUAUGCAAUCCUAAUAGCUAGUCAUCUAAUCAAUUAGGUAGUCAAUCAAGUGUUUGUAAUGACUAUUUUGUACAAAAAACCACAUGUAUAGUUAAAUAUAAUGCAUUUCAUUUAUAAAUCUUCUAAUUCUUGAAUAACGAUCCUAUCAUCCUUUGAAAAUUUUUAUUACACCUUUUUUACUUUUGUUCUAAAACUUACAUAUCACCCUUAAUUGUACCAUGAGAACCUAGCUAUUUUUUUUUUUUUUGUAAUUCAUCAAAGUUAGCUUUUGUAUUCAUUGUUGUAUUAUUUUUAGUAUAACUUAGAAAGCUAGUGUUUUCAAGUGAGUAAAAUUAACUUGUAAAUAUUGUAAAGAUUCAUUGAUAUGUAUCUUAAACUAAGUGUACAAAUUAAAACAUUUGCUAGUAGAUUUUCUCAAAAUUUAGAAUAGAGCUUGAGGCUAUUGAAAUAGGUGGGGUUACACCAAACCACAUCACAUCGUUGUUUGCACCUUUUUUCACUCUCUUUUACUUAGUUUCUCUAUAUUUGUUGUCUAGUAAUAUCCUAUAGGCUUGAUGGGUUAGGGAGCAUCCCUUUGUGAAAAAAUUUCAUUCAAUUCUUAGUUGUAUUACGCAUAUAUAAAAUGCCUCAUUGUUUUAAUGGUAUUCAGUCGUGGCAUCACAGAUAUGGGCAUCUAAAUUUUAAAAGUUUGAAACUUUUGUAAAGCAUGUUGAUAAAAUCCAUGAGAGUUGUGUACUUGGGAAGCAACAUCGAGGUGACUUUAUUUUUUUUUCCUUUUAUAAUGCCACACCUAAGUCCGGUUUCUAAAUGCUAAAGUGAAAGGGUAGGUAUGGACCAUUGAAAUGUGAUCACAACUUUUGGCCUUUUCCUUUCUCUGCAGCCAUGUUGUCUCUUUUUUCUUUUGCAUGAUUUUCUUACCAAAACAGAAUCAUAGACUUGUUUAGUCUCUAAGCUACUAUAUUAUAUCUCGGUGGACUUUUAAGAGUGCAACCGACAUAGAGCACAUGCAAGUGGGCAUAUGGGACAUGAAAUUUCUUCUUACAAAGAUUGCAUGAUUUUUAUAUUAGAGUUGUUCACGUGCAAUGUAUUUAGCUUGUUUUGCAGUUAAAUUAAUUGGAUAAGUAAACAUUGGCAUUUCUAAAUCGACUGUGAAGUGCUUCAUGUACGUGUAAAGUAUUAGAAAUUUCUUUCUUGGCAACUUGUUUUUUCCUUGCCAUCUACUGGUAGGUUUGACUAAAAUUAUAUUCCCUGUCAUGCUAAUUAAUUUUCAUGUGCAUGCUCAAAAGAAGAGUAUGACCUUAGUGCACCAAAAUCACUUUGAUUAAUUUGUGAUAGGUUUUUUUGCAUCAUUUAGAUAAUGUUUAGUUCUAAGAAAAAUUUAUAUAAAAAUGGUUUAUUUAUCUUACAUAUAUAUAUAUAUAUAUAUAUUUUUUUUUUUUUCAUUUUUUUUUCUUCUAUUUUAUUUAUUUAUUUUAUUUUCCUUAUGUUUUCCUCACAUUUUCCGGAACUAAACAUAGUCUUACGAAAUCAACAAUUGCCUUCAACUGAGUAGAUUCUGUUGUUUUAGCAAUGUUAGGCUGCUAACUUGUGGUGGUACGAACCAAAUGACCCAUGUUAAUCUUGGCUUGGUUUGAUUUGGCUCUAUCUCAGAGAGCUAAAGGAUCACGUCAACUCUGGUUUCUACUAUUCAGGUCCAUUCCCAGAUGAACUGGUUCAAAUUUGAGAAAAUGGUAACAGACCUUUAGUGAUGUUGGUUUGGAGCCAGUUGCCAAACCCGCCCUGAGCUUUACCACUAAUGUCAAGGGAGAAAGCCAUUUGAACAAAAACAAUAGCUUCAAGAGACUGAAUCGUGGAUGAAAUCUGAUCCACAUUUCUUCUCAUUUUGGGAAAAAAUGAGAACUUAACUACAAAGAUUCUACUGCCUCAUUCAUAGUGCUUUUCCUGAUCCAAGGUUGGUUCGUUUCCCAAAUUGUGAGGUGCACGUGCCACUCUCACGCUCAGGAGUGUAUCCACGUGGUGGACAUCAGAUGGUGGCUUAAUAUCUGGUGUCGGUGGCUUUACUUUACUAGGAGAGUAGUGUGUCUUCAUCUCAUUCACUGCCGGAGGGUGGCGUAAGCAGUGACGCUAAGGUGGGGCACAGUCAAUAUCAUUUGCAUUUGACCAUUAUAGUUUUCUCCCGGCUUGAAAGUAACCUUAUCGUGAUAAAGGAUUACUAGCACUAGUUCAGAUGACCGUCAUGUUAAUUCGGACCAUGUUUGUGUCACAUUAUCAGCAACCAUGUGUUUAUGGUUCAUGCUAUCUGCAACUAAACUUGAUAUAUAACCAGGUGAACUUCAAUCAAAAUUCUGGAAGUACUCUUGUGAUAGAUGGUGCCUGUCUGCAGAGUCCAUCAAUUGAAAAAUGGAGUGAGUGUAUCUAUAAGAGGGAAGGCUUGGCAAAUGUUCAGUUUUCUGGGAAUUCAACAAGGAUCUAAAAUAGAUUGUUUUCUUUGCCGACUUCAAUGGUUGAAAUUUGAGAAGAUUGUGUCCACAUAUCACAACUAUUACUGGUCCUUCUGUUGCAAUUUAUCCUGUAAGGCUCUAACAUGUCUUCCAAUUCCCACUUCCCUGUUACUCCAGGAAAGCUAUUUCUGUCAUUGUGAAGAAGAAAAGAGAAUGUACAUAUCGAUGCUUUUAAGUGACUGGAGCAUUCAUAUCAGGUGGUCUGCAGCCAUAUAUGCCACUUUGUGAAGGUUGGAACAGUCAAUCACUAGGCUAUAUAUUGGUGUGGCCCAGCCACUUCAAUCAAGGACAAGUCUUCAUACUUAAAGUCAAAUUCUGCCUUUAGUCUCAUUAUAAAUUGCUGUUUAAAUAUUAAGCAAACUUUUGUUUAAUGCGAUUAAGACAGUACUAACUCAAUACUUGUUCUAUUUUUGGAUGCAAAUGCUUGAUGGUUUCAUCAUUGGAUGGGAUAAAGGUGCAUUCAUGAUUAUGAAUACUUGUAGUUAUAUUUUCAUUCUCUUUUUUCUCAAUGAGACUUGUUGGCACAAUGUUGCUGUUCAGAAACCUACCUCUCCAUGGAAAAUAAGUUGCGAUUGAUAGUACUGGAUAUGUUCAAGAAAGCUAAAUAUAGAUAGCACAAAAUAUUAUCGAUAUAAAUAGCAUUAACAGCGUACGUAUGUCUCAAUGCUCAUCAGCUAUAAGCAUGGGACAAACACUUACUAUGAGCAACUUACGUCAAAAUUCCAGAAUAGGACAUAGAAGUGACAGAUCUAUAUAUAUAGAACACUGCAUAUGAGUCACAAGAAAGGAAAUUACGGGUGCAUAGCAGCUCUUAUUUUACAUACUACUACUCAUACUGAUCAAAGUCACUCAGUUGGGAUGGGUGGGAGUAGGAGGUUUGUGGGGUGGCUUGUGCGGAGGAGUUGGCAGCUUCUUUCCAGGACCUGGUUGCUUCUCUGCUGGAGUUGAAGGAGGCUUAAUCUUCCGAGGUGGCUUGUAUGAGUCUUCAGCAUUCUCAGCUGGAGGGUGACCAGGGUUGUGACCAUAAUGUGGUGGCUUCUCUCCCUUAGGUGGUUUGCCAACUGGGGUUGGUGGCUUGUAUGAGUCUUCAGCAUUCUCAGCAGGAGGGUGACCAGGGUUGUGACCAUAAUGUGGUGGCUUCUCUCCCUUAGGUGGUUUGCCAACUGGGGUUGGUGGCUUGUGUUCUGGGAGUGGCUUCUCCCCCUUGGGAGGUUUUUCCAAUGGGGUUGGUUUGUGUUCAGGAGGUGGCUUCUCCACUGGAGGCUUGUGUUCAGGAGGUGGCUUCUCCACCGGUGGCUUGUGUUCAGGAGGUGGCUUCUCCACCGGAGGCUUAUGCUCUGGUGGUGGCUUCUCCACCGGAGGCUUAUGCUCUGGUGGUGGCUUCUUGAAUGGGGGAUGCUGAGGGUAAUCAGCAAGUGAGGGGGCGGUGAGAACCACCAGGCCAAGCAACACCACUAGCAAAUAUGUAGGAGACAUCUUUGGGUUUGGGCUCAGAUGGUGCAAAACUAGGAGAAUUGGCUAGCCUUUUAUAGCGGAUCGUACUCAAUAAUGAAAUGACACGUGUCAUUAUGACCCAUGUGUAAUGGGGUCGAUUUGGGUCCUACAGUGUUGAAAACUUCGACAUCCAGUUUUGGCCUUUUGCUUUCUCUACAGCCGCCUUGCUUUUUCCCUCUUUCCUUUUGUUUUCCUCCUGCCCCAUUCUAUCAACUAAACACAAUUAUGUAGUUGUUUAAUUCUUAAAUGAGAUAUUAUCGGUCAAUCGUAUUAUAUUUUAUCAAGAGAGAACGGAGUGCAAUGCAGCUGUAAUUUUAUCGUUUACUUUUAUCUCUUGGACCACUGCAUUUUUGUUAAGAGGUGCAAUAAUACACGUCUUUAUCUGCCAUUCAAUGUUUACAGUAAAGAGAGGGCACAAAACUCUUCACUGCUCUGCAUGUGUCCCAAAAAUGCGAUUGGACAAAUUAUGAUUUGCAUGCUAAAAAGAGGCAAAUGAGGUUAAUUCGCACCAUAAUUAUUUGGUUUUCUGGACACCAUAAAAAGAUGUUAUACAGGCAGGGAAAAACCUUCAGAGUUAGCUACCAAAGAUAAUUAUCAAGCAGAUAUCACCAAGAGAAUUCCAUAGAGUCUGAAUCAAAGACAGAUUGCUCGCUCGUGGGGGUUCUUACUUUCUUUUGGGUAUAACUCACUGAGGUCACUGUCUUUUUUAUUUGCAUUUCACAGUUAGAGUUCUGCUCUGGAAGGUUUGUUCUGGAAACAUAUAAAAGGAGCAUCAUUUUGUUCUUGGGUAACCCAUAGUCGUGAGUGGGUCCAUUUGCAUGCUACUUAGUUGAAAAGUUGGACAAUUUGCUCCGACGCCUACCUCCUGGAUUCCAUGCUCGGUAAAACAAGAAUAAAAAAAAAUAUAUAAUUUACAAAUGGGGGAAAGAAAAAAUGUCGGAAAAAAUAGUAAAAUUCAUGUCACAUGCUAGUGAGAGAAGGGGUUGUUACACUCACUCGAAGUUCUUUUCAAAAUAUCGAAUGGUAUUUUACUUUAUGUGUCAGCGCAGUUGUGAAUGGAACGUGCAAAAGUCCAAAUUGGCGUUUUUAUUUUUCCCAUGUAGGAUGGUGACCUUUAAUAAAUAUUUAAAACAAAAGACGAAAAAAAAAAGGAGGGAAAAGGGAUCACAAAAGAUAAAAUAAUGUUUACAAAAGCUCAAUUAGUUUGCAAAUUACUGUUUGGAUUUUGAUAGUAUUUUAUUUGUCGUUCUAUAUUUGAUGUAAAAGAGAAUUUAAGAUAUUUCCGAAGCAAAAGCAUUAGUUUGCUCUGUGAUGUCCCACAUCGAAUAGGGGAGAAAGUUUCUGGCGCUAUAUAUGUAGAGGCUCCUCUUAACCAAGUAGAUGCGUUUUAAAACCAUGAGGGCCCCCUUAGGUCCAAAGCGGACAAUAUCUACAUGAUUGGGUGUAAGUCAUUACAAAUGGUAUCAGAGCCGAUCCCCGACCCCGGUGUGGGGGUUUGUUUGGCCCUGUAAGGGGUGUUUGUCUGUUUGACCCCACAAUCCCAUGGGACACAACGAGGACGUUGUGUCUGCAUGGGGGGGCGUUUGUGAUGUCCCACAUCGGAUAGGGGAGAAAGUUCCUAGUGCUAUAUAUGUAGAUGUUUCUCUUAACCAAGUAGAUGCAUUUUAAAAUUGUGAGGGCCUCUUUGGGCCCAAAGCGGACAAUAUCUACAUGGUUGAGUGUAAGUCAUUACAUGCUCCAUGUCAAUUUCAGCAUUUCUCAUAUGUUUCACACAUACACAGAAGAGCAUCGUUUUUUAAAGCAUGCAUUUAUGUUGGAUUAAUUUGGAUUUUGUGGGAACUGGGGCAAGGAUCACAUGGAAGAGAGGUUGACUUUUUUCAGUACUUCAAUGGUUGAAAUAUGUGAAGGCUUGAUUGAUACUAAAGCUUGAAAUUGCGACUCUGUCAUUUGUAAAAAAAUAUGACAGCUUCCAUGCUCUCGUUUGGUUGCAUUGUCCGGUCGAGAGGUGCAAAAAGCAUUCUCUCUCUUCUAAUAGUCUUUUCGUUUAAAUCAAGGGAUUUGCCUUCCCGGUCGAGGUCCAAUAGAGGGUAACGGUCACCUACUAAACAUUAAAUGCUCCAACAACUAGUGAACUGAUCGACCCCAGCUCGACUAGUUGAGGUUACUUUUUGGUUUUCUUGUCUCCCGAGGUUAGAAACCUAUAAAUAGAGAGCUUCACUUCAUUUAUGAGUAAGAGAACACCUAAAUUUAUUUGUUUACCUACUUGUUUUUGCCAUAAAAGCUCUCAUUUCUUUUCUUGGUGUAUUAAAUCUCCAUUUGCAUAUCCUUUAGUGCACCUUUGUGAUUCAUUCUAGCCUUGAGUUGUAUUUAAGCCUUUGUUGAGCUAGGUUGAGAGUUUCAUACUUGUUUAUUGAGUGUUAAAGCCUUCAAGUGAGUUAAAACUUGAAGAGAUUGUGUAAGAGCCCAUUGGAGUCGGAAUCCAAGUGUAAAGGUGAUUAAAAGCUUGGUUGAAGCUUCAAGUUAGUGGAACUCUCACUCGGUUAUGAGCUUGAGAAGAGUGGACAUAGACAAGGCAGUGUCGAACCACUAUAAAAUCUGAGUUUGAUUUCUCUAACCUUAUCUCUUUAUAUUUGCUUCUCUUGUGCUUAAAUUUUUUGUGUUUAAAAAGAAUUUUUAAAAACUCAAUUCACCCCCUUCUUGGGAGUUUUUCUCUUUUAAGAUCAGCUUUUAUUUUCUCAAUUGGUAUCAGAACUAUGCCUCUUGUUUAAGACUUAAUCGUCUAAGAGGAAAUGGCUAAUCCAUCAAGUUCAUCUCACAUUGAAAGUUUUGCAACCAAUAGACUUCUUUUUUUUUUUUUGCGGGAACUGAUUAUCCCUAUUGGAAAACUAAAAUGACUUGGUUUUUACAAUCAAUUGAUUUAGAUGUAUGAGAUGCCAUUGAAGAUGACCUAACUUUUCCUUCAAAACUAGUUGAUGGAGUCAUGGUUCCAAAACCUAAGCAAGAAUGGGAUGAGCGUGAUUGAAGAAAUUUUCAAUUAAAUGCUAAAGUCGUUUAUACUUUGCAAUGCUCUAUGGACAGAAAUGAAUAUAAUAGAAUAUGUCAAUGCAAAUCGGUUAAAGAAAUUUGGAGAUUGCUUGAAAUAACUCAUAAAGGAACAAAUCAAGUUAAAGAGUCAAAAAUCAAUUUACUUGUUCAUAGAUAUGAAUUGUUUUUUAUGAAAGAUAAUGAAACUAUUGUUAAGAUGAUCACUAGGUUCACCAACAUUGUUAAUGGUCUUAAAGCCUUGGGAAAGACCUACAAGGAAUCCGAAAACGUGAUGAAGAUCUUGAGGUCACUUCCAUCAAAGUGGCAUACCAAGGUCACCGCAAUUUAAGAAGCAAAAGACUUGAUCAAGCUACCUUUGGAGGAGUUCAUAGGGUCAUUGAUGACAUAUGAAAUCAAUUUGGCAAAGAAGUAACAAAAAGGUGAAGACAAAAAGAAGAAGAACAUAACUCUCAAAGCUACAACUAAGGAAGAAGAAGUUGAAGAAGAAAAACAAAUUGAAGAAGAUGAAGAUUUAGCCCUCAUCACAAGAAAGUUCAACAAAUUCAUGAGGGGUGAAAGGUUUAGAAGAAGAAGGUUCACUUCUAGAAGAGACUUUUCUAAAAAGGAAUCUUCAUCUAAUGGUGACAAAAAGAGAUGGGAAGAGAAAAGAGACUUGGUGUGUUUCAAGUGCAAGAAACCGGGACACAUUAAAUAUGAUUGUCCUCUCUACAAAAGUGAAGUCAAGAGGAAAAAGAAUAAGGCAAUGAUGGCCACUUAGAGUGAAAGUGAAGAUGAAUCAUCCGAAGAAGAAAAUGAGAAAGAAGUGGCAAACAUGUGUUUCAUGGCAAUAGAUGAACUUGAUGAGGUAAAAUCUAACCUUAGUGAUUAAGAUAUACAUGAUGCAUUUGAAGAAUUGUAUGAGGAUUUUUAAAAACUUAGUUUGAAAAAUAUUUCUCUUAAAAAGAAAGUUCAACAACUUGACAAAGAACUUAGAGAAGUAAAAGAAAAAUUUUCAAAUGUUAAAGUUUCUAAAACUCAUCUUGAAAAAGAAAAUGAGAUUCUAAGAAAGAAAAAUGAAUAGUUGAACUCCUCUCUUUCAAUCUUUUCUUCUAGACAAAAAUCUUUUGAAAUGAUUCUAACUAGCUAAAAAUGUGUUUUUGACAAACAAGGGUUAAGAUUUAAAUCUUCAAAAAAUCAAAAGUAUUUUAAAAACUAUUUUGUAAAGGAAUCCACAAGUGCAAGUCCUUCCACUACUUGCAACUUUUGUGGAAGAGAAUGGCACAUUAGUAGUACGCCCUUUAAGAAAUGGUUCUCAAAAGAAUUUAAAUGCAAAAACUAAAAAAGAUUUGGAUUGAGAAAUCCAAGGUCACUAACCCUCAAGGACCCAAAAAGAUAUAGGUACCUAAAUCAACUUGAGUUUUAUGUUGUAAGGUUCAAAGAAUGAUAAGUGGUUCUUAGAUAAUGGUUGCUCAAGACACAUGACCGGAGAUGAAUCCAAGUUUGCUUUUCUUAAAAAGAAAAAUGGAGGAUAUGUUACCUUUGGAGACAAUGCAAAAGAAAGGAUGAUUGGUCAAGGCAACAUUGGUAAUGGCACAUCCUCUCUCAUUGAAAGUGUUUUAUUAGUAGAUGGUUUCAAACAUAACCUUUUAAGCAUUAGUCAAUUUUGCGACAAAGGUUUUUAAGUGAUUUUUUAAGCAUCUCAUUGCAUCAUCAAGGAUAUUCAAAAUGAUAAAACCAUUUUCAUGGGCCAUAGAUGUGAUAAUGUUUAUGCUAUAAAUAUUUCAAAAUAUGAUGGCCAUGAUAGAUGUUUUUCAAGCAUGCAUGAUCAAAGUUGGUUGUGCCAUAGGAGAUUGAGACAUGCUAACAUAGACCUCAUUUCCCAACUCAACAAAGAUGAACUUGUUAGAGGCCUUCCCAAAAUAAUUUUUUAAAAAGAUAAAGUUUGUGAAGCUUGUCAAGUGGGAAAGUAAAUCAAAAACUCUUUUAAAAACAAAAACUUCAUUUCCACAUCUAGGCCACUUGAGUUGUUGCAUAUGGAUUUAUUUGGUCCCUCUAGGACACCAAGUCUUAGAGGAAAUUCUUAUGCAUAUGCUAUUGUGGACGACUUCUCUAGAUACACAUGAGUCUUGUUUUUUAGUCAAAAGAAUAAAGUUUUUUAUGAGUUUUCAAAGUUUUGCAAUAAGAUUCAAAAUGAAAAAGGUUUUUCAAUUACUUAUAUAAGAAGUGAUCAUGGGAGAGAAUUCGAAAAUAUUGAUUUUGAAGAGUAUUGCAAUGAGCAUGGAAUUGACCACAAUUUUUUGGCUCUUAGAACUCCUCAACAAAAUGGGGUAGUUGAAAGGAAAAAUAGAACUCUUCAAAAAAUGACAAGAACCAUACUAAAUGAAAACAACUUACCAAAAUAUUUUUAGGCCAAAACGGUUAACACUUCUUGUUAUGUUUUAAAUAGAGUAUUAUUGAGGCUCAUACUUAAGAAAACUCCCUAUGAGCUUUGGAAAAACAAAAAACCCAACAUUAGUUAUUCCAAAGUCUUUGGAUGCAAUAUUUUAUAAUAAACACCAAAGACAAUCUUGGAAAAUUUGAUGCAAAAUUGGAUGUUGGAAUUUUCCUUGGUUACUCAACUUCAAGUAAAGCUUUUCGAGUUUUAACAAAAGAACCAUGGUUGUAGAGGAGUCCAUCCAUGUUAUUUUUUAUGAAUCUCCAAGAAAGAGAGAGGAUUGAUGAUGAUUUAGGUUUGAAGACCUCUAUAGGAAGAUUGCAAAUCGAAGAUAGAAGACAACAAGAAGAAAAUGGAGAGAAUCCAAAGAAAGAAGGAUCACCAUUGGCACUACCCCCUCAUCAACAAGCGCAAGGUGAAUCAAGUCAAGAGCUUCCUAAAGAAUGGAAGUUUGUCAUCAAUCACCCACAAGAUCAAAUUAUAGGCAAUCCAUCUAGUGGGGUAAGAACUAGAUCCUCUCUUAGAAAUAUUUGCAAUAAUCUAGCUUUUAUCUCUCAAAUUGAGCCUAAAAAUAUAAAUGAUGUUUUAGAUGAUGAAAAUUGGAUAAUUGCAAUGCAAGAAGAGUUAAAUCCAUUUGAAAGAAGUGGAGUAUGGGAAUUAGUACCAAGACCUUCAAAUCAAAGUGUUAUUGGAACUAGAUGGAUCUUUAGAAAUAAAAUGGAUGAAAAUAGCAUAAUUGUUAGAAAUAAAGCAAGAUUGGUAGCCCAAGGUUUUAAUCAAGAAGAAAUGAUAGAUUAUGAAGAAACCUUUGCCCCCGUAGCUAGGUUGGAAGCCAUUAGGAUGCUACUUGCCUUUGCAUGUUUUAAAGACUUUGUUUUAUAUCAAAUGGAUGUGAAAAGUGCUUUUUUAAAUGGUUUUAUAAAUGAAGAAGUAUAUGUUGAACAACCACCCGGUUUUCAAAGUUUCAACUUUCCUAACCAUGUUUUUAAACUUAAAAAGACACUUUAUGGUUUGAAACAAGCACCUAGAUCAUGGUAUGAAAAAUUGAGUAAAUUUCUUUUGAAAAAAAUGUUUUAAAAUGGGAAAAAUUGACACAACUCUUUUUAUAAAAACCAAAGAAAAUGAUAUGCUCUUAGUUCAAAUAUAUAUUGAUGAUAUCAUUUUUGGUGCUACUAAUGUCUCUCUUUAUGAAGAAUUUUCUAAGUGCAUGCAUAGUGAGUUUGAAAUGAGCAUGAUAGGAGAACUCAACUUCUUCCUUGGACUUCAAAUCAAGCAACUAAAGGAAUGAACCUUCAUCAAUCAAGCAAAGUAUAUAAGAGAUCUUCUCAAAAGGUUCAACAUGGAAGAAGCCAAAACAAUGAAGACUCUAAUGAGCUCAUCCAUUAAGCUUGAUAAGGAUGAGAAAGGUAAAUCCAUUGACUCUAUUAUGUAUAGAGGCAUGAUAGGUUCUUUGCUCUAUUUGACCACUAGUAGACCUUACAUUAUGUAUAGUGUGUGUUUGUGUACUAGAUUUCAAUCUUGUCUUAAAAAAUCUCACUUAAGUGUCGUGAAAAGAAUCCUCAAAUAUUUGAAAGGGACAAUGGACAUAGGCUUAUGGUAUCCUAAGAGUGAUAACUUUGAAUUAAUUGGUUUUUUGGAUGCUGAUUUUGUCAGUUGUAGGGUUGAAAAAUAAAACACUAGUGGCACUUUUCAUUUCUUAAGACACUUACUUGUCUCAUGGCAUAAUAAGAAGCAAAAUUUGGUAGCUUUGUCAACAGCAGAAGCUAAAUACAUAGCAACUGGUUUAUGUUGUGCACAAAUCCUUUGGAUGAAAUAAACACUUAGUGAUUUUGAUUUAUCUUUUGAGCAUAUUCCUAUUAAAUGUGAUAAUAGUAGUGCCAUAAGUAUAUCAAAAAAUCUCGUGCAACACUCUAGGACUAAGCAUAUAGAGAUUAGACAUAAUUUUCUUAGAUAUCAUACACAAAAGGAUGAUAUAACACUUGAAUUUGUAAGCAUAAAAGACCAACUUGCCGAUAUCUUUACAAAACCUCUAAGAACAUUUUGUUGAUAUUAGAGGACAAUUAGGAGUGAUUUCUUUAUGAUCUAAUGUGAUGAAUUCUUGAUGAAUAUACUUUUUGAUUGCAUGAAUUUCAUGUCAUAUAUGCAUCAUAUAGAAAUAUACUUAGAUAAUGGUCAAAUUUCGACCAAAAAUCAAAAUUCCCAUGGCAUUAGGCAUAAAAAUUUUGGAAUUUCAACUGAAAAUGGUAGGAGGAGGAUCACAAAAUGAGAAAGUAUGCAAAAAUUGAAAAAUCAAAACGUUGACCAAGCGGUCAAUCGGACUAGACCGAUCGACUAGUUUGUCGAGAUUUAGGAUUUUUAAGAGACUCCAACGCUUCAAUUUUUGCACCGUUCUCCUCUAUUUCUUCACGGUUUCUCUGAUUUUGUCUUUUAGAGACUAAUUUGAGUGCGUUUUGGAUCAAUUGAAGCAUUUUGGAUUGGAUUUUAGGAAGAUUGAAAGUUAAGGUUUCGGAUUUGGGUCGCCUUCUCUUCCUCUCGCGUGUCACAAUCAGCUUUAGCAUUGUUCUCUUUCCAUUUUCACACACCUAGGGUUUCAGUUGUGAGCAUCUCUCUCUCUUUACCAACCACUACUCCCUUGCUUCUUCCAUAUGGCUCCUAGGCGAGAGUCCGCUACUUCUAGGGCACAAGGCAAGCACCCAACUGAGUCGUCUCAGUCAAAGGCACGUCGAAAAGUGAGAUUUGACAUUGCCUUGUUCAGUUCCAUGGAGGACUACCAACUAUACAAGCAACACUUUGCUUAGAGACGAGUAGUUCCCAAGAGAAAUAUUAAUUUUCCUCAACUUCAGCAUUUCGAAUUUAAGGGUCUAUUUACUAGGAUGGUUGGUUGUCUAUUGUCACAAUUUCGGAGCCGGUUUUCCUGACCUUAGUGCGAGUUUUUUACUCGAGGGCGACUUAUGGCAUGGGUGGCAUGAUCAUUUCUACUGUUGGAGGAGUUGAGAUCUGUCUGGACCCAGAGAGCAUCUGCCAUAUUUUCGAUAUUGCUCUGGUUGGACUCAAAGUAUACAAGUCCAAAAUGUGGCCCAUUGUGCCAGGAUUUGAGCUUAGAGAGGUCAUUCAGAGGAUUUGUGAACUUCCAGACGCCCAGGAGAUGGGCAAACCAUUGCCACACAGUUUGACGGUCAUCAACAGGGUGCUACACCAUAUAUUGUGCUCUAUCUUUCUACCACGAAGUGGACAUUGAGAUGAGGUCUCUUAUUAUGAGGCAUUCCUUAUUGACUCCAUUCUAACGGAGAGACGAAUUCAUCUACUAUGUCAUCAUUCACUAAGCCUCCUCACAGUGACAUACCACCUCAUCAGGCACCUCUUGCUCCUGACCAUGCUCCAUUGAUGGAUUUAUUUACUCAUAUUAGCUCUCUAGGCACUCGCAUGAAGGAGUUUGUUGUAGUUAGUGAUACAUGGUUCUACUCCAUAGAGGAUCGCAUGGAUCAGUAUCAGACUGGCUUCACGUCACAGUUUGAGUAUCUCCAAUAGAGGAUUGAGCAUAUUGAGGAUCACUUGAGCAUGAGAAGAUGAUGGCUUUUCUAUGCUCUGUGUUUCCACCUCCACCUCGUCAACCUUGAUUUCUUAGAGACCCAUUGUUUUCAUUUUGUAAUGUUGCCAAAAGGGGGAGAUAUUUAGGAUCUAGGACUCUAUAGGAGACUUACAUGCAUAUCAUUUUCAUAUCAUUGUUUGGAUCGUACAUAUUGGAUAGUGAUACUUUUUACUUAUAUAUGAUAUGCCUAUAUGUUUCAUGUCUUACAUUGUUUCUUAUUGCAAAUUAUCUCUAACAUGUCUUGAUUAUCUUUUUUUUAACUUCAUAAAUUUUGAUUGUUAACCCAUGAUUGGUUUGAGGGGAAGAUUCUUCUUCUCCUAGAUAACCAAGGUUUGUCAUCAUAAAAAAAUUGGAGAUUGUUAGCCCAAGGGUUCUCCUAAUCAUGUUUUGAUGAUAACAAACCAUGCUUAAGUUACUAAUUGGUUUGAAUUAUAAAGAAUUUCAAGUGUUAAUUUGAAAAUUCAUCAAAGAACCUAAUGGAUGCAAGAUCAAGAUUUUUGGAAGACCUUUAAUCAUAAGAAACAUAUGUAAGAUGAAUGCAUGGGUGCACUUAAGAUUUGCAUAUCAUUUCAUGCAUAUUUGGAAAACACGGUUUAUGCUUUAAAGUUACAUUUCCAUCAAAAUUUGAGAUCCAUCAAAUGAACCUUAGGAAAAAUGUUUUAAAAUUGGCAUAUAAUUUUACCUAAAGACCUUGCCUAAGUGUUAGAAGCAAAAGGACAAAAAAAAUAUAGGUUUUCUGGUCAAAAAUGGUGAACCAGUCAAGGCAUUGUCUAAAUCAGCUCAAUCGGCCAAGGUACCGGUCGAUCGGUUUCCCUUUCCCUGUCGAGAUCUAGUCAAGAGGUACAAAAAUCACAAUCUCUGUCUCUUUCUCUCUUUGUCUAUCUUCCAGUAGUCUUUCCUUCCCGGUCGAGGGAUUUGCCUUCCCGAUUGAGGUCCGAUUGAGAGUAAUAGUCACUUGCCAAAUAUUAAAUGCUCCAACAGUUAGUGAACUGGUCGACCCCCACCUUGCCCAGUUGAGGUUACUUUUUGGUUUUCUUGGCUCCCGAUGUUAGAAACCUAUAAAUAGAGAGUUCCACUUCAUUUAUGAGCAAGAGAACACUUGCAUUUAUUUGUUUACCUACUUGUUCUUGCCUUAAAAGCUCUCAUUUCUUUUCUUGGUGCAUUAAAUCUCCAUUUUGAUAUCCUUUAGUGCACCUUUGUGAUUCAUCUUAGCCUUGAGUUGUAUUUGAGCCCUUUUUUUAGCUAGGUUGAGAGUUUCAUACUUGUUAAUUGAGUGUUAAAGCCUUCAAGUGAGUUGAAACUUGUAGAGAUUAUGUGAGAGUCGAUUGGAGCCGAAAUCCAAGUGUAAAGGUGAUUAGAAGCUUGGUUGAAGCUUCAAGUUAGUGGAAUCCUCACUCAAUUAGGAGCUUGAGGAGAGUGGACGUAGCCAAGGAAGUGUCGAACCACUAUAAAAUUUGAGUUUGAUUUCUCUAACAUUGUCUCUUUAUAUUUGUUUAUCUUGUGCUUAAAUUUAUUGUGUUUAAAAAGAAUUUUUAAAUACCCAAUUCACCCCCCUCUUGGGUGUUUUUCUCUUUUAAAAUUAGCCUUUAUUUUCUCACAAACUAUUGUAGUAUAGUGGUUUUUAGGUGUCAUCCAUUAGGAUGAAUUGUUCUCGGUAAUUAAGGCGUGAAUGAGAGGAGAAUUAAUGAUUGUGAUUAAGUAAAAUUGAUUUGAAAAUUCAUGGUGAAAAAUCAAUUUAACAAUGGUUUCUAAUUGAGAAAAACAAUGAAAUGUGAAAUAAAAUAAAAUUAAUAGGAAAUGAAAUUCUCGAAGUUAGAAUUUUCUAAAAAACAAAUUCCAUGGUGAAUGGAUGUUGAGAUCUAAUUUUCAUCAAGUUAGAUUGAAAACCGAAAUUUUCAUAUAAACUGAUUUUUUAUUUAGUUUUAGGUCUAGAUUUAAUUUCCCUUAAAAUUAGGUUAUUUAAUCCAAGAAAUCAAUUCAAAUCAUAUAUUCAAUUCAUCUUAAAUUAUCUUCCAAUUAUUCACACAAUGCAACUAUUCAAUCUCAUCAAAUCUAGCUUUUAAGAAUUUAAUGAAUCUACCUAGUUUGCAUUGUAAUAGUCAUCCAUGACAAUUUGAAGAGAAAAAUAAUUCAAUUAAUCAAUCACUUGGAUCAAAUUACCUUUGCAAUUAAAGUUCAUUUCUCUAAUUCACCACAGAUUUUGUCUCUAGAUCCUCCUUUCUCAAAGAAAAAUGAGAUUUAGCCACACAUGAUUGGAGAUUUGGUCUCAUAAGGCAUGUUUAGCUAGUGAUAAAAUGAGAGAAAAUAAAGAAAAAUAGAGAAUUCGAUUAAGAAAGAAAAUCUAAAAAAUUCUACAAUUAGAAAUGUCCAAAAAGCUUUUUCAUGAGAAAAUCAAGUUUCUAUUUAUAGGCCAAGGUCAAGUGGACACUUGACAUCAUCUAAGAGGUCUUCCGGAAGCUUCUUCAUCAAGAAAUCUGGAGUUUAAUAAUAAAAUGGUCAUUUCACAAGAGCUCAAACAAUUUCGCAUGAUUAUGUGAAAUAAAAAAUGCAACAACAGCAAUUUACAUCUUCUUGGAGCAUUUCGCAUGACUGUGUGAAAUUUUCACAUGAUCAUGUGGAAUCGACUUGACAACUCUCAUUUAGCCUACAACAUAAUUCCACCUUUUGGUCCAUUUUUCAUAGUCAUGCGAAAUGGAAAUAUUUGAUUUUUAAGUUUUCUUUUGUCAUUUCUUUCAUUUCCUUCUCUUGAUUCCACUUCAACUACCUCCGAAUCCUGGUCCAAACCAAUUGCAUUACUUCUUUCAUUAUGCAUUUGGAUCAUCAUCAACAUUAUUUGUUCUCUUCAAUUUGAUUCAUCUCUUUUGUCACCAAUUUAUCAAAAUCAUACCUUGAAAUGACUCCAAAACUUCAUAAAACUUGUUAGUAACUCUUGCAAGGGCAACAACAUAUUAAUUAAGUGUUUUAGGCAUAGUUACUACUCAAAAGAUGCGAAACUCAUGAUAAUUAUUAUAUAAAAUAUGCUCUUUUUGAGUAGUAAUCAACUUUCUUGCAUAAGCAGACCUUUUAGGGUGGAGUACUAAAGACCAAUAUGCUUGUCCUUGUUGUAAUAAAGAAACUUGCUCUUAUUGAUUGCACCAUGGGAGAAAAUUUUGCUACAUGAGUUAUCAUCAAUUUCUUCCCACCAAUCAUAGAUUUAGACGUGACAAGAGGCCUCUUAAUGGCAAGGAGGAACUGACACUCACACUUAUACAAUUAUCGGGCAUUGAUGUGUUGCAACAAUUAGAAUAACUUACACCAAUUAUGUUGGGGAAGUCACAAAAGGCAAACAUGAAAACUAAAAGGAAAAAAGAAAAAUGUUACAUAUCACCACAACUGGAAAGAAAAAAGUAUUUACUUUCAUUUGCCAUAUUGGAAAGCACUUAUUUUACAUCAUAAUAAUUUAGACAUAAUGCAUAUUGAGAAAAAUGUGUGACAAUAUAAUUGAGACAUUGUUCAGUAUUGACGAAGAAACAAGGACAACCUAAAUAGUCAUCUCGAUUUACAAGCUCUAACUAUUAGAAAUGAGAUUCACCCAAUAGAAAGCAGGACCAAAUUUAUUUUGCUUGCAACAUGCUACUCACUCACCCCAAAUGAGAUUAAGGAAUUUUGCAAGUUUUUGAAAUCAAUAAAGGUCCCCAAUGGCUAUUCUUUCAAUAUCUCUCGUUAUGUGCAACUCAAUGAAAGGAAGAUAUAUGAGCUCAAAUUGUAUGAUUGUCAUGUCCUAAUGCAACAACUUCUCUCACUUGUAGUUCGUGGAGUUCUACAUAAGAAUGUUUGUGGAGUUAUCAUAGAAUUGCGUAAUUUUUUCAAGCAAUUGUGCUCAAAGGUGUUAGAAACAAAUCACUUACACCAACUUGAGAACAAUAUUAUUGUCAUACUAUGUAAAAUGGAGCAAAUAUUUCUUCCAUCAUUCUUUGAUAUUAUGGUGCAUUUACUUGUGCAUCUAGUAAGGCAAAGGUUGCAAGACUUGUGCAAUAUUGUUGGAUGUACCUAAUUGAACGAUAUUGUUAUAAUUUCAUAUGAAUCAUUUAAUUUUAUUUUAUAUUAUGUUCAGUUCAUUAACAUGUACAUUGGUCUACAUAUGGAUGAUGAUAGGUACCUAAGCACUUUAAAGUCAUAUGUGCGUAAUAGAACUUUUCUAGAAGGUUCUAUUGUAGAAAGGUACCUUGCAAAAGAAUGUACAACAUUUUAUUCUAGGUACUUGAAUGAUGUGGAAAUAAAGUAUAAUCACAAUGAUAGAAACUUUGUUGGUUUCAACACUAGAGGAGAUGAAAGGGGUUAUCUUUAAACAUAUUGGACAUGCAUUGGGAAAGCCCAUAUUUCAUUAACUUAGUUCAAAAGAGUGGUCACAAGCACAUUUAUAUGUGUUGACAAAUUGCGAAGAUGUCAUACCAUUCAUUGAGUAAAAAAUUUAUUUGAAUUUUAAUUAAAGCUCUAGUUUAUAUCCUUAAUCAAUGUUUUUUAAAUUCACAAGGAGCACAAGCAAACCAUCAAGGCUAGACCACAUAUACGUGUUUGAGACGUAGAUUUAAUUCAUAACAAGGAAUUUAUCAAGUGGUUUGAAAGACAUGUAAGUAUAUUCCUUAUUAUAAGGGAUUUAUUUCACAUUAUGUUUAUAUUGAAUCCAAACCUAUUAUUGAAUUGUAGGUUGAACAAUUACAUAAUGAAGGUCAUAUAUCUGAACACCUUCUCACAUUAUCAUGUGUUCCAAAUUCAUUAGUUACAUGCUUCAAAUGAUAUAUUGUCAAUGGAUUUAGAUCCCACAUUAAAGAACGUGAUAAAAAAGUUUUUAAAAAAAGACUCAGAAUAAUGGAAUUGUUGUAGUUGCAAAAACGUCAAGCUUUACAAGUGCAUGUGAUAUGAGUCCAAUUAUUAGUGAUGCUCUCUACUAUGGUGUUCUAACUAAAGUUGUUGAGUUACAUUAUCUUGGUGAAAAUAAGGUUGUUUUAUUCGAGUUUGAUUGGUGGGAUGUUACAAAUAUUGGAAAAUUGAUAAAAGAUGAUGAGUACAAUUACACAUUUGUUAACUUUGCAUGAAUUCUAACCACGAACGAACGAUUUGUACUUGCAUCUCCAGCAAAGUAAGUGUUCUAUGUGAAGAAUGCGAAUGAAUCAGAUUGGCAUACUAUCAUGGAGAUGCAACCUCAAGACCUCUAUAAGAUGAACGGGAUAGGAUCCAAUGGUGAUUUUGAACCAUUUCAACAAAGUGAACUACAUGAUCACUAAUAUAUCUCAGAUUUAGUUGAUGAAGAUAUAAUCAAGUGGAACAAAAGUGAUGUUUUAGGACUAAUCAUCCUAAAAAAUAUUGUAGUUUCUUAAAAAAAAAAUGAAAAUGAAGAAGAUAAUUGAACCUUUGUCAUACUUUAAAAAGCAACUAUGCAUUGUUCAUUUUGUAUGUUUUGGUUUUCUUCAUUUAAUUUCCUGAUUUUUGUGAUUCAAUGUCAUAUUAUUGAUCUUGAAAUAUUUUUCUAAUUUUUCAUUCUACGAUGGUUUCAACAAGGAUGACAUCAAGUCAAAAAAGGAAAUGUGGUCCCACACACAAUAUUGCAUUACAGGGAUUAAGGUCAGGGAAGAAGGUAAAAGUUGCAUUUAAUGAGUACAAUCAAUUGGUUAAACAGAAAAAUGGAAAACACUUAUCGAGCUACAUAGGGACACUUGUAUCUAACCAACACAAUGUACCUCUCCAAGCUAGUGAUUGGAAAAAUGUUCCAAAUGAUGCAAAAGAGAAAGUAUGGCCUUUGUUUUGGUAUGUUGUAUUUCUCACUAUAUGAUGUCAUUUCACUGUUAUUCUAUUUUGUGACUAACGUUUGAAUCAUAUGUAAGAAAAAUUUGAAGUAGAUAAAGACUGAAAAGAUUACAUGUUGGGUAUAGCCUCAAAUAAAUAUAGAAGCUAUAAAAAUAUGAUGAAUGCAAAAUACUAUGACCCUUGGCAUAAGGAUGCAUGAGGAGAGGUUAAUACAUAAAUCACCAUUUGUCUCUGAUGUUGAUUGGAAGUGGCUUGUCUCUGAUGCAUAAACCAAAUCCCCCACUGAAUGUUUGAUAUUUGAUAGCAGGAAAAACACACCCGCAGCUAUACACCUCCAUCAUUCAGAUAAUUAUAGUGGGGGAGAUGAUUCAUGGUUGCCCUUAUACCCUUUAUUUGCACCAUCUAUUGAGAUUCUUUAUCAUGGCCAGGUUUUACUGCAGCAAUAAGAUAUGGUGGCAACAAUUUUAUCUAUAGGUGCGGUUCCAGACCGCCUCCAUAGGUGCGGUUCCUGACUGCCUCCAUAGGUGCCUCUUCUUGUAAUGUUUGUUCUGGGAAUUACACUUGAAAGCCUUAUCGUGAUAAGGGAUUACAAACACUAGUUCAGAGGACAGCCAUGUUAAACUUCCACUAUGUUUGUGUCACAUUAUCAGCAGCCUAGUGUUUAUUGGUCAUGCUAUCUGCAACUAAUAUAACCCGGUGAACUUCAAUCUAAAUUCUGAAAGUACUCAUGUGACAGAUGGUGCCUUUCAGCAGAUAUCAUCAAUUUAAAAGUAGUGUGUGUGCCUAUAGGUGGGAAGGCCUUGGCAAAUGUUCAGUAUUCCGGUAAUUCAAGAAGGAUAUAUCUAAAAUAGAUUUUCUUCUUGCCCAUUUCAAUAGUUAAAAUUUGAGAAGAUUGUGUCCACAUCACACAAAUAUUAUUGGUCCUUCUGUUGCAAUUUACCUCUGAACAUGUCUUCCAAUUCCCACGGUCCUGUUACUCCAGGAAAACUAUUUCGGUCAUAUUGAAAAAAAAAAUAUUAAAGAAGGUACACAUGCUUUUAAGUGGACUGGGGCAUUCAUAUCAGGUGGUCUGUAUCCACAUAUGCCACUUCGUGAAAGGUGGAACAGCCUAAUCACUAGGCUAUUUAGUGUGGCCCAGCCACGUUAAUCAAGCACAAGUCUUCAUACUUAAAGUCAAAUGGUGUCUUUAGUCUCAUUACACAUCGCUAUUUGAAGAUUAACUCAUCACUAGUGUAAUGCGAUUAAGACAGUCCUAACUCAAUAUUUGUUCUAGUUUUGGAUGCAAAUGCUUGCUGGUUUCAUCAUUGGAUGGGAUAAAGGUGCAAUCAGGACUAUGAAUACGUGCAGUAAUACUUCAUUCUCUUUUUUCUCAAUGAGACUUCUUGGCACAAUUUUGCUGCUCAGCAACCUACCUUUCCAUGGAAAAUCAGUUGUGACUGAUAGUAAUGGAUAUAUUCUAGAAAGCUAAACAUAGAUAGCAUUCAAUAUUAUCGAUAUAACAUUAACAGCGUAUGUCUCAAUGCUCAUCAGCUACAAGCAAUGGACAAACACUUUGAGUAACUCACAGCAGUCAAAAUUCCUAAACAGGACAGACGUGACAGAUCUAUAUAUAGAACACUGCAUAUGAGUCACAGGAAAAGAUAAUACGGGUACAUAGAAGCUCUUAUUUUACAUAUUACUCAUACUGAUCAAAGUCGCUCAGUUGGGAUGGAUGGGAGAAGGAGGUUUGAGGGGUGGCUUGUGCGGGGAAGUUGGCAGCUUCUUUCCGGGAGCUGGUUGCUUCUUUGCUGGAGUUGAAGGAGGCUUAAUCUUCCGAGGUGGCUUGUAUGAGUCUUCAGCAUUCUCAGCAGGAGGGUGACCAGGGUUGUGACCAUAAUGUGGUGGCUUCUCUCCCUUAGGUGGUUUGCCAACUGGGGUUGGUGGCUUGUUUUCUGGGAGUGGCUUCUCUCCCUUGGGUGGUUUGCCAACUGGGGUUGGUGGCUUGUGUUCUGGGAGUGGCUUCUCCCCCUUGGGAGGUUUUUCGAAUGGGGUGGGUUUGUGUCCUGGUGGUGGCUUCUCUCCCUUGGGAGGUUUACCAAUUGGGGUCGGUGGCUUGUGUUCUGGGAGGGGCUUCUCUCCCUGGGGAGGUUUAGUGGGUGGCUUGUGUUCUGGAGGUGGCUUCUCCACCGGAGGCUUAUGCUCUGGUGGUGGCUUCUCGAAGGGGGGAUGCUCAGGGUAAUCACCAAGUGAGGGGGUGGUGAGAACCACCAUGCCAAGCAACAACACUAGCAAGUAUGUAGUAGACAUCUUUGGGUUUGGACUCAGACAGUGCAAAACUACGAGAAAUCGCUAGCCCUUUAUAGCGGCUCGGACCUAAUACUGACAUAAUAUAAAAUAAAUAUUAUAUUUUAUCAAGAGAGAACAGAGUGUAAUUUUAUCAUUAAUACCGAUCGAGGCCAAAGAAAGAAGACCCAUAAUCCAUUUCCCACAAGCAUACACAAUGCAGCUGUAAUUUUAUCAUUUACUUUUAUCCCUUGGACCACUGCAUUUUUGUUGAGAGACACAAUAACACAUUUUUAUCUGUCAUUCAACAUUUACAGUAAAGAGAGGGCACAAAACGCAAUUAGAUAAAUUAUGUUUUGCCUGCUAAAAAGAGGCAAAUAACUUUAUUUGCAACAUAAUUAUUUUGGUUUCUAGUGACCCCGGGGCCUUUCGGUUGGUUUGGGAUCGGAAAAUGAACAUCAUAGGGGGGGUUGUGCCCUUAUGGGCAUAUAUAUCUGAUAGCUUCAACUGGCCUUGUUCCUAGAAAGAAAUUGCCAAAGAUAUAAACUUAUUCCAGGCUGAAAGUAGAUGAGAGUCAUAAUGAACAUCAACCUUUGUUCAGUUUGAUUCAAUGCCCCCAUAGUGUUCAUUUCACAGAUCUGAAUGAUUAUAUCCGUUGAAUACAUAAAUUAAUGAAGACAAAUAUGAAACCCAAGAUACAUCUCUGCAUAACAACCCCAACCCUGGUUGCUAUGUUUCCCUUCUUCUAUUCACAUGAGGAUACUGGUUAUAAUUGUCAAACUUGCAACAAGCCCUUUGACACCUAACGUCAAUGGACGAAUUAAAAGUCUCCUUCAAACGUCUAUUUCACAGCAUGAAGCUUAUAAAGGAUGCUGACAACCUUCAGAGUUAGCGACAAAAGAUAAUUAUCAAGGAGAGAUAGUUCCAUGAGAAUUCCAAGGAGUCUGAAUCAAAGACAAAUUGCUCACUCAAGGGUUCUUAUUUUCUUUUAGGUACAAAUCUCUUGAGUGUUGUUAAAGAAACACGUCACUGUCAUUUUGAUUUGCAUUUAACAUUUCACUUUUGUUCUGGAAGGUUUGUUCCGGAAACAUAUCAAAUGAGCAUCAUUUUCUUCUUCGGUGACACAUGGUCGCGAGUACGUGGGUCCAUUUUCAUGCCACUUAGUUGAAAAGUUGGAAAGAAAAAACAUGCCAACAAGAAGAUAGUGAGAGAAGGGGCACUUCAAGCCUUUAACAUGAACAAACAGUAAAUAAAAGAUGUUUCUCCACUCAUAAAAGUGUGUUAGAUAGCAAUAUAACGAAUCACAUCCAAAAUCUUUACUAGGCUCAAACAUAAAGAAGACUCAUUUUUAAGAAAAGAUAAAAAUGGCAUUGUCUGAUAGUAUCCAAUACACGAGAUGGCACUUAAUUUGUACAAGAUCUGUCAAUGCUGACGCACAUUUUCUGAUUAAAAAAAAACUGAUCAGUCAAAAGCAAUGAAGAGAAGUGAUGACAAUGAAUGAUGCUUCCAAUAUUUUCACCCCUUAUAGUGUUCUUCAUGAUUCAGAUAUAUAAUUGGAAAUAGAACAACCCUAUGCCAUACAUUCGUCUAAGUAUGGUGUCUAAUUUUUUGUGUCAGCGGUUGCGAAUGGAGCGUGCAAAAGUCCAAAUUGGCGUCUCUCCAUUUCCACAUAGGAAGGUGACCUUUAUUGACAAAUACCCAAUAUUUGUAGACAUUCCUUAAAUAUCAUAACUUCUUGUUGAUUUGAAAAUCAUUUUUCAACUACCAUGUUUUAAUAAAUAUUUUUUAAAAUGUAUUUUUAUCAAAGUCCACCAUGAUGGAUAAUAUUCACCAUGCAAUAAUUAAUAAAGUACAAACUAAGCGAAAUGAAAAGCAUUUUCUUUGCUUUGAGUUGAUUUUGGUUGCAUUGAGUUGAUUUUGGUUUCAUGGUUUUUUCAACUCUUAUUUUGAUUGGAAGAUGUCAAGAAAAGAAAACAUAAAGAAAAAUUAAAAGGGAAAAAAGAAGAAAAAUAAAAAAAAAUAGAUUUAAAAGUUAAUAAAUUAUUUUUUAUAUUUAUUUUAAUUCAUUUCACUUAUUUUUCUUUUACUAUAUAAAAUUUAAAUAAUUUAAAUUUUAUAAUUAAUUUAAUUACAUUUCAUUUUCUUCUAUAUUUAAAUAUUGGAAAAAUAUUUUACUUAAUAUUUUUUUCUUUAAUUUCUUUGGCAUUUUGGGAACCAAACUUAGCCUUUAAAAUAAAAAACAAAAAAAAAAUGAAAAUAAGGAGGGAAAAGUGAGAAAAGAUAAAAACAAUAUGUAAAGGAUUUGAAAAGUAUUAGUUUGUAAUUACUAUUUGGAUUUCAAUAGUAUUUUAUUUGUCUUUCUAUAUUUCAUGUAAGAGAGAAUUUAAGAUAUUCCCCAAGGCAAAGCAUUAGUUACCUGCAAUCAGUGGUGAUAAGGCUCCAAGCCAAUUUUGGGCCCCAUAUCUUAAGACAGUACAAUUUCCAUUUCAACAUUUCUGAUUUCUCAGAUGUUUCACAUACCACAGAAGAACAUUGUUUGUGAAAAUAUGCAUUUAUGUUGGAUUUUGUAUGCUGUGGGGACUGGGGCAAGGAUCAUAUGGAAGAGUGGUUGACUUUUUCUGUACUUUAACGGUUGAAAUAGGAUAAGCACGGGCAUUUGUGAGGCUUAAUUGAUUUUGAAGCCUGAAAUUGCGUUUCUGUCAUUUUGUCAAAAAAAUGGCAGAUUCCAUACUCAUAUGUUUGGCCUGUGGCCAUGUACAGAUGCCAUUUAGUGACCAGUUUGUAACUGUCAAUCGUUGCGUUUUGACUCUGCCUCAACAACAUCUGCCAUUGACGGGUUUUCAUACUUGCAAAUCAAAUAGUCUUUCGUCCCAUCAGGAAUUUCGGUUUAAAUAUUAUUAAGCAUACGUUUGGCUGACAAUCAUUAUCCAGUUCAUGAUUUGGUUUCUUACCCUUAAUCAAUGGUUUCUAAGUGAAUAUAUGUAGAAGGAAAUCCGAAGUGUAGACAGUAGUAUCGAUAACUCUCAAUAUUCUCUAUAUAAUAGAAUAAACAGCGUCAUAGUGAUCGUCGCCUACAAGCAAGGUACAAAUACCAAAACGAGUGACUCACAUAGACAUCUCCCAACAAGAUGUAGUAGUGACUGACACAUGGACACAAUUAACUCGUAGAAAAGGAUAAGACCAUUGCACAGCAGCUCUUAUUUUACAUACUACUUAUGCUAACCAAAGUCAAUUAGUUGGGAUGGGUGGGAGAUGGAGGUUUGUGCGGUGGCUUGUGGGGCGGAGUUGAUGGCUUCUUUCCAGGAGCUUCUGGCUUUUUCAUCGGAGCUGAAGGAGGCUCAAUCUUAUGAGGCGGCUUGUAUGAGUCUUCUUUACUCUCGACAGGAGGGUGGCCAGGGUUGUGAUCAUAAUGUGGUGGCUUCUCUCCCUUAGGUGGCUUGCCAACUGGGGUUGGUGGCUUGUGUUCAGGAAGUGGUUUCUCUCCCAUGGGAGGUUUAGCAAUUGGGGUUGGUGGCUUGUGUUCUGGGAGUGGCUUCUCUCCCUUGGGAGGUUUAGUAGGUGACUUGUGUUCUGGAGGUGGCUUCUCCACCGGAGGCUUGUGCUCCGGUGGUGGCUUCUUGGUUGGAGGGGGCUUGGGGUAAUCAGCAAGAGAUGGGGUGGUGAGAACCACCAGUCCAAGGAACAACACUAGCAAGUAUGUGGGAGACAUUUUUGAGUUUGGGCUGAUCAGAUGAUGCAAAACUAAAGCAUUACGUGACCUUUUAUAGCAUGUAGCUCCCAAUACCCACUAAGUAUUGUGGGGUCCAUUUGUGCCCUACGGGGUUGAAAACUUAGACAAUUGGGCAAGGACCCACCUGACUAUGGAGGACUAGUGAGGUGUGAUCAUAGCUUUAGGAUUUUUCUUCCUCUGCAGCCGUCGUGCCGUUGGCAUGAUUUUCUUAAUCUUAAAUAAAGGCAUAGUUAUAGAGUUGUUUAAUCUCUAAAUGGGAUUUUAUAUAUAUCUUCAGAUAGCCAUUAAUAUAUUUGAUGAAGAAAGAAAGACAAGUGCAUACAACAUGUAUACGACUAGCUUUCAUGGAGUUCAUUUAUGAUCAGUUUUCCUGUACAUGUAAACCAGGAUCAUAUAUAUGUUUCUGUUCCACAACUAUUUUGGAAUCUUGUUUAUCAGUUUUUAUCAUUAUAAUGUCACAUAGGCUGCCAACUUGGGCGCUAAAAGAACCAGUUGGGCUAGUUCGUUUCAGAAUUUCAAUGUGGAUUCAGGAAUUGUUUUGUAAGAUAUGCGAAAUAGUAGAGGGAUGAAUAGUGUUUCAUUAAUAAAAGUGUCCUGUAAAUUAGAAGGUGUCAUAGAAACUAUAAUCAAUAAAUAACUUUUUUUCCCCACGGGUGGUGUUUCUUGUGGGGAUCAGUGACUGGUUUAGGUUCACCCAAAAUGAGUUCAGACUAAAAUUGGUUUGAGUCAAUGCCGUGUCUCUUUUUUCCAGAAAUCAACUAUUUUAUGCAUUGAAUAAAUCAUACAAAGAAAAUAUGAACGCCCGCAAAACCUAAACCCUGGUUGCUAACUUUCUAUGUUUCAGUUCUAUUCACGCAAGAAUAUUAGUUUAAGUUUGGGAAAAAUGGCAACUUACCUAGUGAUUACUUGGUUUUGGUUUGCGACUAUUUACGCAACCAACCAUGAGUUUGACUUUAACGUCAUGGGUUGAAGCCUCCUACAGGAAGGGAGAAAGCUCCACAGCUAGCUCCAAAAGAGAAUUAUCACAUUGAUAGCUCCAGAGAUUCCCAAGGGGACUGAAUCAAAGACAAGUUCCUCACUUUUUCUUCUUUUGAGGCCAAAUAUGAACCAAGGAUCACACAACCUCAUUCAACUUCAUAAGUUUGAUUUCAUGCAGUUGAACACUGGGUGAAGGCCAUGACAAGAAUUGAUUCAAAAAUUCUAUCACUCUUUUAAGUAAUGGAAGAUUAUUAUCUCUGAUUGGCAUCACAACAGCACAUGCUCCUAGAUCUUUCUAGACACUCCAUGCAAUGAAAGCACAAUGGAUCUUGUAACGAUAGAAACUAAGCCAUGCUACAGUACUAGAUGAUGAGGUAAAACUAGUAGACACGGGUGGCAGCCUAUAUGGGAGGGACACAAGUCUAAUUGAUUUGCAUUUCAGCAUUAUAGAUAGGUAUGUUUUGGAAGAUUUGUUCUGGAAAUACCGCACCAAGUAGGAUUCUUUUUCUCUUUAGUGGGUCCACUUGCAUGCCAAUUAACGAGUUGAAAAGUAUGAGCACCUACCUCGUGCUCGUGGAACCGAAGGUCAGUGAAGUGGGGCUCCUUUUGGCCUCGUGUAAACUUGAUUCAGAAGUGAAGUUAAUAGUCUUCCAUUCAGAUGGAUACAUGGGAAUUUUUCUCUUUUAUUUAUUUAUUUAUUUUUUUUUUGUGUGUGUAUGUCAAAGGAUAAUGAAUGAAGCGCGUUAGCUUGUUUUCUGACUGGAACCGCAGAUGUCCAAAUUGGAGUUCCUUCAUUUCUUACUUAGGAUUGUUACAUGUAUAAACAAGGUAUAAGAAAUAUGCCAACGUGUCUUGAGGAGUUAUUGAUUAGAAAUAACAAGUCACCCGACUGUAGAGUUCCAAGAUUUGAAUCUUCAGACCCUAUAGCAGCCUCUGGGGUACGUGGCAUCCUAUAGCAUAUUAAUGAAGGCUUUUUCGAUUUAGACUUCACAAUACCAAUUAAUAUGUAUGCACAAAAUGGAGAUGACCCCAAAAAAAACAGAAUCGCCAUAGUUUAUGAGGUUAAGGUGAUUCUCCACUUAAUAUCUACAUUAGCUAAUUAUGUAAAUCAAAUGAACUUCUAUUUUUCCUUUUUUUUUUUGGUUUAUGUCAAAUAGUAGCCCAUAAUUAACCCAACCAUUAGCCUGUUUGAAUUGAUUUCACAUGCACAAUGUUGUAGUAGUUCAUAUUUUGAAUUUUAUUUUUACAAAGGUAGUUAAGGAAAAUGAAGUAUAAUAAUUAUAAAAGCAGACUAUAUACACUACAAUAAUUGUUAGAAUGGUAUCUCAAAUUCUAAUUUAAAAUAUUAUUUUUUGUAAAAGAAAUAUUAUAUAGAAUAUUUCCUAAUUUUAUAAAUGAUUAUAAUUAGAUCUUUAUAAAAUAAGGAAAGUUGGUAAGAAUAUCUUUAUAAAUAUUUUAGGUCAUGAGAGAAAGAAAUGGGAUAAAAAUGUGAUGAAGAGGUGAAAUAAGAGAGUUGAUUAGGAUAUAGAUGUGAAGAAGAAAGGGAUUCAAUAUAUAUAUAUCUUUCAAUUACCACAUUAAAACCCUGUGAACCUUUUAUAUGGUUUACUUUAUUUUUAUAUUCCUCCUUUAAUAUAUUUACAUUAAUGCUUCCAUUGGCACAACAAUAACGAAUUACAAAUACAAGCAACAAGUCCCAUGUUUUAUUACCAAAAGCAGGUAAAAUCCACCUAAUAUAUUACAAUAUAUUCAUCCAAUAUUUUAGACCAAUUCUUCACCAUAAAUAUCAUAAUGUGGCUUUUGUUCUUUCUUAAAUUUAAAUUGAAUUGUCUUAUAUCAAUUUGUUUGUGAUUUUUUCAUUAACUUCACUUUCAUUUGGUUAUCUUUGGUUUUUGAAAAGUAUUAAGGAAUUAAUUAACAAAAUAAUGUUAAGAAAAAUAAUUUUCUCUCUUUUGAUUUUGAUUUUGUAGUAGAAAAAUAUAAUUAAAAUUAUUUAAAAAGUAUGUAAUUUUAAAUUAUUUAAUAUUUAGAUAAAAAAAAUAAGUCUAAUGAGUUUAAAAUAACAUAUAAAAAUAAUUUAUUUAUUUUAAAUUUAUUUUUUAUUUUCCAUUAUGUUCUCUUUCUCUUUUACUUUUUCAUAUUUUUUCUUACGAAGAAUCAAACACAACCUCAUAUUAUAUGUCAAGUGUUUGUCUAUAUUUGAGCAAUGUUAGAUACGGCCAUGGAUUCAUCAAACUAAACUGAUUUUAAUAGAUACUUCACAAAUUGAUUUAUACACUAAAUCAUUGGAUAGCAAUGAUGCAUUGGAAUUAAACGUAGGAUGAAGCUCGAAGAACACUGUUUGUGUAACAACAUAUUUAUGAAAUUAUGCAAAGGAUGAGCUUCGGGGUAGUAGUACAAGGUCAUUAAUGGAGAGCCGUGUUAAACCUUGAUUGUGAUUGGAUUCCGUUAUCAGCAACAGCAACCUUGUUUGUAACCUUGAAAGUCAUUCUGUCCACAUCGAAACUCCAAUUUGACGUUUGUAAUUACCAUUCCUGGAGUGUUCCUUGAUUGAAAUUUAAAUAAUAAUUGCGGCCCACAAGGAAUAUUUUCGAUUCUGUGGGAAUUUGACAAGGUUUGUUAGAGAAGACUGGUGACAUGUUGACUUCAAUGGUUCAAAUAGGAGACGUAUGUGGAUUUGGGGGGUUUAAUUGAAACUGAGUCCCUAUGGCUUUUUAAUAUUUGCAUUGAGCAGUCUCCAUGUGACUUCCUAAUUCCCACCAACCCUCCUGUCCAUGCUGUGAAACUAAAUUGUAAUUUAUCAGCCUUUGUCAAUGGUUUCUAAAUUAAAGAUAUAGACCAUGCAUGUACUUUAAUAAAAGCAAAUCUAAAGUGUAGAUAGCAGCAAUGGUGACACCCAAUAUUCUCCAUAAAAUAGAAUUAGAAUAAGCAGUGUUACAUUGUUCAUGAUCACCUACAAGCAUACAAGAACUUCCAUGAAUAACUCAUAGCAAUUGCCAACAGGGCGUCGUAGAGACUCAUACAUAGAACACUAUCCACCCAGAGGAAAGGACAAGACCAGUGCGCUGCAGCUCUUAUUUUUCACAUGUAUACCACCACUCGUAAUAACCAAAUUCACUCAGUUGGGAUAGGUGGGAGAUGGUGGUUUGUGGGGUGGCUUGUGGGGAGGAGUUGGAGGAGGCUUUAUUUUCUGAGGCGGCUUGUAUGAGUGUGCAGGAGGAUGCCCGGGAGUGUGACCAUAAUGUGGUGGCUUCUCUCCCGUAGGUGGUUUGCCAAAUGGGCUUGGUGGCUUCUCUCCCUUAGGAGGUUUACCAAUUGGGGUUGGUGGCUUGUGUUCUGGGAGUGGUUUCUCUCCCUUGGUAGGUUUGCCAAUUGGGGUUGGCGGCUUAUGUUCUGGGAGUGGCUUCUCUCCCUUGGGAGGUUUGCUAAUUGGGGUUGGCGGCUUAUGUUCUGGGGGCGGCUUCUCUCCCUUGGGAGGUUUGCCAAUUGGAGUUGGCGGCUUAUGUUCUGGGAGUGGCUUUUCUCCCUUGGGAGGCUUGCCAAUUGGGGUUGGCGGCUUAUGUUCUGGGGGUGGCUUCUCUCCUUUAGGAGGUUUGCCAAUUGGAGUCGGCGGCUUAUGUUCUGGAAGUGGCUUUUUUCCCUUGGGAGGUUUGCCAAUUGGGGUUGGCGGCUUAUGUUCUGGGGGUGGCUUCUCUCCCUUGGGAGGUUUGCCAAUUGGAGUCGGCGGCUUAUGUUCUGGGAGUGGCUUCUCUCCCUUGGGAGGUUUUGUUGGUGGCUUGUGUUCUGGAGAUGGCUUCUCCCCUGGAGGCUUGUGCUCCGGAGGUGGCUUCUGAAAUGGCGGGGGCUUGGGGUAAUGAGCAAGAGAUGGAGUACUGGUGAGAACCACCAUUCCAAGCAACAAUACUAGCAAGCAUGUGGGAGACAUCUUUGAGUAGUUGUAGCUAAGAUGGCGCAACACUGUAGGCAUUGGGUGGCCUUUUAUAAAGGGCUGGACCCAACAGCCAUAUGACACGUGUCAUGAUGACAAAUGAAGUUGAGGGGAUCCAGAUGGGUCCUACUGAGUCGAAAACUUGCACUAAUUGAUCUGGUGAGAUGACUAUUUCUGUCCUUUUGCCCUUCUCGGCCACCCUGUGCUGUUUUCCUUUUGCACGAUUUUCGUUGCCAAACAAGCAAAUAAUAUUUCGCCAAGAAAGAGGAGAGUGAAUGUGGAAUGCAUCAAGUCCCAUCAAGGAUGGCAGAGAAGAAAUAGAAGAUUGCCCAACUGUGAUAAACAUAGCAUACACGUAGCACCAGGAACUUCAUUUACUUCCAUCUAAUGGAACAUAACAAUCUUCUAAAGUUUUUGCAUGAUUUUGUUAUAUGUCUCUUAGCCUAAAGUUGGAAAUGCGCAACAAAUUUUGUCACUUCUCUAUUUCCCACUGAUGAUGUUAAUUAGCCUUCAUAGAUAUCAUCCUUUCUACAAAGUGCUUCAUUUGUGUGUUAUUGUAAAGUGUAAGAAAAGUAAUUGAACAUGUUCUUUUUCCUUUCAUAGAUGACUUUUGAUGUGCAUUUUAAAAGCAGCGCUGUGAGUCGGUGACCUUGAUUCACACGGAAACUAAGGCUCCUAUAGGACCCACUUUUAGCUGGUUAGGGGUGAAGAAAAUAUCAACUUUUCAGAGUGAUUUAAGUCAAGGCCAAGCCUCACUGUGUCAUUACUCGUGUGAAUUUUAUAUGCACAUACAUACAUAAAUAAAGUAUGAGACCCAAAUAACACCUUCCCUUUACAAACUUAACCCCAGCCGCUCUCUUUCAAUUCUUUUCACACAAGGGUAUUGACUCUAUAAAGGUCAAGAAAAUCAUAAUUUCCUAGGGUUUACAAGGUAAUUGGCUUAAUGCUAAUGUGAAAACAUAAAAGAUAAUAGUAUAUUGUAAGCUAACGAAUAUUCUAUAGUUAUAAUUAUUUGUGAUGUGCAUAAAUAAAUCUUCAUAUAUAUAAUGGAACAAUGAAUAAAGAACCAAUGAAAAAAUACUAUAUAUCAUUGCUUGGCAUUUAAACCGUAUAUGCUGCUCUUUCUAGCUACUCCAUCCACUGAAAGACAACAAGGUAAUCCAUGUUAUAAUGAUAGAAGAUACUGUCUCUAGGCUUUUUGUGAUGAAAAAUAUAAGAUAUGGGUAGGGUUGACCCUUGUAUGUUUGUCCUAUAAACACUUCAAAGUAACAUAUUUUUCUUCUUUAGCAACUCAUAAUGAUGGGGUUCAUUUGCAUGUCACUGAGUUGAAAAGUUGGACAAUUGCCCAUGUCGCCUUCCUCCUAGAUUCCGUAGUUCACGGGAAGGUAACUCAAGUUUGACAUAUUUUGAAUUCUUUUCACUCGGACGUCUUCAUAACCUGACAAAACAAAAAUGAAAAACAGAGGAUUGGUAUAUUAUUCAUGGUAAGCCUCAAAUUAUAGUAGUAUGAGAAAGGAGAAAAAGAUUUUGGGAACUCCAAUCUGGAUAAUUCUCGUUUCUUCUCUUGAAUAAAAAUUUCACUUACCUAACUUCGUUUGGAGAAAUGGCAUAUUUUAAUUUUGUACGUCAUUGCUAAUAAAUGGAGCAAUUUAGCAUGUUUUGUGACUGAAACUGCAAAUGUCCAAUUGGCAUUUCUUCAUUUCCCACUUAGGAUCUGAUCUUGUAGACCAUAUAACGAUAUGUAUCUGUGCAAGCAUUGAAAACUAAUGUGAACUAUGAGGAGUUACAAGCCACUGGACUGUAGAGCGAGUGCCAAGAUUUAAAUCUUCAGGCUCUAUCUGGGUAAGGGGAGGAUAGCGACCUAACCUUUUACCAAAGGCUUAGAAUUUAGACUUUUGGAAAAAAAUUUCUCAUGUUUUGGCUGGAUUUCUUGUGCUUGGCGCAAAAAGGAGAUGGCCUCAAGAAAUAGCAGACUCACUUUUGUUUUCAGCCCUUAAUAAUUCUCCACUGCUUUCCAUAACUACAUGGGUUAUACAUGCAGUCUGCUGCAAUAUUCCAGUUAUAUUUAUUAUUUCAAAGAGGGUGAAUGACUUCACAUGCAAUAUGUUGCAGUAACAACCCAAAUUUUGGCACACCAUCUUAAGAAUAGAAAAGUAUAAUAAAAGAAAUCAAUCAGAGAAUCACUUUGCAUGCAGUUCAUAGAGUUCGCCCAAAAUGGAGCCACAUGUACGGACAACCCCACAAUAGACAAUCUUCUCUAUACAGUAAUAAAAUACAGAAAUGGUUAAUGAAGCUCUGUAUUUCCUUAUCAUAUAUGACCGGUUGAAAACUCAGCAAGUCUUCCUCAAUCACAGACAGUUGGAGUUGCUUCAUCAAAAUCAUGCCUUCAUUACUGGCUUCAUUUUGGUUUCAAUGUCUGUUCUACCCUUAAAUUGGGUCUCUGCUUACUACCGGGAUAUCCUUUAGCGUCCUGCAAUUCUACUAGAUUAAAGAGAAUGACUUAAUUCUGCAUUCUGCCGUCCCUAGUCCAAGUGGUACUAGAAUUGAUGUUUCCUUUAGUGUCCUUUCUUCAUACUUUCAGGUUCUUCCCUUGUUUCAAUAAUGCUGUUUUCCUUCAUGUUUAACCUCUGUUGAACCACUUAAAACAACACAAUUUGCACACCAAUGUUUCUUUACAGAAAAGACUGUUUGCAAAAAUGCACAUGUUAUAAGGUUAAUGGAAGAAUUAAUUUGGGGAUAAGGGACUAGGAUUGGGCCAAUGAAGUUUGGUGUUAAAUUUUGAUUAUGAUUGCUUUUCAUUAUCAGGUACCUUAUAUUUGCUGAUGCUAUCUGGAACUAAAUUCAAAUCAGACAUUAUCCGAUUACUAACAGGACAUAUCAUGUCCCUCUGCAGAGUUUCUAAACUAACAUGUAUCGAAAUGUGGCCCCAAAAGGAAGGCUAGGAAGAUGGAGGAUUUUGUAGGAAUCGACCAGAAUCAGAUGGAAGAGAGAUAGUCCUGUUGACUUUAAUGGUUGUGAUAGGAACAUGCAUCAUUAUAUGAGAAGUUGCAUGAAUUUAUGUAUCCUGUUAUCGUUCCUUGACGAUUUCCCAAUGCAAUUUCACUGUCCACAAGACUAACCUCUCCAUGCAGUCAAAUGAAUUGUAAUUUCUCUAUUGGUACCAGUAGUACAUUUCAUACCAAACAUAUAGUAAAUAUAAAAUAUAAAUAGAUCAAGGAAAUCUGAAUUGUAGAUAGCACUGCAAGUAACACUCAAUAUUCUCUAUAUAUAAUAAAAUAAACAGUGUCACAAUACUCAUCACCCAGUGGCAAGGGAGAAAAACCUACAAUGAGUACUCAAAUCACCAUUCUCAAACAGAAACAUAGCAGUGACUGAUACAUAGAACCUAUAUGCUCACAGGGAAAGAAUAAGAUGACCAGUGCACAGCGGGCAGCAGCUCUUAUUUUACGUACAACUCAAAUCCCAAACUAACCAAAGUCGCUCAGUUGGGAUGGGUGGGAGAUGGUGGUUUGUGGGAUGGCUUCUGGGUAGGAGCUGGUGGCUUCUGUCCCUUUGGUGGUUUGCCUAAUGAGCUUGGUGGCUUGUGCUCCGGGAGUUGUUUCUCUCCCUCGAGUAGGUUUCGAGUCUUGUCAGAUGGCUUGUGUUCUGGUGGUGGCUUCUCUCCCUGGGGUGGUUUGCCGAAUGGGCUUGGUGGCUUGUGUUCGGGGAGUGGCUUCUCUCCCUGGAGAAGGUUACGAGUUUUGUCAUAUGGCUUUUGUUCUGGUGGUGGCUUCUCUCCCUGGGGUGGUUUGCCGAAUGGGCUUGGUGGCUUGUGUUCGGGGAGUGGCUUCUCUCCCUGGAGAAGGUUACGAGUUUUGUCAGAUGGCUUGUGUUCUGGUGGUGGCUUCUCUCCCUGGGGUGGUUUGCCGAAUGGGCUUGGUGGCUUGUGUUCGGGGAGUGGCUUCUCUCCCUGGAGAAGGUUACGAGUUUUGUCAGAUGGCUUUUGUUCUGGUGGCGGCUUCUCUCCCUGGGGUGGUUUGCCAAAUGGGCUUGGUGGCUUGUGUUCGGGAACUGGCUUCUCUCCCUUGGGAGGUUCAGUUGGUGGCUGCUGUUCCGUAGGUGGUUUCUUCACCGGCGGCUUGUGCUCCGGAAGCGGCUUCUCUACCUGGAGAAGCUUACGAGUUUUGUCCGAUGGCUUGUGUUGUGGUGGUGGCUUCUCUCCCUGGGGUGGUUUGCCAAAUGGAGUUGGUGGCUUGUGUUCGGGGAGUGGCUUCUCUCCAUUGGGAGGUUUAGUUGGUGAUUGGUGUUCCGUAGGUGGUUUCUGAAGUGGGGGAUGCUUGGGGUAGUCAGCAAGAGACGAGGUAGUGAGAACCACCAGUCCCAGCAGCAACACUAGCAAGCAUGUGGAAGACAUCUUUGAGUUCAGGCUGAGAUCUGUGCAAGGAUAACAGAAUUAGGUGGCCUUUUAUAGAGGCCUGGACCCAACACCCAUAUGACACGUGUCAUGCACUCAUGGUGACACAUAAUUCUAUGGGACCAUUUGGGUCCUACAGAAGUUGCAAAGUUGGACUACUGAGGUGUGAUCACAACUUUUGUCCUUAUUGCUUUCUCUGCGGCCAUUGCACGAUUUCCUUUAGCAUCAUUUUCUUGGCUAAAUAAGCGUAUUAUAUUUGUGGCAGACCGUCCACGUGUCAUAAACAGAUAUAUUAUAAUAAUGUAGUAUGCUUUUCUCCAAUGGAACAUGACACUCUUCUAAGUCUUGUUUUAAAUAUUGUGCAGGAUUACUUUAUACGUUGCAGUUCCAAGUCAAAAUUGGUGGGCAAACGUUGGCCUUUUUUCAUUUCACCUAAGAUUAAUGCUCACCUGGGAUAGGCACUACAUGACUUAUCUGCUCUUUUACUGUAAAGUUGCUUUGUGUAUGAGAUACACCUCCCCUGCACACCCUCAACAUUCGUUGCUCUGUUUUCCUUGUGUCCAGACGAGGAUAUUAAUUGGAGGCUGACAAAACGACUGCUAGCCCAGGAUUUACAAGGUCCUGGUUUGAGGCUUCGGUGAAAGUAUUUUUGAAAAGACACACAUAGAGAUAGUGCGUUUGGUGCAAUGCAGCACUGUGAGCCAUUCUGACGCGUUCUUAAUUUCAAAACUAAUGAAUGCUUCAAAAUUUUAAGAAGUGACAUUUCCAAAUAUUUGAGUUCGUUUAAUUGAACAUUGGAUAACUAGUGAUCAUAGAUUAUUAUCUGUGCUUGGCACUAUAAGAGGGUAUAUGCUUCUUUUUCUGGCCCCUCCUUCAAGGGAGGAGGGACAAUGUGAUCUGUAACGUUAGAAGCUAUUCCAUGUCAUCUUUGGGCUCAGUUCAAAACUAAAAGAUAAUGGGGGGGGGGGGGGGGGGCAUAUCAUUUUAUAUUUCUUCUAGAAGGUUUGUUCUGGAAAUAUUUCACAGGAGCAUAUCUUUUUCUUCUAUUACGUCAUCCGCAGCCUCCAAUAGGUCGGUUAACAAGCCACCGAGUUGAAAAGUUGGAAAAAUGGGAACACAGCCCGCCUCUUGUAUUCAGUAGUUAAAUAAAAGGUCACUAGAAGUGAGAUCCCUUUUGGCGUCUUGAUUUUCAAUCCAGCACCUCUGUGACCUGACAAACCAAAAAAACUAAAAAAUAAAAAACAGUACGUGGGUUGGUGUUAAGCAUCAAGACAUGUUAAUGAAAGAAGGUAGAGAAUAGGAUAUUGAAAUCCCAAUCCUGAUAACAUGAUUUUCUUUGCUAACAACCAUAUUAUAUUUUAUCAAGAAAGAGUAAUGCAUGUGGCGUCCAUCAAGACCCAUUAGAGUUCCGCUAAAGCUAUAGUUCUGUCAACGUUAUCAUUUACGUUUCCUCUAGAUAAUGGCAUUUUCCUCUAAAGCUCUUGCACCAUUAGGCUUCAAGUCAAAAUUUCACAUGUGAACUUUGGAAAUUUUCUCCAUUUGCCCCUAAGGAUACAGUUAGAAUUGACUUAAAAUCCUGAUUGAUAUGUACUAUUAACCAAAGAAUAUUGUAUAUAAUAAUUGAAAUAUUGUUGAUUCAUCGUGGAAAUACAUUUUGUAAGGAAAGUUGUUGAGAAUUUAGUAUGCUAUAUGGAGAAAAAAGUCAUGACUUAAGGUUGUGUAUGUAUAUUCUAUAUCAAAUAUUAGGUAGGAAUGUGGGAAAGAGCAGAGUGUAAUGAUAAGAAACAAAGAAAUAUAAGAUAUUCUUGAAAGUGGAAAAUAUAAAAUGGCUAACGAGUCAAAUUUAUGAUGCGUAAGGGGGAUCAUGUCACAUAAGAAAACCAUGGCAUACUAAAGACGUACGUGUGGUAUGGAGUAAUAAUUUUGUUAAAAUAAGUUUCUUGUUGGAGUACAUUAGGUGACUAUUCAUAACGUAUCAAAUUAAAGAGUCAAGUGCAUCAAUGAAGGCAUAUGUAGAAAAUUUGUUUGUGACAUGUACCAUAAAGAUAAGAUUGACUUGAUAGAAUUUAGUCUAAGUAGGAGUUGUUAAAGGUGUCUUAAAUUUCUAAUUGAUGUAUAUUUUUUUCUAAAAAAAUAUUAUAUAGAUAUUUUAAUAAAUGAUUAAUUCUUUGUAAAAAUACUUACAUAAUAAAAAACAUCAUUAAAAAUAUCUUUAUAAAUAUUUUAAGUUACAAGAAGGAAAAAAACCACUGUGAGAUAAUGAUGAACAUGCAACACUGUACCAAGUAAAUAAAAAUGUGAUAAAAAAAAAAGAGAAACACUCGAUAAAGGAAGGCUCGUAUAUAAAGAGUAAUAUUUUUAAUCAUAUGAUAGAAUGAUUUUCUCUCAUUCAUGAAUAUAGGCAAGAUUGGGGAACCAUUAUAAAAUUUUGUACACCUCGUGUAAAUUGAUGUUUGUCUUCAUAUUUUACACCAACAAAUGACAUUGAAGUUGUCAUUGAUAAAAGGGAAAAGGCAUGCCUCCACACCAUGUGCUUGAUUCGAAUGGUUCAAGUUUGAAGAAUUUUCUCCGGAAGAUCUAAAACAUUUUCGCCUUUAAAUUUCAUUUGAUUAUUAAUAUCCGAAAAAAUAGUUAAAUACUCUUUCUAUUUUUGAGUUGUUGAAUUUUUUGAAAGUUUUUAUAUUUGUUAUCAAGAAUUUCUAUUUUAUUAAGGGUGAAUAUUUAUAAAUAAGAUAUUAUAUAAUAUUUGGAUAAGAGAGAAUGGUGGAAUAUAAUAAAGUUUUAAUCCUUCCCAAUUUUGAACCUUUUUUUUUUUUUUUGAUAUAAUCGCCUUUCUCUUGCAAUCCUAUUAUCAGGUACCUUAUAUUUGCUGAUGCUAUCUGGAACUAAAUUCCAAUCAGGCAUUGUCCAAUUACUAAUAGGACAGAUCAUAUCUCUCUGUUUCUAAACUAACAUGUAUCGUAAUGUGACCUCAUAAGGAAGGCUAGGAAGAUGGAGGAUUUUGUGGGAAGCGACCAGAAUCAGAUGGAAGAGAGAUAGCCCUGUUGACCUAAUGGCUGUAAUAGGAGAAGCGUGUGGUUUUAUGGGACUUAACUGAUACUAAACCUGUAUGAUGCUUGGAGUGGUGUUUCUUUCAUUUUGUUAAGAAAAUAUGGCAGCAUACAUGCUUUCAACUGAGUGCAUCAGAGCAUCCAUAACAGAUGGUCUGCAACCCUAGGUGCAUGCCACUUUCUGACUGAUAAUGAAAUUGUCAGGUACCUGGCCUUGACUAAGCUCAACAGCAUCACAUAAAGAGAAGCUUUCAUACUUAGAUUACUGUUUAAAGUUUUUGCUUAUUUGAUUUCUUAAUGCCAUUAUGACAUUAUUGAUUCAAUUCUGCUUCCGAUUUUCGAAGUUCUGGGCAUCUACUGAUUGCAUCAUUAUAUGAGAAGUUGCAUGAGUUUAUGUAUCCUGUUAUUGUUCCUUUGCGAUUUCACUGCUCACGGGACUAACCUCUCCAUUCAGUCGAAAUGAAUUGUAAUUUCUUUACUGGUAGCAGUAGUACUUUUCAUAGCAAAGAUAAUAGAAAAUAUGAAAUAUAAAUAGAAGGAAAUCUGGAUUGUAGAUAGCACCAUAAGUAACACUCAAUAUUCACUACAUAAUAAAUAGACAGUGUUACAUAGGUAGAGAAACCUACAAUGAGUACUCAUCACCAUUCUCAAACAGAAACAUAGCAGCGACUUAUACAUAGAACCUAUAGGCUCGCAGGGAAAGAGUAACAUGAUAAGUUCACAGCGGGUAGCAGCUCUUAUUUUACGUAUUACUCAAAAUCUCAAACUAACCAAAGUCACUCAGUUGGGAUGGGUAGGAGAUGGUGGUUUGUGGGGUGGCUUCUGGGUAGGAGCUGGUGGCUUCUUUGUUGGAGUUGAAGGAGGCAUAUUCUUCUGAGGUGGCUUGUAUGACUCUUCGGCACUCUCUGCAGGAGGGUGCCCAGGGUUGUGACCAGAAGGAGGUGGCUUCUGUCCCUUUGGUGGUUUGCCUAAUGGGCUUGGUGGCUUGUGCUCCGGGAGUUGUUUCUCUCCCUCGAGUAGGUUUCGAGUUUUGUCAGAUGGCUUGUGUUCUGGUGGUGGCUUCUCUCCCUGGGGUGGUUUGCCGAAUGGGCUUGGUGGCUUGUGUUCGGGGAGUGGCUUCUCUCCCUGGAGAAGGUUACGAGUUUUGUCAGAUGGCUUUUGUUCUGGUGGCGGCUUCUCUCCCUGGGGUGGUUUGCCAAAUGGGCUUGGUGGCUUGUGUUCGGGAACUGGCUUCUCUCCCUUGGGAGGUUCAUUUGGUGGCUGGUGUUCCGUAGGUGGUUCCUUCACCGGCGGCUUGUGCUCCGGAAGCGGCUUCUCUACCUGGAGAAGCUUACGAGUUUUGUCAGAUGGCUUGUGUUGUGGUGGUGGCUUCUCUCCCGGGGGUGGUUUGCCAAAUGGACUUGGUGGCUUGUGUUCGGGGAGUGGCUUCUCUCCAUGGGGAGGUUUAGUUGGUGGUUGGUGUUGCGUAGGUGGUUUCUGAAGUGGGGGAUGCUUGGGGUAGUCAGCAAUAGACGAGGUAGUGAGAACCACCAGUCCCAACAGCAACACUAGCAAGGAUGUUGAAGACAUCUUUGAGUUCAGGCUGAGAUCUGUGCAAGGAUAAAAGAUUUAGGUGGCCUUUUAUAGAGGGCUGGACCCAACACCCAUAUGACACGUGUCAUGCACUCAUGGUGACACAUAAUUCUAUGGGACCAUUUGGGUCCUACAGAAGUUGCAAAGUUGGACUAUUGAGGUGUGAUCACAACUUUUGUCCUACUUGCUUUCUCUGCGGCCAUUGCACGAUUUCCUUUAGCAUCAUUUUCUUGUCUAAAUAAGCGUAUUAUAUUUGUGGCAGACCGUCCACGUGUCAUAAACAGAUAUAUUAUAAUAAUGUAGUAUGCUUUUCUUCAACGGAACUUGACACUCUUCUAAGUCUUGUUUUAAAUACUGUGCAGGAUUACGUCAUAAGUUGCUUGUUCCAAGUCAAAAUUGGUGGGCAAACGUUGGCCUUUUUUCAUUUUCCCUAAUAUUAAUGCUCACCUGGGAUAGGCACUACAUGAUUUAUCUGCUCUUUUACUGUGAAGUUGCUUUGUGCAUGAGUUACACCUCCCCUGCACACCCUCAACAUUUGUUGCUCUGUUUUUCUUGUGUCCAGACGAGGAUAUUAAUUGGAGGCUGACAAAACGACUGCUAGCCAAGGAUUUACAAGGUCCUGGUUUGAGGCUUUCACGAAAGUAUUUUUGAAAAGAUACACAUAGAGAUUGCGCGUUCGGUGCAAUGCAACAAUGUGAGCCAUUCUGAAGUCUUAAAUUUCAGAUUAAUGAAUGCUACAAAAUUCUAAGAAGGGCCGUUUCCAAAUAUUUGAGUUCAUUCAUCCGAACAUCGGGUAUAUGCUUCUUUCUCUAGCCCCUCCUUGAAGGGAGGAGGGACAAUGUGAUCUGUAUCGUUAGAAGCUAUUCCAUGUCGUCAUCUUUGGGCUCAGUUCAAUACUAAAAGAUAUGGGCGGGGCCCUUAUCAUUUUAUAUUUCUUCUAGAAGGUUUAUUCUGGAAAUCUUUCACAGAAACAUAUCUUUUUCUUCUCUACGUGAUCCGUGGUUUGAAAGUUGGAAAAAUGGGUCCGUUAACAAGCCACCGAGUUGAAAAGUUGGAAAAAUGGCAACACCGCCAACCUCUUGUAUUCGAUAGUUAAAUAAAAGGUCACUGGAAGUGAGAUCCCUUUUGGCCUCUUGAUUUUCAUUCCAGCAUCUCUAUGGCCUGAUAAAUUAAAAAACUAAAAAAAAAGACAGUACGUGGGUUGGUGUUAAGCAUCAAGAGUCAAGACAUGAUAAUGGAGAGAAAGGAUAUUCAAAUUCCAGUUCUGACAACAUGAUUUUCUUUGCUGAACUACCAUAUUAUAUUUGAUCAAGAAAGAGUAGUGCAUGUGGCCAGGAUCAAGACAUACAUUAAUUUCCACAUGAUGAAGACAGUUUCUGAGAGUUUCUUCUAAAGCUCUUGCGCGAGUAGGCUUCAAGUCAAAAUCUCCCAUGUAAACACUGGUUUUUCUUUCAUUGCCACUAAGGAUGCAGUUAAUAUUGACUUAAGAUCCUACGUGAUAUAUUUUUUUAAAAGAGCUAUAUUGUAGAUAAUAUUUGAAAUAAUGUUGAUUCGUUGUGGAAAUAUAUUUGUAAGGAAAGUUGUUGACAAUUUAAUAUAGUAUAAGAAGAAAAAAGUUAUCAACUAGCUAGAGAUGAGUAUGUAAAGUGAGGCUCACGAUUCAACGCGUAAAUAUAAGAUAUUUUAAGGCUCAAUAGUUAUGAUAUCUAUUUUAUUUUUUGUAUCUCAUAUAUUCAAAGAUAUAGUAAAAUGAUUUUACAUAUAUAUAUAUAUAUAUAUAUGAACAUAACUAUUUGUGCCAAUUGAUUUUUAUCUUUAUUUUGUAUAUUAGUAAUUAUAUUAAAGUUUUUACUAAUAUAAUAACUAAUAUAAAAGCUUUUUCUAAAAGAGUCAACAGAGCAAAACACUUAUUAUAAAAAAUAAUUUUGAUUGAAGGUGGAGUCAAUUAUUCUUUAUUUAACAUGUAAUGCAUACGGCGUGUACUUCAUAACUAAAGUAUAUAAGUGUAACAUCUCUUAUAUAUUCUCAUUCAAUCUCGAAAGUGGAAAUUUUAAAAAGAUUAAACGGUUCAAAUUUGUCGUGCAUAAAGGGGAUCAUGUCACAUAAGCAAACCAUGGCAUACCAAAGACAUAGGUAUGGACUAAGAAUUUUUUUCAAAUAAGUUUCUUAUUAGGGUACAUUAAUAGGUGACUUUUUAUGACAUAUCAAAGGAGUCAAGUGCACCAAUAAAAACAUAUAUAGAAAAUUCAUGCAUGACAUGUAUCACUAAGAGAAGAUUGACUUGAUAGAGUUUAAUCCAAAUAGGAGAUUGUUAAAAGGUGUCUCAAAUUCUUGAUUGAUAUAUAUUUUUUUUAUUAAAAAGGUUAUUAUAUAGAUAUUUCAAUAGACUAUUAAUUCUUUGUAAAAAUAGUUAUAUAAUGAGGAUGGUGAUUAAAAAUAUCUCUAUCAAUAUUUUGGAUUAUAAAAAGAAAAAAAAUGAGAUAAUGAUAAACAUAUAAAACUUGUACAAGUAGAUAAAGAUGUGAUGAAAGACACUUGAUGAAUGAAGGCUUUGUAUUUCAAGAUAUAAAUAUAUGGAGCAAAACUCUUAAUUAUAUGAUCAAAUGAUUCUCUCAUAUUCAUGAAUAUAAGCAGGAUUGGGGAACCAUGAUAGAAUCUUAUAUGCCUCUCCAUGUAGAGUGAUCGAUGUUUAUCUUCAUAUUUUACACCAGUGAAUGACAUUGAAACUCUUAUUGAUAAAAGGGAAAAGGCAUGGCCUCCACCCCAAGAAAAACAAGUAACCUCGGUUUAAAUCACUAGUCUACACCCCGAAGAGAGAACUAGCCAAACCUACUAAAAGAGAAACUUAACAAUUUAGAAAGAAACCGUCCAUGAUAAAGGGCCCCUAAAGGUCCAAUUCAGUGAGGUCGUGAACAAAAACACUUUCAUGUCAAAACAGAGAUAGGUACCACCAAAAUGUAAAGGGAAAGAUGUAAACCACGUCGAACUUUGGUAAUCAAUGGUAAAGAUAGCAUGAUAGCUAAAAGCACUAAAGCUGUGCUUGGUAUGCAAAAAUGAAAAGUGGAAAUCAGCGUCUUAUUCUUUUUCACCUUUAUUCACAUAUUAGGAUAACUAAUAUCUAAUGUUUUUUAUGUCUCAAAUUCUAUUCCAUGUUAUGGUAAACUUUCAUCUUGUUUAGAUCACUUUUGUCUGGUUUGGGCUCAAGACGAUAAGCCUAUAGAGACUUCAUAUUGGGUUGAAUCGAUGCCCUUGAUCUGAUCUGUUCGUUAGAAAAAUCUGAAUUAUUAUAAGCAUUUAGAUAAAAAAUAAAUAAAUGUGAAACACAAACUACUCCCUGCACAACCUUGACCCUAGUUACUCAGUUUCACUGCUCACAGGACUAACCUCUCCAUUCAGUCGAAAUGAAUUGUAACAAGAAGAUUUUUGACAGGAGGACGGUAGUUUAAAAUAAUAAUUUCUAAAGUACUUUUGUGAAAAAAAAUAAUUCCAAACGUGGAUUUUAUCAAGUAAAAAGAAAAAAAAAAGUUAUUUUCUUUUAAAAUCUGUUCUUCUAAAGAUGAUAUAUAUACCAAAAAAAAAAAUUGUUUUCUGAAGGUAAAAUUUUUAAAAUUCAUUUUUAAAAAAAUUUACACACUAAAAUUAUCUUUUCAAGAGAAGAUUUUUUUAAUUUUAAAUAAUUAUUAAUUUAUAAUUAAUUUGUUAUUAAUUAUUUAUUAAUUUUUUUAUUUGAAAAAUGCAUUUAUAAAAAACAAAUUUGUUAUUAAUUUAUUAAAUAAUUUUUACAAAAUAAAUAAUUUUUUUUUAUUUUAAUUUUAAAAUUAAUUUUAUUAUAUAAAUUUUAAAAUUAAAAAUAUUAAUAUUUAAUUUAAAAUUUAACUAUAAAAGGAAUAAAAUAUAGAAAAAUAAAUUAAUUUAUUAUUCAAUAAAUUAAUUUUCAAUAAAAUUUUCAGCAUUAAGAGAUAAAUUUUUAAGUAUUAAUCAAUUUAAAAAGAAAUAAUGAUCAUUUGUAUAUUAAGAUAUUUUAUUUAGUAAUUAUGAAUGAUAAACAACUAAAGUAAUUUGAAAAAAUAAUAAAAUAUUUAAAAAAUAAUAAUUUAAUACACGUAAAAUUAGAAAUGAUUAACUAUUUUUUAUUAAGAAAAAAUUGAGGAAAUAUUUUGUUAUUUAAAAUUUUUUAUUUGUUUUCAAUUUUUAAUGUUAUAGGUUUCAAGAAAAUUGAUCAAAUAAAAAUUAAGAAGUCAUUUUUUCAAAAACUAUAUAUCUAAAUAAAAGCCUUGAAAUUCAAAUACACAAUAUCAUAAAUAUAAACACCAAGUCAAUCCUUAAUUAUCAAAUGUUUUUAAUAUUAAAGAAUCAAAAUCACCUACUAUCAUGAUAAUAAGAAAACCAAUAAUAUUGUUCAUAUAAAUACUAAAAAGCUAACAAAUAUCCCAAACAAUUAAUAAAGUAUCAAACAUGAUAAAAAGUCAAUUAUUAUCAUGAAUGCAAAAAAUCAAUAAUUUUGUUUAUAUGAACCAUCAACAAAGAAAAAAAAAAUCAAUAUCUAAAUAUUAAACAUAAUUUAUAUUUUUAUAAAUAUUAUUGUUGAUAAAUAUCUUAACAAUUAUAAUUUUAGUAAAUAAAAUUAAUUAAUUUUAGUUUAAGAAUUAUUUUUUUAUACUUUCGUAUUCUUAUCAAAAAUCCCCAUUUUGCAUGUCUCCUUUGGCAUGACUUUCUUACCUAAACAAGCAUAUAUAUAUAUAUAUAUAUAUAAAAUAUUUGGUUAAGAAAGAGUACUAAAGUUUAUAUGGCACACAUCAAGAUAGAAACAGAAGUGGAAGAUAAUCCAAAUGUAUGAACAGAUAUAUUAUAUCCAUGUAGUGGUAGUGACUUCAUUAUUUACUUUUAUCUAAUGGAGCAUGACACACUUCUUCUGAAUAUUUUGCACGAUUAUGUUAUGUGUCAGCUUGUUCUAAGUCAAAACUAGUGAUAAAAAUCGGUUUUUUUUGCAUUUCCUUCAUGAAGAUGGCACCUGGAUGGGGCACUACAUGAGUGGCAUAGCACGAAGUGAUUUAUCUGCUCCCUUUACUAUAAAGUGCUUUGUGUAUAAGUUACACCUCCCCUGCACUGCCUCAACAUUUGUUGUUCUGUCUUCCGUCUGUCCAAACGAGGACAAACGUAUGUUGUAGGUUGACAAAACCACAGCUAGCCUAGGAUUUGCAAGGAUCUAGUUUGAUUCGUAUGCAAAAGGAUUGGUGAAAAGAUUCACAAAGAUAAUGCUUUUUGCAAUGCAAUCUUGUUCUAAUUCAACAGUGUGGACCAUUUUCAUGUAAUGCUUCAACUAGAUGUCAGUUUCAUGAAUUUUUGUUCAUCUAAUUGAUCACUGGAUAGGCCAUAACCCGAAGAAAUUCAAAAUUCCCUUCAGUACUGUAGCUAAGGAAAGAUCCCUAUCUACCACUGGGAUUUUAAGAGGGUAAAAAUGUAGGUGGGUGCCUAUAUCAUUUGCACUUCACUAUAGGCCUCUUUGGGAAGAUUUCUUCUGAAGACAUUUCAAAGAAACAUAUUUUUCUCUUCUCUCCGUAAACGGCAGCUGCAAGUCAGUCCAUUCACAGGCCACCGAGUUGAAAAGGCUGGAAAAUUGGCCAAAGCACCCGCCUCCUGGAUUCCAUGGGUAAGGAAAAGGUCACUGGAGGUGUGAUCCCUGUUGGCCUCUUGAUUUCCAUUCCGCCAUCUAUAUGACCUGAUAACCCAAAAACACAGAAGGAAAACGUCACCUGGGUUCAUAGUAAGCAUCAAGUCAUGAUAGAGACCAGACAACAUGACCAACAAAGAGUAGCGAAUGGGGCCAACAUCAAGCCCCAUUACGGUUAGAAGAUGGAAGAAGUAGAAGACAAUCCAAUUCUGAUAGAUUCGGGCAAAUGUAGUGCUGUUCAAACUUAAUCAUUUACUAUUUCUUCAUGAAUCACGGCAUUUUUCUUCUGAAAAUUUUCCAAGAUUAGGCCUCUGAAGAAAAAUUUCAUAUGUAAAUUGGUAUAUUAAGGAAAAGGCGUUACAAAGGUGAAAAAAAACCAAUCAAAUCUUAUAUAUGACAUCUCAAAAAUAUGAACUUGCUAUAAAUAUUUAAAAUCAAAAUCUUGCACAUCACCUCGUAGUACGAACUUGCUAUAAAACUUGAAAAUCAAGAAGAAAGGGGCAGUAUUGGACGAGACUACUUAGCACAUAUUAUUAUGAUGUUUUUUCAUUUUCUUAAUGUUGUUUUUAUGUCUUAAAUUCUAUUAUUCUAUGUUACGGUAAACAUUCAUCUUGUUUGUGUGGAAUAGGAUCACUUUUCUCUGGGUUGAGUCGAUGCCCUUAGUUAAUUUGUUCAUUUGAAUAAACUAAAUUAUUAUAAGUAUUUAGAUAAGAAAAACGUGAUACAUAAAUUACGCCUCUCGGCACAACUUCAACACUGGUUACUCUGUUUCAGUUUCCUCACACAAGAUUAUUGGUUCUAGGGUUUAUUUGGUUUUGGUUUGAUUCUAAUUGCUAAACUUUCUCAAGGAAGAUGUUAUAUAGGGAGUGAGAAACCUUCACUCUUGGCUACCUCCAAGAGAAGAGCAAGUGGUCUGAAUCAAAGAUAUACUGCUCACUUUUUCUUCUUCUAAGGACAGCUAUGACCUUGCUUUAAGGUUCGAAUAGCCUAAUGCAACCUCCCAUUUCUCAAGUCAGCUGAUGAUGUAAGUCACCUUGGCUUUCCACAUUCAUACGGUGAGGACGUUUGUGGGUGUAAUUCUCUUAACAGUUUUCAUUUUAUAUGGAAAAAUUCAUAAUUAAGGGUAAUUACUGAUUCCAUUUGACAGUGACCAAGUUUAAAAUAUUAAUUCAUAUAUUAAAUGCACAUUAAAAAAUCAUGGAAUAAAUAUAUUUACUAAUAUAUAGUUCUUUUGCCAUGUUCUGUCACAGAAGCAUCGAACUUUCCCUAGAAAUUUUUGCAUGGUAUUCUACUUAUGAUUUUGAAAACUCUAGGCACCUGAGGCCACUAAUUGCAUGGUUGGAUGAGGAGCUGCAUGAGAUUAUGUAUCGUGUUGUUCCUUAACUACAAAUAUCAGUUUUAAGUAGCAUCUCCAUGUGACAUUUUCCUGAUGCAAUUUCGCUGUCCACCAACAAAUUUCACCAUGCAGCAAGAUGAAUUGUAAUUUCUUUAUUGUUAUCAACAGCUUUAAUUAAUCUUGAUAUAUAUAUAUAACUUAGUAGAAGUAUAUUAAUCUAGAUUGUAGUUGCACUAAGAUAAUAGGCAAUAUUAUAACAGUGCCACAAUGCUCAUCGCCAAAUAGAAAGGUAGAAAAACUACAAUGAGUAACUCACAACAUUCUCAAACAGGACAUAGCGGCGACUGAUACAUAGAACACUAUUGGCACUCAGGAAAUGAUAAGAUCAGUGCCCAGCAGGCAGCACGUCUUAUUUUACAUACUACUUAAAACUAACCAAAGUCAUUCAGUUGGGAUGGGUGGGAGAUGGUGGUUUGUGCGGUGGCUUUUGGGUAGUUGGUGGCUUCUUUCCUGGAACUGAUGGUUUUUUUGUUGGAGUUGAAGGAGGCUUAAUCGUCUGAGGUGGCUUGUAUGAGUCUUCAGCACUCUCUGCGGGAGGGUGCCCAGGGUUGUGACCAUAAUGGGGUGGCUUCUCUCCCUUAGUUGGUUUGCCAAGUGGGCUGGCUGGCUUGUGCUCCGGGAGCGGCUUCUCUCCCUUAGGUGGUUUGCCAAAUGGGCUUGCUGGCUUGUGCUCUGGGAGCGGCUUCUCUCCCUCAAGAAGUUUACGGGUUUUGUCAGAUGGCUUGUGUUCUGGUGGUGGCUUCUCUCCUUGGGGUGGUUUGCCAAAUGGACUUGGUGGCUUGUGUUCGGGGAGUGGCUCCUCUCCCUUGGGAGGUUUAGUUGGUGGCUGGUGUUCCAUAGGUGGUUUCUCAACCGGGGGCUUGUUCUCCGUUGGUGGUUUAUGAACUGGGGGAUGCUUGGGGUAGUCAGCAAGAGACGGGGUGGUGAGAACCACCAGUCCCAGCAGCAACACUAGCAAGUAUGUGGAAGAGUACAUCUUUGAGUUCAGGCUGAGAUUUGUGCGAGACUUGAAGAAUUAGGUGGCCUUUUAUAGCUGGCUGCACCCAACACUCACAUGACACGUAUCAUGGUGACACAUGUGCUAUGGGUCCAUUUGGGUCCUACAGAAGCUGAAAACUUUUGACUAUUGAGGUGUGGUCACAACUUUUGUCCCUAUUGCUUUCUCCGCAACCGUUUUACAUGUUUCCUUUGGCAUAAUUUUCUAAGCUAAACAAGCAUAUAUCAUAUUUGGUUAAGAAAGAGUAAAGUGUAUAUGGCACACAUCAAGGAAGAGAAACAGAAAAAGUGGGAGACAAUCAAUUGUGAUAAACAGAUAUAUUAUAUUCAUGUAGUACUAGUGACUUUAUCAUUUACUUUUAUCCAAUAGAUCAUCACUCUUUCUUCUAAAUAUUUUGGAGGAUAAUGGUACAUGUUGCUUGUUUCCAAGUCAAAAUUGGUGGCAAAAAUCGGCAUGAUACGAAAGGAUUGGUGAAAAGAUUCACAUAGAUGGUGCUUUGUGCAAUGCAGUCUUGCUCUAAUUCAACAGAGUGGACCAUGGUGAUGUAUUUUAAAUUUUAAAUUUUAAAUUAAUGCAUGCUUCAAAGUUUUAACUAGAUGUCACUUCCAUGGAUUUUUGUUCAUUUAAUUGAGCACAGGAUAGGCUAUCAAACUUGAAGUAAUAUAAAAAUCCCUUCAUUACUGUAACUAAUGAAAGAUCAUUAUCUGCGCUUGGUAUUUUGCCAAGGUAUUUGCUGCUCUUUCUAGCCCUGUCUUACAGUUAAGGACAAUGUGAUCUAGUUAACCUUAGAAGCUAUUCCAUGUCAGAUACAAGAGAUCAAGCACAUUAUCUUUGGGCUCAGUUCAAAACUAUAAUAUAUGGGUGGGGUGGAGGCCCAUAUCAUUUGCAUAUCACCACUAUUGGUUUAGUUUGGAAGGUUUCUUCUGGAAGAUUGCUGCUUUCUGGAAUCAUUUCAAAGAAAUAUAUCUUUUUGUUCUCUUGGUGACGAGCAGCGGCAAUCAAGUCUGUUGACAAACAACCGAGUUGAAAAGUUUGAAAAUUGGUCACAGCCCACGUCCAUGGUUAAGGAAAAGGUCACUGGAAGUGAUCCCUUCUGGGCCUCUUGAUUUCCAUUCUGACAUCUAUAUGACCUGAUAAAUAGAAAGAAAAAAAAACAGAAGAAAAGCGGCACCCGGGUUCAUAGUAAGCAUCAAGACAGGAUACUGAAAGAAGGGAGAAAGGAGAUUGCAAGUCCAAUCCUGAUAAAAUGAUCAACAAAGAGUAUCAAAAUGGGGCCAACAUAAAGACCCAUUGAGGUUAGCAGAUGGCAUGGCAUUUUUCUCCUUAAGUUUUCCAUGAUUAGACUUGAAGUCAAAAUUUCACAUGUAAAUUUGUAUUUCUACAUUUCCCACUGACGACACCCAACUUCAACUUGAGUUAGAAUAACAUUGUGUGAACUUAUCUGGCCCUCAAAAUUUACUGUGAAGUGCUUUCUGCGUGUGAAGAUUCAGAAAAGCACCAAGGGAACAUGUAUGGUCUGCCUUUUUCUGAUGUUAUGUUUGUCUCUAAUUCUGUUCCAUGUCAUGGUAAAUGUUCACAUUGCUUGUAUGGAACACACCAGGAUCACUUUUUCGGGUUUAUUUUGAGGCUUCAUAUUGGGUUCAUAUUGGGUUCAAUGCUUUUAAUGUGUUCAUUAGACAAAUCUGAAUUAUCAUAUGCAUUUAGAUAAGAACAAUAAUGUGAAACCCUAGUUACACCUCCCCUGCAUAACCCCAACCCUGCUUACUCUAUUUCAGUUUACUCACACAAGUUUUACCGGUUCUUAUAAGUCAAGAAAAGGCAACUGAUGUUGGAUUGACUCUCUUCCAUGUAUAAAAAGCAACUUUUAUAUAUACAUAAAAUAACUUCUUCCCCUCACCAAUGUGGGAUAUCAUGGAUUUAUUCUGGAAACACAUCAAAGGAACAUCUUUUCUCUUGGGUGACCCUAAGUGGUGAGUCAGACCAUUUGCAUGCCAUUGAGUUGCACAGUUGGAUAAAUGCACCUACCUCCUGGGCUCCAGAGUUAAAAGGGUGGAUCCCUGGAUCGCAACCCUCUUGGCAUCUUGGUUUCCAUUCCAACAUCCACAUGACUUGACAAAACAAAAAACAGAAUAAAAUCAUCACUAUUUUCAUGCUAAGCACCAAUACAUGAUGGAAAUCAUUGCUUAAAGAUUUGGGGUCAUUUAGGUUUUGACUGCCUCCUAACACCUCACCUAAUCACAAGUUUUUAUGCUUACAAAUCAAAUAUCGUUCUUCAUUAUAUUAAAAUCAUUUUAAGAUUUCAGAUCCAUCUGCUAAUUAUGAUUAUGAUAACAUUAAUUCACCUGUGCUUCUCAUUUUCGACACACAAGGCAUCUAGGUUUGCAGGAUUUCCUUAUUAGAUGAGAUAAAUGAGUACGCAUGGUUAUGUAUGCAGCAUUCAUUAACCAUGGUAUGUGACAUUUAGAAUUAAGAUAGCAAGCAAACUUUCCCUGCAGCUUGAGUAAAUUGUGAUUUCUUAGCCUCUAUGAGUGGUUCCCAAAUCAAAUUAACAUAGUGAAAUAUACGUAGUCCAGUGAAAGGAAAUGUAAAUUAUAAACUAACAGCACUACACUACUGGUAACACUCGAUACUCUCUAUAUAAUGCAAUGAAAUAUACGUUAUACGUUGCUUGUUCCAAGUCAAAAUUUGUGGCCAAACGUUGGCCUUUUUUCAUUUUCCCUAAGAUUAAUGCUCACCUGGGAUAGGCACUACAUGAUUUAUCUGCUCUUUUACUGUAAAGUUGCUUUGUGUAUGAGUUACACCUCCCCUGCACACCCUCAACAUUUGUUGCUCUGUUUUCCUUGUGUCCAGACGAGGAUAUUAAGUGGGGGCUGACAAAACGACUGCUAGCCAAGGAUUUACAAGGUCCUGGUUUGACGCUUCCGCGAAAGUAUUUUUGAAAAUAUACACAUAGAGAUUGCGCGUUCGGUGCAAUGCAACAAUGUGAGCCAUUCUGAAGUUUUUAAUUUCAGAUUAAUGAAUGCUACAAAAUUCUAAGAAGGGCCGUUUCCAAAUAUUUGAGUUCAUUUAUCCGAACAUCGGAUAAGUAAUGAUCAUAGAUUAUUAUUAUUAUCUGACGUUCUUAUAAUGGUUGGCAUUAUAAGAGGGUAUAUGCUUCUUUCUCUAGCCCCUCCUUCAAGGGAGGGACAAUGUGAUCUGUAUCGUUAGAAGCUAUUCCAUGUCGUCAUCUUUUGGCUUAAGUCAAUACUAAAAUAUAUGGGCGGGGCCCCUGUCAUUUUAUAUUUCUUCUAGAAGGUUUGUUCUGGAAAUCUUUCACCGAAACAUAUCUUUUUCUUCUCUACGUGAUCCGUGGUUGGAAAGUUAGAAAAAUGGGUCCGUUCACAAGCCACCGAGUUGAAAAGUUGGAAAAAUGGCAACACCGCCAACCUCUUGUAUUCGAUAGUUAAAUAAAAGGUCACUGGAAGUGAGAUCCCUUUUGGCCUCUUGAUUUUCAUCCCAGCAUCUCUAUGUCCUGAUAAACUAAAAAACUAAAAAAAAAACAGUACGUGGGUUGGUGUUAAGCAUCAAGAGUCAAGACAUGAUAAUGGAGAGAAAGGAUAUUCAAAUUCCAGUUCUGACAACAUGAUUUUCUUUCCUGAACAACCAUGUUAUAUUUGAUCAAGAAAGAGUAGUGCAUGUGGCCAGGAUCAAGACAUACAUUAAUUUCCACAUGAUGAAGACAGUUUCUGAGAGUUUCUUCUAAAGCUCUUGCGCUAGUAGGCUUCAAGUCAAAAUUUCCCAUGUAAACACUGGAUUUUCUUUAAUUGCCACUAAGGAUACAGUUAAAAUUGACUUAAAAUCCUACGUGAUAUAUAUCUUUAACAAAAGUAUAUUGUAUAUAAUAUUUGAAAUAAUGUUGAUUCGUUGUGGAAAUAUGUUUGUAAGGAAAGUUGUUGACAAUUUAAUAUAGUAUAAGAAGAAAAAAGUUAUCAACUAGAGAUGAGUAUGUAAAGUGAGGCUCACGAUUCAACGCGUAAAUAUAAGAUAUUUUAAGGCUCAAUAGUUAUGAUAUCUAUUUUAUUUUUUGUAUCCCAUAUAUUCAAAGAUACAGUAAAAUGAUUUUAUAUAUAUGAACAUAGCCGAUAGUAUCAUGUUAAAACCUUAUAUGACUCUUUGUGCCAAUUGAUUUUUAUCUUUAUUUUGUGUAUUAGUAAUUAGUAUUAAAGUUUUUACUAACAUAAUAAUUGAUAUAAAAGCUUUUUCCAAAAGAGUCAAACAGAGCAAAACACUUAUUAUAAAAAGAAUUUUGAUUGAAGGUGGAGUCAAUUAUUCUUUAUUCAACAUGUGAUGCAUACAGCGGGUACUUCAUAACUAAAGUAUAUAAGUGCAACAUCUCUUAUACAUUCUCAUUCAAUCUCGAAAGUGGAAAAUUUUAAAAGAUUAAAUGGUUCAAAUUUUCCGUGCAUAAAGGGGAUCAUGUCACAUAACCAAACCAUGGCAUACCAAAGCCAUGAUAUGGACUAAGAAUUUUGUUAAAAUAAGUUUCUUAUUAGGGCACAUUAUGUGACUAUUUAUGACAUAUCAAAGGAGUCAAGUGCAUCAAUAAAGACAUAGAAAAUUCAUGCAUCACAUGUACCACUAAGAGAAAAUUGACUUGAUAGAGUUUAGUCCAAAUAGGAGAUUGUUAAAAGGUGCAUCAAAUUCUUGAUUGAUAUAUAUUUUUUUUAUUAGAAAGGUUAUUAUAUAGAUAUUUCAAUAGACUAUUAAUCCUUUGUAAAAAUAGUUAUAUAAUGAGGAUGGUGAUUAAAAAUAUCUCUAUCAAUAUUUUGGAUUAUAAAAAGAAAAAAAAUAUGAGAAAAUGAUAAACAUAUAAAACUUGUACAAGUAGAUAGAGAUGUGAUGAAAGACACUUGAUGAAUGGAGGCCUUGUAUUUCAAGAUGUAAAUAUAUGGAGCAAAACUCUUAAUUAUAUGAUCAAAUGAUUCUCUCAUAUUCAUGAACAUAAGCAGGAUUGGGGAACCAUGAUAGAAUCUUAUAUGCCUCUCCAUGUAGAUUGAUCGAUGUUUAUCUUCAUAUUUUACACCAAUGAAUGACAUUGAAACUCUGAUUGAUAAAAGGGAAAAAGCAUGGCCUCCACCACAAGAAAAACAAGUAACCUCGGUCUAAAUCACUAGUCUACACCCCGAAGAGAGAACUAGCCAAACCUACUAAAAGAGAAACUUACCAAUUUAGAAAGAAAUCUUCCAUGAUAAAGGGCCCCUAAAAGUCCAAUUCAGUCAGGUUGUGAACAAAAACACCUUCAUGUCAAAACAGGAAUAGGUACCACCAAAAUGUAAAGGGAAAGAUGUAAACCAAGUCGAACUUUGGUAAACAAUGGUAAAGAUAGCAUGAUAGCUAAAAGCACUAAAGCUGUGCUUGGUAUGCAAAAAUGAAAAGUGGAAAUCAGCGUCUUAUUCUUUUUCUCCUUUAUUCACAUAUUAGGAUAACUAAUAUCUAAUGUUUUUUUUAUGUCUCAAAUUCUAUUCCAUGUUAUGGUAAACUUUCAUCUUGUUUAAGUGGAAGAGUAGGAUCACUUUUGUCUGGUUUGGGCUCAAGACGAUAAGCCUAUAGAGACUUCAUAUUGGGUUGAAUUGAUGCCCUUGAUCCGAUCAGUUCGUUAGAAAAAUCUGAAUUAUUAUAAGCAUUUAGAUAAAAUAAAUAAAUAAAUGUGAAACAGAGACUAUUCUCUGCACAACCUUGACCCUAGUUACUCAGUUUCACUGCUCACGGGACUAACCUCUCCAUUCAGUCGAAAUGAAUUGUAAUUUCUUUACUGGUAGCAGUAGUACUUUUCAUAGCAAAGAUAAUAGUAAAUAUGAAAUAUAAAUAUAUAGAAGGAAAUCUGGAUUGUAGAUAGCACCAUAAGUAACACUCAAUAUUUACUACAUAAUAAAAGAGAUAGUGUUACAAAGGUAGAGAAACCUACAAUGAGUACUCAUCACCAUUCUCAAACAGAAACAUAGCAGUGACUUAUACAUAGAACCUAUAGGCUCGCAGGGAAAGAGUAACAUGAUAAGUGCACAGCGGGUAGCAGCUCUUAUUUUACGUAUUACUCAAAAUCUCAAACUAACCAAAGUCACUCAGUUGGGAUGGGUAGGAGAUGGUGGUUUGUGGGGUGGCUUCUGGGUAGGAGCUGGUGGCUUCUUUGUUGGAGUUGAAGGAGGCGUAAUCUUCUGAGGUGGCUUGUAUGAGUCUUUGGCACUCUCUGCAGGAGGGUGCCCAGGGUUGUGACCGGAAGGAGGUGGCUUCUGUCCCUUUGGUGGUUUGCCUAAUGGGCUUGGUGGCUUGUGCUCCGGGAGUUGUUUCUCUCCCUCGAGUAGGUUUCGAGUUUUGUCAGAUGGCUUGUGUUCUGGUGGUGGCUUCUCUCCCUGGGGUGGUUUGCCGAAUGGGCUUGGUGGCUUGUGUUCGGGGAGUGGCUUCUCUCCCUUGGCAGGUUCAGUUGGUGGCUGGUGCUCCGUAGGUGGUUUCUUCACCGCCGGCUUCUCUCCCUGGAGAAGGUUACGAGUUUUGUCAGAUGGCUUCUGUUCUGGUGGCGGCUUCUCUCCCUGGGGUGGUUUGCCAAAUGGGCUUGGUGGCUUGUGUUCGGGAACUGGCUUCUCUCCCUUGGCAGGUUCAGUUAGUGGCUGGUGUUCCGUAGGUGGUUUCUUCACCGGCGGCUUGUGCUCCGGAAGCGGCUUCUCUACCUGGAGAAGCUUACGAGUUUUGUCAGAUGGCUUGUGUUGUGGUGGUGGCUUCUCUCCCUGGGGUGGUUUGCCAAAUGGACUUGGUGGCUUGUGUUCGGGGAGUGGCUUCUCUCCAUUGGGAGGUUUAGUUGGUGGUUGGUGUUCCGUAGGUGGUUUCUGAAGUGGGGGAUGCUUGGGGUAGUCAGCAAGAGACGAGGUAGUGAGAACCACCAGUCCCAGCAGCAAUACUAGCAAGGAUGUGGAAGACAUCUUUGAGUUCAGGCUGAGAUUUGUGCAAGGCUAGAAGAAUUAGGUGGCCUUUUAUAGCGGGCUGGACCCAACAACCAAAUGACACGUAUCAUGAUACACAUAUGUGUUAUAAGAUCCUUGUGGGUCCUACAGAAGUUGAAAACUUUGACAAUUGAGGUGUGAUUACAACUUUUGUCCCUAUUGCUUUCUCGUCAGCCGUUUUGCAAGAUUUUUGACAGGAGGACGGUAGUUUAAAAUAAUAAUUUCUAAAGUACUUUUGUGAAAAAAAAUAAUUCCAAACGUGGAUUUUAUCAAGUAAAAAAAACAAAAAAAAGUUAUUUUCUUUUAAAAUCUUUUCUUCAUGAUUCAUAUACCAAAAAAAGAAUUGUUUUCUGUAGGUAAAAUUUUUAAAAUUCAUUUUUAAAAAAAAAAAAUUACACACUAAAAUUAUCUCUUCAAGAAAAUAUUUUUUAAAUUUUAAAUAAUUAUUAAUUUAUAAUUAAUUUUUUAUUAAUUAUUUAUUAAAUUUAUAUGUGAAAAAUGCAUUUAUAAAAAACAAAUUUUUUAUUAAUUUAUUAAAUAAUUAUUUACAAAAUAAAUAAUUUUGCUUUAUUUUAAUUUUAAAAUUAAUUUUAUUAUAUAAAUUUUAAAAUUAAAAAUAUUAAUAUUUAAUUUAAAAUUUAACUAUAAAAGGAAUAAAAUAUAGAAAAAUAAAUUAAUUUAUUAUUCAAUAAAUUAAUUUUCAAUAAAAUUUUCAGCAUUAAGAGAUAAAUUUUUAAGUAUUAAUCAAUUUAAAAAAUAAUAAUAAUCAUUUGUAUACUAAGAUAUUUUAUUUAGUAAUUAUGAAUGAUAAACAACUAAAGUAAUUUGAAAAAAUAAUAAAAUAUUUAAAAAUAAUAAUUUAAUACACUUAAAAUUAGAAAUGAUUAACUAUUUUUUAUUAAGAAAAAAUUGAAGAAAUAUUUUGUUAUUUAAAAUUUUUUAUUUGUUUUCAAUUUUAAAUGUUAUAGGUUUCAAGAAAAUUGAUCAAAUAAAAAUUAAGAAGUCAUUUUUUCAAAAACUAUAUAUCUAAAUAAAAGCCUUGAAAUUCAAAUACACAAUAUCAUAAAUAUAAACACCAAGUCAAUCCUUAAUUAUCAAAUGUUUUUAAUAUUAAAGAAUCAAAAUCACCUACUAUCAUGAUAAUAAGAAAACCAAUAAUAUUGUUCAUAUAAAUACUAAAAAGCUAACAAAUAUCCCAAACAAUUAAUAAAGUAUCAAACAUGAUAAAAAGUCAAUUAUUAUCAUGAAUGCAAAAAAUCAAUAAUUUUGUUUAUAUGAACCAUCAACAAAGAAAAAAAAAAUCAAUAUCUAAAUAUUAAACAUAAUUUAUAUUUUUAUAAAUAUUAUUGUUGAUAAAUAUCUUAAUAAUUAUAAUUUUUUAUAUAUUAAAUUUAGUAAAUAAAAUUAAUUAAUUUUAUAAUAUAAGAUAUAUAUAAUAAUUAAGAGACUAUUUGUCCCAAACAAUUUAUUUAUUUUUUUUUUAGGAAAUUGUCUCUUCAAGAGACGACUUCUCCCAACAUUUUUAAAAAAAAAAAAAAAAACAUCUAUUCAAAAGACGAUUUCUCCUCAUUUUUUAAAAAUGAAUUUUAGAAAUCAUAUUUUCAAAAAUGAAUUUUAGAAAUCAUAUUUUCAAAAGACGAUUUUUUUUUAUAUAAAUUAUUUUUUAAAAUGACGAUUUUAAAAGGAAAUAACGAUCUCUCUCCUACUUGGCAAAAACUAUGGUAAAUUUGGAAUUAUUUCUUCCACAACCAUAGUUUAAGAAUUAUUUUUUUAUACUUUCGUAGACUUAUCAAAAAUCCCUAUUUUGCAUGUCUCAUUUGGCAUGACUUUCUUACCUAAACAAGCAUAUAUAUAUAUAUAUAUAUAUAUAUCACUUUUGUCUGGGUUGAGUCAAUGCCCUUAACUAAUUUGUUCAUUUGAAUAGUCUAAAUUAUUAUAAGCUUUUAGUUAAGAAAAAUGUGAAACAUAAAUUACACCUCUCGGCACAACUUCGACACUGGUUACUCUGUUUCAGUUUAUUCACACAAGAUUAUUGGUUCUAGGGUUUAUUUGGUUUUGGUUUGAUUCUAAUUGCUAAACUUUCUCAAGGAAGAUGUUAUAUAGGGAGUGAGAAACCUUCACUCCUGGCUACCUCCAAGAGAAGAGCAAGUGGUCUGAAUCAAAGAUAUACUGCUCACUUUUUCUUCUUCUAAGGACAGCUAUGACCUUGCUUUAAAAUGUUCGAAUAGCCUAAUGCAACCUCCCAUUUCUCAAGUCAGCUGAUGAUGUAAGUCACCUUGGCUUUCCACAUUCAUACGGUGAGGACGUUUGUGGGUGUAAUUCUCUUAACAGUUUUCAUUUUAUAUGGAAAAAUUCAUAAUUAAGGGUAAUUACUGAUUCCAUUUGACAGUGACCAAGUUUAAAAUAUUAACUCAUGUAUUAAAUGCACAUUAAAAAAUCAUGGAAUAAAUAUAUUUACUAAUAUAUAGUUCUUUUGUCAUGUUCUGUCACAGAAGCAUCGAACUUUCCCUAGAAAUUUUUGCAUGGUAUUCUGCUUAUGAUUUUGAAAACUCUAGGCACCUAAGGCCACUGAUUGCAUGGUUGGAUGAGGAGCUGCAUGAGAUUAUGUAUCCUGUUGCUCCUUAACUACAAAUAUCAGUUUUAAGUAGCAUCUCCAUGUGACAUUUUCCUGAUGCAAUUUCGCUGUCCACCAACAAAUGUCUCCAUGCAGCUAGAUGAAUUGUAAUUUCUUUGUUGUUAUCAACAGCUUUAAUUAAUCUUGAUAUAUAUAUAACUUAGUAGAAGUAAUUAAUCUAGAUUGUAGUUGCACUAAGAUAAUAGGCAAUAUUAUAACAGUGCCACAAUGCUCAUCGCCAAAUAGAAAGGUAGAAAAACUACAAUGAGUAACUCACACAACAUUCUCAAACAGGACAUAGCGGCGACUGAUACAUAGAACACUAUUGGCACUCAGGAAAUGAUAAGAUCAGUGCCCAGCAGGCAGCACGUCUUAUUUUACAUACUACUUAAAACUAACCAAAGUCAUUCAGUUGGGAUGGGUGGGAGAUGGUGGUUUGUGCGGUGGCUUCUUUCCUGGAACUGGUGGUUUUUUUGUUGGAGUUGAAGGAGGCUUAAUCGUCUGAGGUGGCUUGUAUGAGUCUUCAGCACUCUCUGCAAGAGGGUGCCCAGGGUUGUGACCAUAAUGAGGUGGCUUCUCUCCCUUAGGUGGUUUGCCAAGUGGGCUGGCUGGCUUGUGCUCCGGGAGCGGCUUCUCUCCCUUAGGUGGUUUGCCAAAUGGGCUUGCUGGCUUGUGCUCUGGGAGCGGCUUCUCUCCCCCAAGAAGUUUGCGGGUUUUGUCAGAUGGCUUGUGUUCUGGUGGUGGCUUCUCUCCUUGGGGUGGUUUGCCAAAUGGACUUGGUGGCUUGUGUUCGGGGAGUGGCUCCUCUCCCUUGGGAGGUUUAGUUGGUGGCUGGUGUUCCGUAGGUGGUUUCUCAACCGGGGGCUGGUGCUCCGUAGGUGGUUUAUGAACUGGGGGAUGCUUGGGGUAGUCAGCAAGAGACGGGGUGGUGAGAACCACCAGUCCCAGCAGCAACACUAGCAAGUAUGUGGAUGACAUCUUUGAGUUCAGGCUGAGAUUUGUGCAAGACUAGAAGAAUUAGGUGGCCUUUUAUAGCUGGCUGCACCCAACACUCACAUGACACGUAUCACGGUGACACAUGUGCUAUGGGAUCCAUUUGGGUCCUACAGAAGUUGAAAACUUUUGACUAUUGAGGUGUGAUCACAACUUUUGUCCCUAUUGCUUUCUCCGCAACCGUUUUACAUGUUUCCUUUGUGGUGUUUAAUAGUGUUUUUUUCCUUAAUUCUAAAUAAACCUUAAUACUUAAUAAUGUUAAAUAUUAGGUUAUUUAUUUUUAUAAUAUUUUAUUUAUAUUAAGUAUUAAAAAGUAAAGAAAAAUCAAUAUAUUUAUUUUUCUAUUUAGAAAAAACUAUAUAUUUUUAAUUUUUUUAUUUAAUAAAAAAUUUAUAAUAAAUCAUGAAAAAAUAGAAAAACAAACAACCUAAAUUUUAAAAAUAAAUUGUUUUUAGUAAAAACCCAAAAAAACAAACACCACCUUAACUAAACAAAUAUAUAUUAUAUUUAGUUAAGAAAGAGUAAAGUGUAUAUGGCUCAAAUCAAGGAAGAGAAACAGAAUAAGUGGAAGACAAUCAAUUGUGAUAAACAGAUAUAUUACAUGCAUGUAGUACUAGUGACUUUAUCAUUUACUUUUAUACAAUAGAUCAUCACACUCUUUCUUCUAAAUAUUUUGGAGGAUAAUGGUACAUGUUGCUUGUUGCCAAGUCAAAAUUGGUGGCAAAAAUCGGCAUGAUACGAAAGGAUUGGUGAAAAGAUUCACAUAGAUGGUGCUUUGUGCAAUGCAGUCUUGCUCUAAUUCAACAGAGUGGACCAUGGUGAUGUAUUUUAAAUUUUAAAUUUUAAAUUAAUGCAUGCUUCAAAGUUUUAACUAGAUGUCACUUCCAUGGAUUUUUGUUCAUUUAAUUGAGAACAGGAUAGGCUAUCAAACUUGAAGUAAUAUAAAAAUCCCUUCAUUACUGUAACUAAUGAAAGAUCAUUAUCUGCGCUUGGUAUUUUGCCAAGGUAUUUGCUGCUCUUUCUAGCCCUAUCUUACAGUUAAGGACAAUGUGAUCUAGUUAACCUUAGAAGCUAUUCCAUGUCAUAUACAAGAGAUCAAGCACAUUAUCUUUGGGCUCAGUUCAAAACUAUAAUAUAUGGGUGGGGUGGGGGCCUAUACCAUUUGCAUAUCACCACUAUUGGUUUAGUUUGGAAGGUUUCUUCUGGAAGAUUGCUUUCUGGAAACAUUUCAAAGAAAUAUAUCUUUUUGUUCUCUUGGUGACGAGCAGCGGCAAUCAAGUCUGUUGACAAACAACCGAGUUGAAAAGUUUGAAAAUUGGUCACAGCCCACGUCCAUGGUUAAGGAAAAGGUCACUGGAAGUGAUCCCUUCUGGGCCUGUUGGAAGCAGGGGAGGUUAACACACCAAGCAACAAAGAACAGAGAUAUGCUGCUACUGAUCUAUAUUUUUUAUUUGAUCAUAAGGCUAAAUUUAUACAGAUUGUGUAACAGAUAUGACCUCAAAAAAAAGCAUCAAAUCAAGCUACUUGUUGAACAAACAACUACCUUCUACAAAAUAACAUCAAAAUUUAACUUAAAAGCAAAAACAUAAAAAUAGCAACAGCAAAAAUAGAAACAUAAAAAUAGCUUCAGCAUUCUAGUAAUCUCGUUGACUUCAAUUGCAUGUGGUUGACGAUUUCAGCCUUUUCCUCAGCAGCUACUAAGGCAUAACUCUCAACACUCCUCCUUGACUUAGGAGGUGCAAACUCCAAGUCUUUCUCAUAGAAACUCAAAUCUUAUUUUAGGAAGAGCUUUAGUCAGAAUAUCUACAUUUUGACUGUCUGUAUUGCAGUAGACUAGUUGUAUAUCUCCUUCUUUCUGUACUUCCCUCAAAAAUUACAAUUUAAUCUUGAAGUGCUUUGUUUUACCAUGAAAAACUGGAUCAUUUGCAAUAGAUAUAGUGGCCUGGUUGUCUACAAACACCUUUGUACUCACUUCUUGCUUCAUAUCCAAAUCUGUCAGCAACUUUCCAAGCCAUAAGGCUUGAUUUACAGCUGUAACAGCAGCAAUAUACUCUGCCUCAGCUGUGGAUUGAGCCACGACUUCUUGCUUCCUUGAACUCCAUGAAAAAACACCAGAACCAAAACUAAAACAAUAGCCUGAAGUACUUCUCAUAUCGUCAACACAACCAGCCCAAUCACUAUCAGAAAAUCCAUGAAAAUUGAAACUUUGAACUUGACUGAACUUAAUGCCAUAAUCCACAGUGCCUUUAACAUUUCUUAUCACACGCUUUGCUGCCUGGAAAUGAAUUUCACUAGCACAAUGCAUGUAUCUCGAAAGUAGACUUACAGCAUGCAUUAUAUCGAGUCUUGUUGCAGUCAAGUACAUUAAGCAUCCAAUCAUGCUUCGAUAAAGUCCUUCAUCUACCUUUUUAGCACCGUCCUCCUUACAGAACUUCUCUUUCUGGUUCAUAGGGGUAGAUGUAGGUUUGCAUUCCUCCAUUUUGAAUUUCUUCAUAAUUUCUUUGGCAUAUUUUUGUUGGCAGAUGAAAAUCUCAUUCUGCUUCUGGUGUACUUCCAUUCCCAAGAAGUAAGACAUCUCAUCUAGGUCUGUCAUCUCAAAAACCUGCUCCAUUUCAGCCUUGAAUUUGUUCACAAACCCUGCAUUACUUCCUGUUACAAGCAAAUCAUCAACAUAUAGAGAAACAAUUAAUAUAUCUUCUUCAAUCUUCUUAAUGUAGAGUGUAAAUUCACUCAAGCUCUUGUGAAAGCCUAAAGUUAGCAGGUGAGUGUCAAUCCUGCUGUACCAAGCUCUAGGGGCUUGUCUUAACCCAUACAAGGCCUUCUUAAGAAGGUAUACUUUUUCUUCUUUUCCUUUGAUAGCAAAACCUUCUGGUUGUUCGACAAAAAUCUCUUCCUCUAAGUAGCCAUUCAAAAAUGCUGACUUCACAUCUAGUUGAUAAAUCUUCCAUUUUCUUUGAGCUACAAGAGCCAACAACAUCCUGAUUGUAUCCAAACGAGCUACUGGUGCAAAGGUUUCCGAAAAGUCAACACCAAACAUUUGUGCAUACCCUUUGACAACCAGCCUUGCUUUAUGUUUGUUUAUAGAACCAUCAGAGUUGAGUUUGGUUCUGUAAACCCACUUAACCCCAAUAGGUUUUUUGUGUGAAGGUCUAUCUACUAGCUCCCAAGUGUUGUUCUUGUCAAUCAUAUCUAGCUCCUCCUGCAUUGCAACCCUCCAUCUUUUAUUUUCAGCAGCUUCAACAAACCCUGCAAGUUCAAGAACAGCUAUAUUACACCUUUGAUAAAUAUCAAAAAGUGUCAUGAAACCUCUAACUGGAAGUUCAUCAACAUCUUCAUCAAUAUAUUGCUGAUUCUGCUCAUCCCAACUCCAUUUCUCCGUUUCCAAAAACUUAACAUCUCUACUUACCACAAUUUUACUAUUUUGUGGCAAGUAGAUUCUGUAAGCUUUUGAGGUGCUGUUGUAUCCAAUGAAAAUUCCUGGUUCUGACUUUUUAUCUAGCUUGUCUCUUUUCACCUGAGGAACAUAAGAGAAACACAAGCAACCAAAGGUCUUUAAAUUCAUUAGCAUAGGCUUAUAAGCAAACCAGGCCUCAAAAGGUGUCUGUUUCUGCAAUGCUUUUGUUGGUAGUCUAUUUAGCAAAAAUACUACUGUAUUUGCAGCUUCAACCCAAAAACUUUUUGGCAGCUCUUUCUCAUGCAAAAGACAUCUUGUCAUUGAUUACUACUCAAAAAGUGCUAUUUGAUAGCCUUUAAUUAAUCCUUUUUAACACUUUUGAGUAGUAGUUUAGGCCUUUUAACUCAAUUGGCAUGUUAAGGAUCCUUUAAAGCAAUUUUGAUCACUUUGUGCAAGUUUUGGUGUUUUUGUUAGUAUUUCGAUCACCAAAGCAAGUCAAGAAUGAGGAGAGCUAUGAGGAAUCUUGGGCAAAGCUUAGAAUUCAAUUGCCAAGAGUGAAUCCGGAUUGCAAGGAGAAAAAGCAAAGAGGAUCAGUCAUGGAGCAUAUUCUUGAUGACAGUCGUAGCAGCCACUUUUGGAUCACUUUCUGAAGUCCAAAUGAUGCAAGCUAUAUACCAUUUCAAAGCUCAGGAAGUCAACAAUCCAAUGCUUCAAACGGUGUGCGAUUCGGAAUUGAAACGAAGAAGUUGCAGCCAUUACAAGCCAGACACUCUAAAGUGUUGCGGAAUCAGCCAUGUGUUGCGAGAAUUUCGCAGCACUUUUGUACAGUAAGGUGUUUCUCCUUCUAACGAUGCACGAACCAUGCCGCGAGAAGGGAGCUGGAAACUUCAAGAUGGAAGCCAACUUUGCAGCCUAGUGAAGAUAGCUCGGUCUUGCAAGAUAAUUUCGCAGCCCUCUUGGGUGUCUGCGAAAUUUCGCAGGCCUCAUUUUUCACCUGCGAAAUGGCUCUUGAAGCCUCCCGAAGCUUGCUACCGACAUUGGGAGAUAUUUUCCAUUAGAUUUUUGUUGUCUAAAUCCCAAAAUACUCCUUGUAAACCACCAAUUACAUGAUUCCUUAGUUUUUAAGUUAGUAAAAAGACCAAAUAUCUUUGUAACAAUUAGUUUUAUAUUUUGUUGUUAUAAAUACCUCUCGGGAGCCUGUUCUCAGGGAGGAGUUCCUUCUGUAAACGUUUGGUAAGCAAGUAAAGUCUAUUUUCUUUCUACUGCCUUACCUUCUCACUUUGUAUUUUCAUUUUAUUUCUAAGUUAUGAAUUCUCUGAGGAGUUUUCCCCAAAGAAUGAGUAACUAAACCUCCAAUUCCUUGGAGCUAAGGUUGCCGGGGAAGGUUCCAAGUGCAAGAAUGCAAAGCUCUGUGGUUUUAGCUAGUAAUGAAGAGGAAGUGAAAUCCUUUAGUGAUUUCAAUGUUUUUAGUUAACUUAAAACACUUUGGAGUCACCUGGGCCAACACUUGGUAAGGCAAGUGAUUUCCAACCAUGGAAAUGCACUAGUUUACCCCUUGCGAGCCUCUGGUAGGUGACUUCAAGGUAGGAUUUUCUGGAAUUACCAACACUUGGUAAGCUUUUGGACUCCUAGGAGACAUCCAUUAGUUAUCUCUUGCGAGUUUGUGAAGGGAAUCCAAGGUUAAAGAUCACCUUGAAUGGUAAGUGCUCGUGAGAGGCAUGAACCAUUGCAAGUUGUAUCAGUGAGAGAAUUAAAGUGAAAUCUAAUUGAAGGAGUCUUUGUACAUCACCGGUUAGAGAAUUGACUAUAAGUUGAAUCUCUAAUGCGAGGAAAUGAACCAACUGACCAGAGCCGUGUCUUUUGCAUGAGGAACCACCCCAGUGAACCUAAAUCUCCAAGGAAUGUUUUUUUCUUCCUAAAUUAUUCCAAACUUCUGUUAAGUUAGUUAGUUUAAAUCUCAACCUUUACAAAUCAAAGUUUGUGUUUUAUUCCUUAAGCUAACCGUGAAAUGAAACAAGACCAAUUCACUUGGAAUUGGUAUCAUUGAUUGCCUGCAAAUCAUUCCCAGUGAACGAUCCUAGAGCCACUAUACUAUAGUAGCUUUGUAUUUGCUACCCUAGUGUAUGGUGUUAUAGGUAUAAAUUUUGUUGAUCACUUCCUCAAUCAAGGAGCACCAGCUGAACACAAAUCAGCUGAGACACCAAUUAGGCAUGAGUCAAAUGGCGCCGUUGCCGGGGAAUGAAUGUCAAGUUCAUUGUGAUACCAUUGUUGAGCACUUGUGAUUUUCAUCACAAGUUGGUAAAGUUUCUUUCACUUUACUAAUUUUCAUUCUUUCUUUGUUUAUUUACAAUCUAAGUUUAUCUUUUUAAAUUUUAGUCUAGUUUAAUUUUGUUGUUGUAGCCCUGUUUUUCUUGUUGUCCUCUGUUUUCAUUUUUUUUUUCAGGUAGAUACUAGUUGUGUAUGCCCAAGUGGAUACGAGACAUAGGAGGUAGGCUUGUUAAGUGUGAUACACCUCAGAAAGGAGAAUUUGAAGUAAUCUUGAAUAUCAUGGAGGCUGCACCUGAAGAUCAGCAUAGUCACCAAGGUCGUCAAGACAAUCUCAAUGAAUUCAGAUCAAUGAGGGACCGUAUGCAUCCACCUCGUAUGAGUACACCAUCAUGUAUAGUGCCCCCUACAGAGCAGCUAGUGAUCAGACCAUAUCUUGUUCCACUUCUACCAACUUUCCAUGGGAUGGAAAGUGAGAAUCCGUAUGCACACAUCAAGGAAUUUGAAGAUGUUUGUAAUACAUUCCAAGAAGGAGGAGCUUCAAUUGACUUGAUGAGGCUUAAGUUAUUUCCUUUUACUUUAAAGGAUAAGGCCAAAAUUUGGCUUAAUUCUUUAAGGCCAAGGAGUAUCCGCUCUUGGACUGAUUUACAAGCUGAGUUCCUUAAGAAAUUUUUUCCUACUCAUAGAACAAAUGGCUUGAAAAGGCAAAUUUCAAACUUCUCAGCUAAAGAGAAUGAGAAAUUCUAUGAGUGUUGGGAAAGAUACAUGGAAGCUAUAAAUGCUUGUCCUCACCAUGGCUUUGAUACUUGGCUAUUGGUGAGCUAUUUUUAUGAUGGUAUGUCCUCCUCAAUGAAGCAACUCCUCGAGACAAUGUGUGGAGGAGAUUUCAUGAGCAAAAAUCCAGAGGAAGCUAUGGAUUUCUUGAGCUAUGUAGCUGAUGUUUCAAGGGGAUGGGAUGAACCAACUAAAGGAGAAGUGGGAAAGAUGAAGUCUCAGUUGAAUGCUUACAAUGCAAAGGCUGGGAUGUAUAAUUUGAAAGAAGAUGAUGACAUGAAAGCAAAGUUGGCAGCUAUGACAAGAAGAUUGGAGGAGCUGGAGCUGAAAAGAAUGCAUGAAGUGCAAGCUGUUGCUGAAGCACCAGUGCAAGUGAAGCUGUGUCCCAAUUGUCAAUCAUUUGAACAUUUGGUGGAGGAGUGCCCUGCAAUUUCAGUUGAAAGGGAAAUGUAUAGAGAUCAAGCAAAUGUUGUUGGACAAUUUAGGCCCAAUAACAAUGCUCCUUAUGGAAAUACCUACAAUUCAAGUUGGAGGAAUCAUCCAAAUUUCUCAUAGAAGGCCAGAGCAACUCAAUACCAACAGCCGGAUCCACCAUCUCAGCAAUCUUCAAGUAUUGAACAAAUAAUAGCCAAUCUCAGCAAGGUAGUGGGAGAUUUUGUGGGAAAGCAAGAAGCCACCAAUGCUCGAGUUGAUCAAAGAAUGGAUAGAAUGGAGAGUGUGUUGAACAAAAGAAUGGAUGGAAUGCAAAAUGAUAUGAACCAAAAGUUUGAUAACAUCCAAUAUUCAAUUUCAAGGCUUACAAAUUUGAAUACACUGCAAGAAAAAGGAAGAUUUCCUUCUCAACCUAACCAAAAUCCCAAAGGUGUCCAUGAAGUGGAAAGCCAUGAGGGAGAAUCAUCACAGGUGAAAGAUGUGAAAGCUUUGAUCACUCUAAGGAGUGGUAAGAAAAUUGAGCAGCCAACACCCAUGCCACAUGUUGAGAAAGAAGAAGGGAUAAAGAAAGGAAAGGAAAUAGAAGAUAAAGACAGUGAGAUCAGUGAAGAAAAGAAGGACUCUGAUUCAACAAUCAAAGCAAUUCCAGAGAAAGAGCUUCUGAAGGAAGAAAUGCUGAAGAAAUCAACUUUUCCACCUUUUCCUCAAGCAUUACAGGGGAAAAAGGGGGUUAGAAAUGCAGCUGAAAUCCUUGAAGUCUUAAGACAAGUAAAAGUUAAUAUUCCACUGCUGGAUAUGAUCAAACAAGUUCCAACGUAUGCAAAAUUCCUAAAGGACUUGUGUACUAUCAAAAGAGGGGUUGACUGUAAACAAGAAAGCCUUCUUGACUGAGCAAGUAAGUGCAAUCUUACAAUGCAAGUCUCCUUUGAAGUACAAAGACCCUGGAAGUCCUACCAUUUCAGUCAUGAUUGGAGGAAAGGUAGUGGAGAAAGCCUUGCUAGACUUGGGAGCAAGUGUGAAUUUGCUUCCAUACUCUGUCUACAAGCAACUGGGACUUGGAGAGUUGAAGCCAACAGCAAUCACUUUAUCUUUGGCAGAUAGAUCAGUGAAAAUUCCAAGAGGAGUAAUUGAGGAUGUAUUGGUUCAAGUGGAUAAUUUCUACUAUCCAGUAGAUUUUGUUGUUCUUGAUACUGAUCCAACUGUAAAGGAAGCUAAUUUAGUUCCUAUCAUCCUUGGAAGGCCAUUUCUUGCAACUUCAAAUGCAAUCAUCAACUGUAGAAAUGGGCUUAUGCAACUCACUUUUGGUAACAUGACACUGGAUCUCAAUAUUUUCUAUAUGUCUAAAAAGCAAAUCACUCCUGAGGAAGAAGAAGGUCCAGAAGAGCUAUGUAUUAUUGAUACUUUGGUGGAGGAGCACUGCAAUCAGCAUAUGCAAGAUAAGUUGAAUGAAAGUCUUGUGGAUAUUGAGGAAGGUUUUUCUGAAUCUCCUAUUGGGCUUGCUACUCUACAAAGUUGGAGAAAGAUAGAAGGAAUUCUACCUUUGUUCAAUGAAAAAGAGGAGGCAACUGUUGAAGAAGAAAUUCCAAAACUCAAUUUGAAGCCUUUACCUGUGGAGCUGAAAUAUACAUAUCUUGAAGCAAAUAAUCAAUGUCCUGUUGUGAUAUCCUCAUCUCUGACCAGUCAUCAAGAGAAUUGUUUAAUGGAAGUUCUCAUGAGGUGUAAGAAGGCAAUAGGAUGGCAAAUAUCUGACUUGAAAGGCAUUAGUCCUUUAGUUUGUACUCAUCAUAUAUAUAUGGAGGAGGAAGCAAAGCCAAUUCGUCAAUUUCAAAGAAGGUUGAAUCCUCAUCUACAAGAGGUGGUGCGAGCUGAGGUGCUGAAGCUACUUCAAGCAGGAAUCAUUUACCCUAUUUCUGAUAGCCCUUGGGUGAGUCCUACUCAAGUGGUACCAAAGAAGUCAGGGAUCACAGUGAUUCAAAAUGAAAAAGGGGAAGAAAUUACUACACGCCUCACUUCAGGUUGGAGGGUGUGUAUUGAUUAUAGAAAGCUGAAUGCUGUCACCAGGAAGGAUCAUUUUCCAUUGCCAUUUAUUGAUCAAGUGCUGGAGAGAGUCUCUGGACAUCCAUUUUAUUGUUUCUUGGAUGGGUAUUCAGGCUAUUUUCAAAUUGAAAUUGAUUUGGCAGAUCAGGAAAAGACCACUUUUACAUGUCCAUUUGGAACAUUUGCUUAUAGAAGAAUGCCUUUUGGUUUAUGCAAUGCACCUGCUACAUUUCAAAGAUGUAUGUUGAGUAUUUUCAGUGAUAUGGUGGAGAGAAUUAUGGAGGUUUUCAUGGAUGACAUCACCGUAUAUGGAGGUACAUUUGAGGAGUGCUUGGUUAAUUUGGAAGCAGUUCUUCAUAGAUGCAUUGAAAAAGAUUUGGUGCUGAACUGGGAGAAAUGCCAUUUUAUGGUACGUCAAGGAAUUGUCCUUGGCCAUAUCAUCUCUGAAAGAGGCAUUGAAGUUGAUAAAGCAAAGGUGGAGCUUAUUGCCAAAUUACCAUCUCCAACAACUGUGAAAGGAGUAAGACAGUUCCUUGGCCAUGCAGGGUUCUAUAGGAGGUUUAUAAAAGGUUUUUCAAGUCUUUCAAAACCUCUUUGUGAGCUGUUAGCUAAGGAUGCUAAGUUUAUAUGGGAUGAAAGGUGUCAGCAUAGCUUUGAUCAACUGAAGAAGUUUUUAACAACAACUCCAAUAGUGAGAGCCCCUAACUGGCAAUUACCUUUUGAACUGAUGUGUGAUGCCAGUGACUUUGCUAUAGGAGCUGUGCUUGGCCAAAGAGAAGAUGGGAAGCCCUAUGUGAUUUACUAUGCAAGUAAAACACUAAAUGAAGCUCAGAGGAACUACACAACUACAGAGAAAGAAUUGUUAGCUGUGGUAUUUGCUUUGGACAAAUUUCGAGCUUAUUUAGUGGGGUCUUUCAUCAUUGUCUUCACUGACCAUUCAGCCUUGAAGUAUUUAUUGACAAAGCAAGAUGCAAAAGCAAGGUUGAUUAGAUGGAUUCUAUUGUUACAAGAGUUCGAUCUUCAAAUCAAAGAUAAGAAAGGAGUGGAGAAUGUAGUAGCUGACCACUUGUCAAGGUUAGUUAUAGCACAUAAUUCCCAUCCCUUGCCUAUCAAUGAUGAUUUUCCUGAAGAAUCACUCAUGUUCCUAGUGAAAACUCCUUGGUAUGCUCAUAUUGCUAAUUAUUUAGUAACUGGGGAAAUUCCAAGUGAGUGGAAUGCACAGGACAGGAAGCACUUCUUUGCCAAAAUUCAUGCUUAUUAUUGGGAAGAGCCCUUUCUCUUUAAGUAUUGUGCAGAUCAGAUUAUUAGGAAGUGUGUCCCUGAAGAUGAGCAGCAAGGGAUUCUAUCUCAGUGUCAUGAGAAUGCAUGUGGAGGCCACUUUGCCUCUCAGAAAACAGCCAUGAAGGUAUUACAAUCAGGGUUUACUUGGCCAUCUCUUUUCAAAGAUGCCCACAUCAUGUGUAGAAAUUGUGAUAGAUGCCAAAGGCUUGGAAAGCUAACAAAAAGAAAUCAAAUGCCUAUGAACCCCAUUCUGAUAGUUGAGAUAUUUGAUGUUUAGGGCAUUGACUUCAUGGGACCUUUCCCAAUGUCUUUUGGUAAUUCUUACAUUUUGGUGGGGGUAAAUUAUGUUUCUAAAUGGGUUGAGGCAAUCCCCUGUAAGCAAAAUGAUCACAGGGUGGUUCUCAAGUUUCUUAAAGAGAACAUUUUCUCAAGAUUUGGGGUGCCCAAGGCCAUAAUCAGUGAUGGAGGAGCUCAUUUUUGCAACAAACCUUUUGAAGCUCUGUUAUCCAAGUAUGGAGUGAAGCAUAAGGUAGCCACACCUUAUCAUCCUCAGACAUCCGGGCAAGUUGAGCUAGCUAACAGGGAAAUAAAGAACAUUUUGAUGAAAGUGGUGAAUUCCAACAGAAAAGAUUGGUCUAUUAGGCUUCAUGAUUCAUUGUGGGCAUAUAGAACAGCUUAUAAAACUAUUCUUGGGAUGUCUCCCUAUCGUCUUGUCUAUGGCAAAGCAUGCCAUCUCCCUGUGGAAGUUGAAUACAAAGCUUGGUGGGCAAUAAAGAAGCUGAAUAUGGACUUGAUCAAGGCCGGAGAAAAGAGAUUUCUAGACCUUAAUGAGAUGGAGGAAUUAAGAAAUAAUGCUUAUAUCAAUUCCAAAGUUGCAAAACAGAGGAUGAAGAAGUGGCAUGAUCAACUCAUCUCCAACAAGGAAUUUCAGGAAGGGCAAAAAGUUUUGAUGUAUGACACAAGACUCCAUAUCUUUCCUGGGAAGCUCAAAUCAAGGUGGAUUGGUCCAUUUGUUAUUCACCGAGUAUAUUCCAAUGGAGUGGUGGACUUAUUGAAUUCCAAUGGCAAGGAUAGCUUUAAAGUCAAUGGAUAUCGUCUCAAGCCGUUCAUGGAGUCAUUCAAAUCAGAAAAGGAGGCAAUCAACCUCCUUGAACCUCAAAAAGCCUAAGUGAAAAGGGUUUGCUGGACGUGGCUUUACCACAGUCCAAAAUUUUUGUAAAUUUUGUAAAUUUUCAAGUUGUUUCUAUACUUUUGAUUUUAGUUUUUGAUCUUAAAUCAUGUUUUUAGGUGUGUUUUAAUCGUUUUAAAUGAUCCCAGGUGGAAGAAAUUUCAAGGGGAUUGAAAGAAAAAAAAUCGGGUCGAAAUUGGAGCCGAAACAGAGCAAAAACAGGGGAAAAACAGAGCUCUGCGAAAUUUCGCAGGGUGAAGGAAACCUCUGCGAAAUGAGCAUUUUGUUGCGAAACCAUUCCGCAGCACUGUAGAAGCCUCUGCGAGUGUAUUUCGCAGCUGCGAAAGUGAAUUUGGCACACGAGUGCCACUUCGCAGUACAGUAGCAUCCAUUUGGCAGCUGCGAAACUCAUUGCGAAAUGGAAAAGCGUGAUUUCGCACCAAAAGUCCCAUUCCGCAGGGUAUUUCGCAAUUGCGAAAGUGGUUUUGGCACACGAGUGCCACUCCGCAGCACAGUAACAUCAAUUUCGCAGCUGCGAAACUCACUGCGAAGUUGCUGCGAAAAUGGCAAGUUGCUGCGAAAUUGGCGUUUAGUUGCGAAACUUAAACUGACCCCUGAGCUUCCGUUUUUCCUAUUUAUACCGGUCAAAAGUGCUGCGAAAAGGGUUUCAAAAAUCAGAGCACCAUUCUCGCAGCCCCUUCAUCUUCUUCGCCAAGCCACGCCGUCCGAACCUCCGGUCGUCUUCUCCGUUUAGCAGCGCCGGCCAAAGAUCGAUAUUCCAAAAUGGCACGAACGCGAGGGGCAAAAUCUUCAUCCCCUUCGAAUCGCAAAAGGAGUCUGCGAAAGGAGCCAAGUCCAGGUUCUGCUCCAGAACCUGCUCCAAAGCCUUCGCCGUCGAGACCACAACCUUCUCCAGUGAAGCCGGCGCCACUAAAGCCGCCGGCAAGACGAUAUUUGACAAGGUCAGGCGGUUGGCCAUUGAAGAAGAAGCCCAGGGUUGAGAGCUCUGAACCAAUUGAUUUGACUGAGCAAUCCCCUGAGCAGUCCCCAAAUCCUUCACCAGUUCAAACUCCAGUGCCGUCACCGGUUCCCUCGCCAAUUCCCUCACCUGAAGCAACUCCAAUUCCAUCGUCGGUACCAUCUCCGGCACCCCAAGAAAAAGCUCAGGAGCCUCAAGCGCCAAUUCCAGAGCCCCAAAUUGCAGCUGAAGCACCUCUGGAAGAAGUGAUCCGAAGGCCAAUGCUGCCCCAGCCCCCAAUCGAAGGAAACUUGGAUUGUCGAACACGGGCAUUCCAUUCUGAGCUUUGCUUCGAUUUAACAGCAUUCAGAGUGAGGCCAGAGCUUGCCCAAUCCUUCCAGCUGCUGAGGAGAUAUCAUAUGGAGCAUCUGCUAGCUCCAAGGGAUUUUUUCUAUCCCCGGGUAGUCACGGACUUCUACCAGACCAUGACAACCAAAGAAGUAAGAAAUCCAACUCUGAUCCAUUUCAUAAUUGAUGGAAGGCAUGGUAUUUUGGGAGCAAGACACAUUGCUGAAGCUCUGCAAAUUCCUUUUGAGCCAACCCAAUUCGACAAUUUUAAAGCUUGGGUAAAUCCUACUGAGUUAGAGAUGGUUCGCACACUAACCAGAGGAGCUGCAAAUCGAUCACACCUGUUGAGGGGGGAGCUACCUCCAGUGAUGUUUUUGAUUGAUGCCUUUUUGAGGCAUAAUAUCUAUCCCCUGCAGCAUUGGACCCAAAGAAGGGGAAUUCUCCUGGAAGCUUUGUACAAGAUGUCAGAAGGAUUCUUCUUUGGGCCCCAUCAUCUUAUCAUGGCAGCCCUUCUAUACUUUGAGGAAAAGGUUCACAAGAAGAAACUUCAAAGAGCAGAUUGCAUUCCACUCCUCUUCCCAAGGCUGCUAUGCCAAGUUUUGGAGCAUCUCGGAUACCCCUCUGAGCCUCAGCAGGAAAGAAAGAGAAUAUGCCGUGAGCCAUUUACUCUUGAUAAAUGGAAUAAUAUGACGGCCUACAAAAUUGAUCAGCCUGGGCAGCCUCAGCCAGCAGCAAGGAGAGCCUCCCCAAGACAUGCACCUGAAGGUAUAACACUUGCUACUCCUGCCAUCCCUCGAGCUUCACCAGCUGCACCUGCUGCAUCACAGCCAUCCACAUCAGCUGAGCCGAGGAUGGCCAUCCCUAUAUCCGAAUAUCGAGAGCUGUGCCGAGCAUUGGAGACUCUUACAGCUUCCCAGAGCAAUCUUGCUCAAGAGUUGGCAGCCAUCAAAGCAUGCCAGGAGCAGAUGUUAGCCUCUCAGGCUCAACAAGCUGCCAUCCUAAGGCAGCUUCAAGUCCAUUUCGAUCUGCCACAAGCUGUAGAGCCCUCCACUGAGACUCCACCAGAGCCACACUCUCAGCCUUCAGAGUCUCUUCCUCCAGAGCCAGAAGCCCCAACUGAUCCACCUACAGAGGAGGCGGAUCCUUCUGCUUAGCACCAUCACCCCACUCAUCAGACAUUAUAUAUAUUUGCUGUUUAUGUUUUUAUGCAUGUUUGUUUUGUUUUAGUUGAAAUGAAAUCCCAGUAUUUUGGUACUAUAUAUGGGAUUCCUUGUGAUUACUUGUCCUUAGCAUUGUACUCGAAUGAAUUGAAAGUAAUACAAGUUGAAUUUUUCUUGUUAAAAGUUAGCAUUAAAAUUCUCCUUAUUUCCUUUUCUCACAUAUUCUAUUCUUUUUGAAACAUGUGGUUUUCCCCAAUCAAUAUUCGAAUUUGAUAUCAGCAUGGAGGUACCACUUCCUCCCUUUUAUUACAGUCACUCAAAUCACAUUGAGGACAAUGCUCAGUUCGGUUGGGGGGUAUGAGGAAGGAAGUAUUCUAAAUCUUUUUGGUAUUGCAAUUAUAUUGGUUAAUUAGUUGUAGAUUUUACGUUUUACUCUUGUUACUCUAUUCUCCAUGAAUUUUGAGGAAAAAUUUUCAAAUUAAACCAAGAGAAAUUGAACUGUUGUUUUUCACUUGACUUAGAGUAUGGAUUAUGCUUACUAAAGUGGUUCAAUUGUUGAAACUUCUACUGAAAUUGAAUUGAGUUCUUCCAUUUUAAGCUAUCCACACACUGUGCACAUUAGUUUCUGAUUAUAAGAUGAAAAGCUAUUUCCCUCUUGACUUAGGAUAAUUUUGGGACUUGGUAUAUUUGACCUCAUUUGAUAAAAAUUGAAACACCCUGCAAAAGGCCAAUGAGCCUUUGAAAUAAAGAAAGAUGUUUGCUUGCCUUGAAACCCGAGCAAGGUCUGAGGGGCAUAUGGUGAAAGCCUUUAAAGCCUGGUGCCCUAAGCCUUAAUUGGUUGGGAGUCACCGACCUCAAUGCUCGUUACAAGGGUGAAUAGGUAGAGCUAGCAUAUGGUAGAUGCUUGGGUAUUAGAAAUUCAUUCUUAAAAGUCCAGGGAAAAAUCCGAGGAGUUAGUGGUUGAAAGAUCCUUAAAACUUGGUGCCCUAAACCUUAAUUGGUUGGGAGUCAUCGAUGGACCCCCAUUACAUGGACAAGUCAGAAAGAGUACCCCAUAAAGCUACUUUAAAAAAAAAAAAAAAAAAAAAAAAAAGAUGAUGAAAGUGUGUUCUUUUCUUAUUGAUUUUGGUCAGAUUGCUAAAGUGUUGAAAAGAGAUAGGUUGGGGGGGGAGACUAGUUUAGCAUAUUAUUCUCGGAAUCUAAGGAACCAAUACACAUAGAUUUUUGUGGAAGAUUGAAGUUUAGUUCUUAGAAAGUGAAAUGAUUUUAAAACUUCAGUUUGCAUAAUGCACUCCCUUGAUUGACAGUGUUUAGCAUAGGUGUUAUGACUCUUGUUGAGAUUUGGGUUUGUAUUUCUUUAAUGAUUCAUGUGAGAAGUAAAUCAUCAUGCCACUUAAGAAUUAUUUUCCUUUCAGCAUGAUGUUGUAAAUUUUAGAUUAGUUUGCUAUUUAUUUUUAUUUUUCUCUCCUUUAUUGCUAAGGGACUAGCAAUAUGUCGGUUGGGGGGAGUGAUUACUACUCAAAAAGUGCUAUUUGAUAGCCUUUAAUUAAUCCUUUUUAACACUUUUGAGUAGUAGUUUAGGCCUUUUAACUCAAUUGGCAUGUUAAGGAUCCUUUAAAGCAAUUUUGAUCACUUUGUGCAAGUUUUGGUGUUUUUGUUAGUAUUUCGAUCACCAAAGCAAGUCAAGAAUGAGGAGAGCUAUGAGGAAUCUUGGGCAAAGCUUAGAAUUCAAUUGCCAAGAGUGAAUCCGGAUUGCAAGGAGAAAAAGCAAAGAGGAUCAGUCAUGGAGCAUAUUCUUGAUGACAGUCGUAGCAGCCACUUUUGGAGCACUUUCUGAAGUCCAAAUGAUGCAAGCUAUAUACCAUUUCAAAGCUCAGGAAGUCAACAAUCCAAUGCUUCAAACGGUGUGCGAUUCGGAAUUGAAACGAAGAAGUUGCAGCCAUUACAAGCCAGACACUCUAAAGUGUUGCGGAAUCAGCCAUGUGUUGCGAGAAUUUCGCAGCACUUUUGUACAGUAAGGUGUUUCUCCUUCUAACGAUGCACGAACCAUGCCGCGAGAAGGGAGCUGGAAACUUCAAGAUGGAAGCCAACUUGGCAGCCUAGUGAAGAUAGCUCGGUCUUGCAAGAUAAUUUCGCAGCCCUCUUGGGUGUCUGCGAAAUUUCGCAGGCCUCAUUUUUCACCUGCGAAAUGGCUCCUGAAGCCUCCCGAAGCUUGCUACCGACAUUGGGAGAUAUUUUCCAUUAGAUUUUUGUUGUCUAAAUCCCAAAAUACUCCUUGUAAACCACCAAUUACAUGAUUCCUUAGUUUUUAAGUUAGUAAAAAGACCAAAUAUCUUUGUAACAAUUAGUUUUAUAUUUUGUUGUUAUAAAUACCUCUCGGGAGCCUGUUCUCAGGGAGGAGUUCCUUCUGUAAACGUUUGGUAAGCAAGUAAAGUCUAUUUUCUUUCUACUGCCUUACCUUCUCACUUUGUAUUUUCAUUUUAUUUCUAAGUUAUGAAUUCUCUGAGGAGUUUUCCCCAAAGAAUGAGUAACUAAACCUCCAAUUCCUUGGAGCUAAGGUUGCCGGGGAAGGUUCCAAGUGCAAGAAUGCAAAGCUCUGUGGUUUUAGCUAGUAAUGAAGAGGAAGUGAAAUCCUUUAGUGAUUUCAAUGUUUUUAGUUAACUUAAAACACUUUGGAGUCACCUGGGCCAACACUUGGUAAGGCAAGUGAUUUCCAACCAUGGAAAUGCACUAGUUUACCCCUUGCGAGCCUCUGGUAGGUGACUUCAAGGUAGGAUUUUCUGGAAUUACCAACACUUGGUAAGCUUUUGGACUCCUAGGAGACAUCCAUUAGUUAUCUCUUGCGAGUUUGUGAAGGGAAUCCAAGGUUAAAGAUCACCUUGAAUGGUAAGUGCUCGUGAGAGGCAUGAACCAUUGCAAGUUGUAUCAGUGAGAGAAUUAAAGUGAAAUCUAAUUGAAGGAGUCUUUGUACAUCACCGGUUAGAGAAUUGACUAUAAGUUGAAUCUCUAAUGCGAGGAAAUGAACCAACUGACCAGAGCCGUGUCUUUUGCAUGAGGAACCACCCCAGUGAACCUAAAUCUCCAAGGAAUGUUUUUUUCUUCCUAAAUUAUUCCAAACUUCUGUUAAGUUAGUUAGUUUAAAUCUCAACCUUUACAAAUCAAAGUUUGUGUUUUAUUCCUUAAGCUAACCGUGAAAUGAAACAAGACCAAUUCACUUGGAAUUGGUAUCAUUGAUUGCCUGCAAAUCAUUCCCAAUGAACGAUCCUAGAGCCACUAUACUAUAGUAGCUUUGUAUUUACUACCCUAGUGUAUGGUGUUAUAGGUAUAAAUUUUGUUGAUCACUUCCUCAAUCAAGGAGCACCAGCUGAACACAAAUCAGCUGAGACACCAAUUAGGCAUGAGUCAGUCAUCUCCAUUAUUGUUUUAUUUUUUCUUUCCACCACCCCAUUUUGUUGUGGGGUGUAUGGUGCAAUGAGCUGGUGAUCUAUGCCUGCAUCUUCACAAAAUUUGUUGAAUUUUUCUGAAGUAUAUUCUGUACCAUUAUUCGACCUUAUAACCUUGAUUCUGUAUUCACUUUGAUUUUCAACCAUGGCCUUAUAUCUCAAAAACACAUCAGCAACCUCAGCUUUGUAAGUGAGAAAAUAAAUCCAACAAAAUCUUGUGAAGUCAUCAAUAAAUGCAAUAUAGUACUUACUCCCUUUCAAAGAUGGUGUCUUUUGAGGUCCACUCACAUCUGUGUGAACCAAUUGUAGUUUCUGUGUUGAUUUCCAUGCUGCUUUUUGAGGAAAAGGAAGUCUUGUUUGCUUCCCAUAUUGAUAGGCUGCACAUAUAGGAAGUUCUUCUUCCAAAUCAGGGAGUCCUUCUACAAUCUAAUUCUUCUUCAUGUAGAGCACGGUAUUGUGGUGGAAAUGCCCUAAUCUUUUAUGCCAAAGCAUUGUAUUGUUCUCGUGUUGUGCAGCAGUAAUUUGCUCAUCUUCUAACAUAUUUAAGGCAAAACUUUUGCCUUUCAUUUUUAUGUUGAACACCUCUUUGCCUUCAGCAUCCUUGAUUAUGCAAUUUUUGUCUUCAAAACAAACUUUAAACCCUUUCUCAACAAGCUGUCCAACACUUAGCAAAUUUUGGUCAAUGUCAGGCACAAACAAAACAUCAGAAAUGAGCUUUAAACCUGUUAGGCUUUCAAUAGCUAAUGUUCUUUUACCUUUUACUGGAAUAUACUCACCAUUUCCUAUUCUAACUUUGGAAAUAGUUGUCCUAUCAAUCUCCCUAAAGCGAUCUUGAUCAUGUCAUGUGGUUUGUGCAACCACUGUCCACGAGCCAGCUUUCAGAGGUGCUACCGUUUGCAAAACAUGUUGCUGAAAAUAGUUGUUCCUCCUGGUAUUGUUCAGCUGCUACAUUGGUUUCUCCCUGCUGCUGCUGAGUUCUACAGAUCCUUUCUAUGUGUCCAUGUCUACCACAUUUGUUGCAUUUCACAUCUGGUCUCCACCAACAUUUUUGUUGAGGAUGAUUUGUUUUCUUGCAAUGAGGACAGGGUGGAUAGGUUCCAGUUUUUUUAUUGUUGUUGUUGCUUGGCUUAUUGUUGUUCUUUUUGUUCUUCCUCCUUCUUGUGUUACCUUCAUUGGUCUGUGUCUUUGCUUGAAAAGCUCCUUCUACAGAACUUCCUUGCCUCAUGAGUCUUCUUUGUUCCAAAGCUUGUAAAGCAUUUAGUAGUUCUGCCAAGGUGAUACUUGACAAAUCUUUUGUGUUUUCCAAAGAAGAAAUUGUAGCUUCAUAUUUUUCAGGAAUUGUGACAAAAUUGUUUUGAACAACUCUUUCAUCAGAAAACUCUUUACCUAGCAACCUCACCUUGUUUGCUAUGGUAAGAAGUUGUUCUGCAUAAUCUUUUAUGGUUUGAGACUCUUUCAUCCUCACCAUUUCAAAUUCUCGAAUUAGAUUCAUUACCUGCACAUUUCUGACUCUUUCAUUGCCUUGAUAUUCUUCCCGUAGAUGCUUCCAGAUUUCUGCAACAGAUUCAAGUUGCAUGAUUCUGGUGAGAAUUAAUGGUGAGACUACAGAAAAUAAGCAAGCCUUGGCCUUAGCCUUCCUCGUCUUUUUCUCCUUAUGGUUUUUCAUCUGUGACACAGUUGGAUUGGCUCCAAGUGGAGAAAUUUCAUAAUCUUCCUCUAUUGCUUCCCAGACAUCAAGAGCCUGUAGAUGAACAGUCAUCCUGACAGCCUAAGUUUGGUAAUUUUCUCCAUUGAAGACUAGUGGUGCUGCUGUGAAGCUUGCUUCUUCCAUUUCUGCAAGGUUUUCAGAUUCAGGUUUGGUAUACGGUGUUUAGGCUCACACACCUCACUGGUCCCUCAAGACAAAAAUUGCUCUGAUACCAAACUGUUGGAAGCAGGCGAGGUUAACACACCAAGCAACAGAGAACAGAGAUAUGCUGCUACUGAUCUAUAUUUUUUAUUUGAUCAUAAGGCUGAAUUUAUACAGAUUGUGUAACAUAUAUGACCUCAAAAAAAGCAUCAAAUCAAGCUACUUGUUGAACAAAAAACUACCUCCUACAAAAUAGCAUCAGAAUUUAACUUAAAAGCAAAAACAUAAUAAUAGCAACAGCAAAAACAGAAACAUAAAAAUAGCUUCAACAUUCUAGUAAUCUCAUUGACUUCAAUUGCAUGUGGUUGACGAUUUCAGCCUUUUCCUCAGCAGCUACUAAGGCAUAACUCUCAACAGGGCCUCUUAAUUUCCAUUCUGGCAUCUAUAUGACCUGAUAAAUAGAAAGAAAAAAAAACAGAAGAAAAGCGGCACCUGGGUUCAUAGUAAGCAUCAAGACAGGAUGCUGAAAGAAGGGAGAGAGGAGAUUGCAAGUCCAAUCCUGAUAAAAUAUCAACAAAGAGUAUUAAAUGGGGCCAACAUAAAGACCCAUUAAGGUCAGCAGAUGGCAUGGCAUUUUUCUCCUUAAGUUUUCCAUGAUUAGGCUUGAAGUCAAAAUUUCACAUGUAAAUUUGUAUUUCUACAUUUCCCACUGACGACACCCAACUUCAACUUGAGUUAGAAUAACAUUGUGUGAACUUAUCUGGCCCUCAAAAUUUACUGUGAAGUGCUUUCUGCGUGUGAAGAUUCAGAAAAGCACCAAGGGAACAUGUAUGGUCUGCCUUUUUCUGAUGUUAUGUUUGUCUCUAAUUCUGUUCCAUGUCAUGGUAAAUGUUCACAUUGCUUGUAUGGAACACACCAGGAUCACUUUUUCAGGUUUAGGGGGAUACAAAAGGCUUCAUAUUGGGUUCAAUGCUUUUAAUGUGUUCAUUGGACAAAUCUGAAUUAUCAUACGCAUUUAGAUAAGAACAAUAAUGUGAAACCCUAGUUACACCUCCCCUGCAUAACCCCAACCCUGCUUGCUCUAUUUCAGUUUACUCACAAGUUUUACUGGUUCUUAUAAGUCAAGAAAAGGCAACUGAUGUUGGAUCGACUCUCUUCCAUGUAAAAAAUGCAACUUUUAUACAUAUAAAAGAACUUCUUCCCCUCACCAAUGUGGGAUUUCAUAGAUUUAUUCUGGAAACACAUCAAAGGAACAUCUUUUCUCUUGGGUGACCCUAAGUGGUGAGUCAGAUCAUUUGCAUGCCAUUGAGUUGCACAGUUGGAUAAAUGCACCUGCCUCCUGGGCUCCAGAGUUAAAAGGGUGGAUCCCUGGAUUGCAACCCUCUUGGCAUCUUGGUUUCUAUUCCAACAUCCACAUGACUUGACAAAACAAAAAACAGAAUAAAAUCAGCACUAUAUUCAUGCUAAGCACCAAUACAUGAUGGAAAUCAUUGCUUAAAGAUUUGGGGUCGUUUUAGGUUUUGACUGCCUCCUACCACCUCACCUAAUGACAAGUUUUUAUGCUUACAAAUCAAAUAUCGUUCUUCAUUAUAUUAAAAUCAUUUUAAGAUUUCAGAUCCAUCUGCUAAUUAUGAUUAUGAUAACAUUUAUUCACCUGUGCUUCUCAUUUUCGACACACAAGGCAUCUAGGUUUGCAGGAUUUCCUUAUUAGAUGAGAUAAAUGAGUACGUAUGGUUAUGUAUCCAGCAUUCAUUAACCAUGGUAUGUGACAUUUAGAAUUAAGAUAGCAAGCAAACUUUCCCUGCAGCUAGAGUAAAUUGUGAUUUCUUAGCCUCUAUGAGUGGUUCCCAAAUCAAAUUAACAUAGUGAAAUAUACGUAGUCCAGUGAAAGGAAAUGUAAAUUAUAAACUAACAGCACUACACUACUGGUAACAAUCGAUACUCUCUAUAUAAUGCAAUAAACAAUGUCACAAUUGCCUACAAGCAAGGCACAAACACUAGAACAAGUAAAGCACAAACCUUUCCCAACAGUUCCCAGUGACUGAUGCAUAUCAUACCCUCAACUCACAGAAGGGGAUGAUAUCAGUGCACUGCAGCACUUAUUUUACACAUACUACCACUACUACUACUACUACUACUACUCAUUAGCCAAAGUCACUCAGUUGGGAUGAGUGUGAGGUAGAGGUUUGUGGGGUGCUAUGUGGAAAGGAGUUUGGCUUCUUCUCAGGAGAUGGUAGCUUCUUUGCAGGAGUUGAAGGAGGCUUAAUCUUCUGUGGUGGAUUGAUUGUAUGAGUCUUUGGCACUCUCUUCUCUAGUACAGGUGAAUACCCAGGGGUGCAUCCAUAAUGCGGUGGCUUCUAUCCCUUAGGUGGUUUGCCAAAUUCAAAAUCGAAGGAUUUUUUUUUUUUAAGUAUACGUAUCUUUGAAAGCUUUUAUUUUGUAUGGCAAAUGGAAUGAGAGGAGCAGUCAUAUUCUAUUUGGCCAGAGCAACAUAUCACAAAUGAACAAGCUAUUUACUGCCACACUGGGCAAAACAUACAUAAUCCUUGUACUUCAAACAUCCAUGAAUUCUCAUCAUUUUCAGGACACGUUGCAUGGUCUAUCAUUCUAUAUGUCGGCAUAGUAAGUGCAGCUAAUAAGCCUAUUCAGAGCUGAAAUUCAAAAUCUAUUCACAGGAUAAUGACCUUAUUAUUGGAUUUUGCUCACUGUCAUACACACAUAUCAGAUAAAGCCCCACAUGCUCAUAAGCUACAAGCAACCUACAAGCACUAAAAUGAGUGUUAGACGUAUGAAACAUUCCCCAAUACUAGUAGUAUUACCUGUUCCAUAGAACACUAAAUUAGAAGAGAGAAGAUGUGAGACUCCAGCUUUUCUUUCUACAUAUUACUCAUAUCAAGUUGGAAUAGUUAGGCGGUAGAGGCUUGGGGUGGCUUGUGUAGGGGACUAGGCAGCUUCUCUCAGGAGUUGAUUUCGUCUUAUUCUGGAUGUCCAGGUUUCGUCCUUUCGAAUUUCCCAUGCAAAUCAGCAUUCUCCUUGGGAAACUUCACUCCGUUGGGAAACUUGUGUGAAUCUUUGGCAUUCUCUACCAGAGAAGGCCCAGGGCAGUGACCAUAAGGUGGUGGCCUUUUUUCAGGUGGUGGCUCCUCUCCCACUGGAGGCUUGUGGUAAUCAGCAAGAGAGGCAGUGGAGAGAAUCAUCACCCCAAGGAACAGCACUAGCAAGUAUUUGUGAGCCAUAUUUGGGAUCUGAUGAUGAAGACUAGAAGAUAGGAGUUGCCUCAUAUAAUGGGUUGGAGACUAUAUCUCAAGGGGACGUGUAUUUAUGCAUAUGAUCUAUAUAGGACCAUCCUCCUAAUAUUUUCAAAAUAAUGUUAUUGUCUCUCUUGGGUGACAGUUUGAUUUGGUCUAUUUCCAUGCCACUGAGUAGAAAAGUUUGACAAUUGGCUACACCACCUACCUGGAUUACAUGGUUGAAAGUGAAGAUCAGUACAGUGUGAUCACACUUGACCUCUUGUUCCCCAUUCCAGUAUCUAAUUAACCUGACAAAAGUAAAAGGAAAGGAAAAAGGGAAAAAAUAGAAUAAUGUUCAAAUAAAAACGAGAAAAAAUAGCAUAAUGUUGAUGAAUCAUGAUAAGCAUCAAGGCAUGAUAGUGAGAGAGAGGAAAGAAGACAGUGUAAUUUGCAAUCCUGAUAAUCAUUAUAUAGCAGUAACUUUAAUCAUUUUUCUAUCACAGGGAACAUGACACUCAUCUUCCUAUGGAGAUAUUGCAUAAGUUUUUUUCUUUGUAUGUCAACACUAACCAAUGAAGCAUGUUAGCUGGUUUGAAACUGAAACUGUAGCCCUCUGUUUGGUUCUUGAAAAACUUGAGAGAAAAUGGAAGUAAAGUUAAAAGGAAAGAAAAAGUGAAAAAAAAUAAAAAUAGAUUGAAAGUUAACAAAUUAUUUUUACAUGUUCCCUCAAAUUUCUUUCACUUAUUUUUCCUUUUCUAUAUAAAGAUUAAAUGAUUUAAAAAUCAUAAAUUUCUAACUAAUUAUAACUAUAUUUGAUUUUCUUUCAUAUUUUCCAAGAUAAAGUCAGACAUGAGAAAAUCAUUUUCCUUAAAAAAGAAAUUCUUUCCUUUACAGUUUCUUAGAACCAAACCUGGCACAAAAGUCCAAAUUGGGGUUUCUCCAUGUUCCAUUUUUUAUGGCUACCUUUAUGGACCAUAUAAUAUAGAAUGUACUUCUGCAUACCUUCAAGAUCAAGCUGAACUAUAAGAAAAAGACAAGCCAUGGCCCACGGAGCAGGGAUACCAAGCUGCCUUCUCCUAGAUUAAGUUCCAAGAUUUCAGUCUUCAAACCUGCUAAAAGCUAAAGGCAUGUUUCCAGCCUGCGGCAGAUAACAUGCACUGUCCAACAAUAAAUUGCAAACACAUUCGAUGCAGUUUAUUAGUACAAUAAGAUUAAAUCCACCAAAUCUUUUACAGUUCAACCAACACUUGAACUAGUAGCUAGCUUCACUACUGGGUAAUAAUAUAUAAACCAAACUCUUGAUAGGAACCAACCUAUCGCAGAUCGAACUUCUUACAUCCACCAUGAAUUACUGAACCAAAAGAAGAAUCGAAGAGACUGCCAAGGAGGAAAGCCUUCCUAUAACUAGAUAUUUAUAUUCCAAAUUAGGGAGAGCACCCACUGCCCAGGCCUCGCCCAGCAUAAACAGAUAGUAUACAUAUACAUGCAAAAAGCUCCAACCUUCAAGAUUUUAACUAUUAACUUAACACAAUUAAAAAUGUAUCCAAAAAGCAAAUCCCCUUGAACUCCUGAAGCAAUUACUCCAACCAAAUAAAGAUUUUAAGAGUUCCAUGUUCAUAUCCUGCAAGGAAAUCAUUCAAUGUUCAGACCUCUAAUUUCUGUCUUUCUAAAUGCCCAGCCAAAAGGCAUAAAGUAUCAUCCAAAUUGGAUGCACAGCAUAUGUUCUUAAAUCAUGGGAUUUCACCAUAAGUUACUACACUCUAACAGGGCCCAGAAAUUGACCUCCAGAUAUGCCUAUCAAAAAAUUAUCCCCACAUACAUUUUUCUGCUGAAAAGACAAUAUUGUUACAUUUGACAUUCAACCACUACUUGAACUCAACAACCAGGGAAAAGAAUAUAGUAUUUCUACCAAUGAGGAUGAGAGGGGCUGGUGAAUUAACAGGUAAAAGUUUGUUUUGGGUUCAUUGUUUGCAUAAUAAUGUAAAAAUGGAGUAGUAUAUUAUAAAUUAAUGUAAAAAUGGAUUAGCAUAACAUAAAUUGCCAUAAGAGAACCACAAACUACAAAGAAACUUAUUUUCCAAACAAGGAAAAUUAUUCAUAGCCAUUAUUACAUAAGAAAGGAAAUUGAUAAAAUUAUUAUCCAGUUCCCCAUCAGGAAAUAUGAAAGUACUCCUAAAAGCCUCAAUUCUAACCAGAAAACCAUAGAAAUGUAUUAGAAAUAUUGUACAGGGUUCUCUCCAAUAUUAGCUUCAGUUGCUAAGGAGAUCAGAACCUUGAAAGUAAGUCACAAAGGUCGUGUGGGUUUCCCAGAGUCUUCAACAACCAGUAUUCACAUAUGUACACAUUAAAAUUAAAUAAAGCAGGUAUCAAUUCCACAGGCUUUAAGAUUUGAAUUGCUUCUCCCUGGAAUCAUACACCACUCAUAUUGUCACUGACUUUCAAUUACUUCUCCCUGCGAUCAUAUGCCACUCAUAUUGUCACUGCCUUAGGGAACAAAGUGAAAAUCUGCAAUUUCAAUUAAUUCCAACAUAAAAAUAAAAAUCAAUCCUCAAAAAAUGGAUUGCCAGGAGGUAAAUAUAAUAGAAGACGAACAACUCUCACAACCAAGUUAAAGAAACCAGCCGCUAGGUACCUUUGAGUUCUAUACUACCAGGAACAAAUUGGAUGAGAUUAUUUAAAGGCUAUUCCACAGUGGAAAUUCAUUCGUUCAAAAAACAUUUGUCAUGCAUAUAGGCAAUCUAUCCUAUGCAUUCAUACAUCAUGGUCUCAUGCAAUCUUAAUAAAAGUGGUCCUGGAAAAAGAGAGAAAAAAGUAAUUACAAGCCUGUGCGACCAGAUUUCUUUUGUUUUUUUUUUUUUUUUCCUUUGCCAAACAACCAUGUUCAUAGUUUCAGAAGUUCAUUCUGUCUUUAAGAGACCAUGGCAGUGACUUGGCCAUUCAGCUAAGANNNNNNNNNNNNNNNNNNNNNNNNNNNNNNNNNNNNNNNNNNNNNNNNNNNNNNNNNNNNNNNNNNNNNNNNNNNNNNNNNNNNNNNNNNNNNNNNNNNNUCACCAAGGACUCCUCAACCUCAAAAUAAUAGAGAAAGUCUAGGACACCAUGUCACUACUGAGGACAACCCAACACCACAACAUUUCAGUCCGUUCAAAAAGAGUAAUUGGAAUUGUUGCAAAAAAUGUUCAACUAGUCCCAACAGGAGGCAAAUUCCUCCAUUUCUUCAUCGGGUCCGGAUCCUUUGCUCAAAAAGGUAAUUUUCUUACUGCCCUAAAAGAAAAAGGGAAAAUGUGAGUCAUUGGAUUGUUGACUCAGGAGCUUUUGAUCACAUGACUAGAGUGCCACAAUUUUUCAAAAUUAUACACCUUGUUUUGGGGAUGAUACAAUUCGUAUGGCUGAUGGUUCUCUCUCAAAGGUGACUGGUACAAGUUUUAUUGUCAUCUCUAAGGACCUAACUCUUGACUCUAUUCUUUUGGUUCCAAACUUGGAUUGCAAUCUAUUGUCCAUUAGUAAACUCACUUAUGAAAAGAACUAUGUUACUAAAUUUUUCCCAAACCAUUGUGUUUUUUAGAAUUUGAAUUCGGGGAAGACGAUUGGCAAUGUUGAAGUGUGUUUAGGACUCUAUGCCUUCAAAGUGAAUUAUUAUAUUGAAAGACAAUCUUAACCAACAGUUGGUGAAAAAUGGUGUCUUUUUGUCUUUAGUUCUAAUAAAGAUAGUGAUGUUAUGUUAUAGCACUAUUGUCUAGGACAUCCUAGUUUCUUAUAUCUCAAAAAACUCUUUCCAUGGUUUUCAGUGUGAAAUUUGUCAACUAUCCAAGCAUCUUUGCAAGCCCUAUCCAUAGUUUUAAAAGACUUAAGGCACACCAAGACGCAAAGUCCUCUUGGAGCCUUAGGCGCAAGGCACACCUAAGGCGCGAACUUUAGUAAAGUGAGGUGCAUCCUGUUUUACAUAUAUAUUUUUAUAUAAUACAAUCAAGUGCCCGAAAAUUUUCCUCUAAUUUUCCCCUUCUUCUUCAUCCUCUUCUCUUCUUCACAUUGUUCGGGAGGCUAGGACAUUUUUUUUUUUUUACAUGUCUAAAACAAGCAUAUAUUGGGUUUUGGAAGAAGAACAAGCCAAAAUGACAUCGUUUUGGAGCCUAAUCUUUUAAAUAAAUAAAUAAAUAAAUAAAAACCAGCCAAAAAUGACACCGUUUUGGCCCCUGUUCUUUUAAAAGAACAAACCAAACAACGUCAUUUUGAUCUCAGGAAAUUAAAAAAACAAAACCCUCGUCAUUCUCCCUUUGCUACUCUACAACUCAUCGUCAAAGGGUAAAAAGAUGACCAAAAGAAGAAGAAGAAAAAAAAAAAACGACGACAGAGGAUAGAGGUGCACCUGUUGAGGGCGUUGCGCCUAGCCAAGAGGCGAGCGCCUUGCACACUUAAUCAACGCCUCUGUGAAGGGGCGGCUCCUGCAAUCAGGCGAAGCGCUGAAGGGUGAUGUCACAUCGUCUAGAGCCUAGGCGCACCUUUCACAACUAUGACCCUAUCCAACUCAACCAUACAAACCAUCUCAUCUUUUUUCCAUACAUAGUGAUGUUUGGAGGUCAUCUAAAAUAAAGAACAUAACAGGGACUAGAUGGUUGAUGAUCAUACUAGAAUUUCUUAGAUAUUUCUAAUGAAAAAAAAAUCAAAAAUUAGUCAAAUUUUCUAAAAGUGGACCAGAAUUUCUUUAUUGAAUUAAAAAGUUGAAAUUAAUAUUUUGGAAAAGUUAGGGCCGCUCAAGAGGUAGAAAUAGCGCUCGAGUGGUAGAAAUAGCGCUCGAGUGGUAGAAAUAGCCCUCAAGUGGUAGAAAUAGCGCUCAAGCGCUAGGACCGCUCAAGCACUUAACUAGCGCUUGAGCGCUCAUAUAGAAUCUGCCAGAAUAUGGAAGAAUAUUUUUUGGAUAAUCAUGAAAAUUGGAUUUGGAAACUUUAGAAUAUCAAUCUCCUUCGGCCUAGAGGUUUAUAUAAACCCUAUUAUAACCCUUUAGGGUUAAGAAAUUCACCAAGUGGUUUACCCUAACUUGUCAUACCAUUCCCGAUCUCUCAUCAAGGAAUCAAAGUGUUUAAUCUUGGGUUGUUUGAAGACCUGCAUCCCUUCAACAAGGCUAAGGUGUAUUCACUAGAACAAUUGAAAUUGUUGCAUUGCGGACAUGAAUCAAGUUGCAGGUUCUAGAGAGUAAGUCUUUAGAAUAAAGCAGACAAAGAGUUCUAUGUGACUUUAUCUCAUAUAGUGGAUUUAGCUUUGAGGUCUUAGACCUCGUGGGUUUUUAUCUCCAUAGUUAGUGUGGGGGUUUUCCACAUAAAAAUUAUUGUGUCUCUUGAUCUUAUGUUUGAUUUUAGAUAUUCUAUUUAUCCCUGAUAUCUCACAGGUUAACUUUAGGUUAAAAAUUCAACUCCCUAUUUAAUAAUUUUUAAAAUACACCCAUUCACGAGUGUUAUCCUACUGGACAUUGGUUUUUCACCAUAUAUAACACUCAUACCAAAACCCAUGCAACAUGGACUCCAACCUUAAGCUUAACUUUCUACGAAUGGAAAAAAAAAAAGACAUAACAUAAAUAGACAGAUUUAACAACAUGCUCCUAAUCAAGGUGAAUGUCCCUCUUUUUGAAAGAUAUGACCUUUUCCAUACGAGGAGCUUUCUUUAAAAUUUCACCUCUACCAAUUCCCAUGCCUUUACAAAGUUGUGGAAAGCUCCAAAGAGAAGGCCCAGACAUGUAAUGGGUAGAUUCCCUACCUUAGAACCUUACACCAAAGCUAAACCCCUAAUAUUUGUGACUUCUAUAAGAAUCAAUUCAUUUUUUUCCAUAUUUAUUUCUAAAUCAGACAUUGCCUCAAACCACAUGAAGUUAUAACUUGGAUGUUACAGAUGCUCUUAAUUAGUGUCACAAAAAAAUAGGGUAUCAUCAUCAAACAAGAAAUGUGACACUUCCAUCCCCUCCUCCUGUCUUCCUCCCACUUUGAAACUUGAGAUGUAACCCCUUUUAUCUAAUUCUCCUCAAAAUUCAAUUGAAAGCCUUCAUUGCCAAUAUGAAAAUGUAAGGGGAGAGAGGAUCUUUCUACCUCAAAUCCCUUGAGCUCUCAAAGAAACUGAAUAGGACACUAUUUACUAGAAUAGAGAAUUGAGUAGUGGAAAUGAACCAUUUGAUCCACCUCACCCACUUAUGAUCAAAGUCCAUUUUAUCCAACAUCAUUAACAAAAAGUUCCAAUUUACAUGGCCAUCGUCCUUUCCAAUGUCUAACUUGCAAAUUACCCCACUAUUGGGACUCUUUAACCUUGAAUCUAGAGCAUCAUUUAUGAUUAGAACUGCAUCUAGAAAUUGUCUGUCUUCCACAAAAGCAUGCAAAUAAACUAAAACUAUUUUACCCACCACAUUUUUUAGUCUUUUAGCCAAGACUUUUUCCAAUAGCUUGUACAAAAAAACCCCCAACUAAGCUAAUCAAUGUAAAAAAUUUUAGGUUCUCUGCUGCACCUAUAUUAGGGAUCAAGACCAAGAACAUGACAUUUAAAUUUUGCUCAAAGGAACAAUUAUCAAAAAACUCCCCAAGCUCAUUUGCCAAAAUAUUAUAAUAAAUCCAUUUGGCCCCUACAGCUUUAUCCCCACUCAAGCUAGACAAGGCAACAAGAAAUUCCUCAUCAAAGAAAGGUAACUCCAAUUUCCUAGAAUCAGCACAUAGCAUAACUUCAAAGGUCAUCCCAUUAAUGUUGAGUCUCCACUCGCCCAUAUCAGAUAGGAGAUUUUGGAAGGCCCUAAACUCCCCUUCCUUUAUAUUUGCUUCCCAAGCAACCAUUUUGCAUUCACUCAAAUUUUAAACAUGAAGUUUUUUAUUCUUUGGGCAUUGACCAUUUCAUGGAAAAUUUUGGUGUUUUUAUCCACCCCCUCUUUUAACCAAAUUUCUCUUUAUUUUUGCCCCCAUACAUAUAGAUUCUUCUAACAAGGCCCACUUGCUAAACUCAAUCACCACUAACCUUUGGCCUCAACGAUUUCAAGAGAUAAGGUAACUGCUCUCUACUUUGAGUCCCAGAAGUUGAUCCAGUUUAGCACCUCUAGGUUUUUUGUUGAGACAUUCCCAAAACCUUCUUCAUUCCAAGAUUUUAAAUCUCGUUUGACAGCCUUUAGUUUAACUUCCAAAAUAUGACCAUACAAGCCAUCCACAUUAUAACCAUCAACCAACUCCUCACAAAAUCUUUUAAGCCUUUUGUUUUAGGCUACAUAUUUUAAAAUGUAAACUGUGUUUUCCCACUCCUUAUCCUACCUCCAUCUAAAACUAUGGGGUAAUGACCAAAAAUUGGUUUAGGUAAAAUACUCUAGAUUAAAGUAGAAAAACGAUUCUACCAAUCAUCUGACACUAGGAAAUGGCCAAGCUAGCCUUGAAGAAGACAAAAGAUUAUGAACACCACUCCAAGUGAAUAGCCCUCCAACUAGCGAAAGAUCCCAAGGUCAAGUCCUCUAUGUCCUCUGAAAAGAACCUCAUAUCAAACAACAUUCUAAGGCAAUUCCUCCUUUUCAUGGGGAACUUGACCAUAUUAAAAUCCCCUCUGAAGCACUAGAGGUCAUCCCAAAGGCCUCUUAUGGCACCCAACUCUACCCAGAAAUCCACUCUUUCUCCCCUUUAAACCAACCCAUAAACUCUUACGUAUACCUAGACAAAGCUAUCUUCACAAUUCAUAGACAAGCAAUAGAGAAUGCUUCCACCUCCUUACCAAUUAACUCUAAUACCCUACUAUCUUGGAAAACCAAAAUGCCUACUAUCAAGCUUCUAACUUCCAAUACCAUUUCAAAAAUUUUCCUACUCCUAAACUCCUUACCAGUUGAACGAACAUCUAUCGAACCUUGGUUUCUUGUUAACAAACUAGAUCAACCCCUUGAGACCUUAUCAAUGACUUUAUUAUCAUAUACUUUUCCUCAUCAUUUGCUCAUUUGACAUUCCAAGACAGGAUUUUUAGCUUCAUCAUGCAACCUAUGUUGGAUCCUAACUGCUACUCUUGGAGCCCUUUUCCUUUUUGUUGAGCUUUUAUAAUUGACUAAGCAUCCCAACUUGUUGAGGUCCCUCUCAAACCAAGAUAUCGAGGUUAACUUCCUCUUCACCUCCAACGAAAAAACAGAAACCCCUCUCCUUAGCCUGCCACACAAGGGAAAAGAUCUCUUUUUCAAAUCCAUCAACUGGCAUUCUUGAGAAACUAUUGAAAUUUGCCAACUUACAAGAUAUACAAUUGGAGGAGUGCUUCUCUACCAAACAACUACUAAAAUUCACCUCAAAGGUGACCUUUUCCCCUGAUCUCUCCCCGGCCUCCAUACCCACUGACCCUUUCACAAAAUUUUCUAGAAUUUCCACUAUCAAGCCGUUACGGAGAACCAUCCUCAACAAACUCCUUUGACUAAUGUGAAAAACCCCACCCAAGAGCAUCUUCCAGAAGUUAACUUACAAGAUUAACUAUAAUCUUGUGAAGACUCGUUACCUAAUGGGUAAAAAAUUUGAAAUUCUAUUAGUAUAAUUCUUUUUAGGCACAAAAGCUGUGAAAAUAGCAUUGGUGCUCUAAUUAAUAACCCCAUAAUUAUUAAGCAAUAAAACAACUUUUAAUAAAUUCUCUUUCACCACAUCCCACCAAUCCUAAUGCAAAAAAGCUAGGAAAAAGUCAUCAUUGCUCUAAGCAUUUCUCCUCACUAGUUGAAAGACUGCUUUAUGAACUUCCUCUUCGACAAAAGGACAAUCCAACCAAUUAGCACCAUUUUCCAAAAUGAGAGACCAACCCCCACUCUUCUAUCCUCUAAGGAUCUUCAUAUAACCAUUAAUGCCUUUCUAUACCAGCUAGUAUAUAUCGGGUUUUGGGCAAGUCCUAUAAAUUGGUUUGAGUAAGAUUUUUAAUUACCCUGUUCUUUCUUUUUAGUUGAUAAAUAUGCAUAUAUGUAGUAAUUCAUACAUCAGAAAAGAUUUUGCUAAAACAAAAGAAUUGACAUGCAGAUAGUGACUUCUUGAUAAGAGUAAUAGCUUAAGGGAGGAAAAUGAACUCCUCCAGUGGCCCCAAAGUGGUAAGUUCCUUCAGAUCCCAUGUUGCUAUUCUGCAUUUCUUUGUGUUUUGGCAUCAGCCCUCUUAAUUAAUUCACUAUCCAGCUUCUCAAAUUCCUCGGAUUCUUCCCUUGUUCUUGUGGAAACAUCUGCAUCUUGUCCUUGCAUUGUUAUGGAUUGGUGAUUAUCAUUCUUUGAGAACUGUGUGGCAGCUGCUCGUGCACCAGCUAUGGCUGCAAGGAGACCUUCUGGUUUCUUGUCUUCAGCAGCUUUGGAGCCAUCAAAGCAAGAAACAAGUAAUCCUGGUUUCAAAGAGAGGGGAUCUUGUGGUUCUGGAAGCAGAAACUUGACAGGUAGUGGAGCUUGAACAGGACGAAGACCCCUAACUGCUGCCUCAUAUAUCUGCAACAAUUUCAGGGGGGAUAAGUAAUUAAAAAUCAGUCACUCUAUUGCAUUAGUUAGACUUGCUUUCAAUGCGAUAGCAAAGAAAGAAUCAUCAAUGAAAAAAGAAAAAAUAAAUGAAAAAGAACAAAAAGGAGAGGGAAAAAAAAAUGAUGGGUGCUCAAUUUGUACUUUUCUUUCCAGGUUAUAAAUACGUUGGUACCCGCGCAUCUCAAAUGGUAUGAUUAAUUUCUGCAUCAGGUCAGGAGAACUAAGUCCAUCAAUAUACUAAAAAGCAAAUAUACCAAAAGGCAAGCAAAAAUGUUUAACCAUCUUGAGUGUCAAACUCUCCAAGAAACUAUAUACUUUUAGCUGAAUGAAAACACAUGCCUGUGGUUGCUCACAGAGCCAGCAAAACUCUGUUUGCGCUUCUAGCCUUACCUACAAAUAGAGUUUAGGUUAUCCAACCAAAAUGGAGAUACAUCACACAAAACAAACUGUACCUAAUCAGUUUACGAAGGGGACGGGGGGAAGCAAAAAGCAAAAGUAAAUUUCUAAGAUGCCCACCCCUUCAGGUACCUCCUUCCAGCACGCCAGCUCUUCACAUUUAACACAACCAACUACUUCAAUACAACCUGUGGCAAGAAUAGAGUUUGUUGGAUUUAUUGUAGCAUGCCAUACAGAAAAAUUUAGCAUUUCAGUAAGAAUAAGAAUAAGAGAGCUACUUUCCACUAAAAUACGAAUCACCCAUCAACUGUUGCAAACAGACAACAAUGUGAAUAACAGGUUUUAUAUAUAUAUAUAUAGAGAGAGAGAGAGAGAGAGAGAGAGAGAGAGAUAGAUAGAUAUAGAGAGAGAGAGAGAGUCAAAUAAUAAUAAAGGACAAAAAUAUUUCUUUGAGAAAGACUAAUUAGAAAGAAGAAACAAAGAACCCACAUGAAAUCAAUUUAGAUAAGAGAAAUACCUUUAAGAAUCUAGUUCUUUUUGCAAAUUGCAACUUAGAAUUGGAAUGCCACAUAUUAUUAUAAGGUAUCACAAGAGAUUAUUGCUUCAUUUUUUUUCUUUGCCAGAUCAGUUUUAAUAAAUAUAAAUAUAAAAAUAUAAGCAUGUACACACACACACGCAAACACAUUAUGUGUGUAUGUUUAUGGAUAUGUAGAUAUAGGUUUUUAAUAAUAGAGCAUGAAAACAUAUCUAGUCAGAAAUUCCAAAAAUCCAAAACCAUUAGCAACACCUAACAGUCUUGAAACUGGGUAAUGUUCUGGAAACUUGAGGUCUGCUAUCCCAUUCACAGCAUAGAUCUCCCUGUAGAAAUUCUCCAUUGCUUUGAUUGUGUCUGAAUCUGGGACCUUACUAGCAGCAUGAAUCCAGAGUCGGCCUUCAUAAAACAAAACAUGUAUAUUAAGAAAUAUCCUUGUAGAACAGUAACAUUUUUGCCAGCAUGCAAUUCGUGUUAAUAAUCCUUGGUUCUCACCACUCAUUGUACAUUACAAUGUAAAGACCUAAUAAGCCCUAAUAUAGGUAGGUGUCUGUGCAGAGAGAGAGAGAGAGAGAGGGGAGGGGGGUGAAAGGAAAGAUGAUUAUAGAACAAAUACAAGUUGAAUCUCCUGAAAUAAUGUCCAUCAAGUUAUUUCCUAGCAACAAGUACUGAUUAUGCUUUUCCUGAUAACAUGAUUUUCUUUGCUAACAACCAUACUAUAUUUUAUCAAGAAAGAGUAGUGCAUGUGGCGUGCAUCAAGACCCAUUAGAGUUCCGCUAAACCUAUAGUUCUGUCAACGUUAUCAUUUACGUUUCCUCUAGAUAAUGGCAUUUUCCUCUAAAACUCUUGCACCAUUAGGCUUCAAGUCAAAAUUUCACAUGUGAACUUUGGAAAUUUUCUCCAUUUGCCCCUAAGGAUACAGUUAGAAUUGACUUAAAAUCCUGAUUGAUGUAUACUUUUAACCGAAGAAUAUUGUAUAUAAUAAUUGAAAUAUUGUUGAUUCAUCGUGGAAAUACAUUUUGUAAGGAAAGUUGUUAAGAAUUUAGUAUGCUAUAUGGAGAAAAAAGUCAUGACUUAAGGUUGAGUAUGUAUAUUCUAUAUCAAAUAUUAGGUAGGAAUGUGGAAAAGAGCAGAGUGUAAUUAUAAGAAACAAAGAAAUAUAAGAUAUUCUUGAAAGUGGAAAAUGUAAAAUGGCUAAAAGUCAAAUUUAUGAUGCAUAAGGGGGAUCAUGUCACAUAAGAAACUCAUGGCAUACCAAAUACGUGUGGUAUGGAGUAACAAUUUUGUUAAAAUAAGUUUCUCGUUGGAGUACAUUAGGUGACAAUUUUUUAAUAUCAAAUUAAAGAGUCAAGUGCAUCAAUGAAGUCAUAUGUAGAAAAUUUGUUUGUGACAUGUACCAUAAAGAUAAGAUUGACUUGAUAUAAUUUAGUCCAGGUAGGAGUUGUUAAAGGUGUCUCAAAUUUCUAAUUGAUAUAUAUUUUUUUCUAAAAAAAUAUUAUAUAGAUAUUUCAAUAAAUGAUUAAUUCUUUGUAAAAAUACUUACAUAAUAAAAAACAUCAUUAGAAAUAUCUCUAUAAAUAUUUUAAAUCACAAAAAGAAAAAAAAAAUCACUAUGAGAUAAUUAUAAACAUGCAACAUUGUACCAAGUAAACAGAAAUGUGAUAAAAAAAUUUUGAGAAACACUAAAUAAAGGAAGGGCUUGUAUAUCAAGAUGUAAAUAUAGAGAGCAAUAUUUUUAAUCAUAUGAUAGAAUUAUUUUCUCUCAUUCAUGAUUAUAAGCAAAAUUGGGAACCAUUAUAAAAUCUUGUACACCUCGUGUAAAUUGAUGUUUGUCUUCAUAUUUUACACCAACAAAUGACAUUGAAGUUGUCAUUGAUAAAAGGGAAAAGGCAUGGCCUCCACACCAUGUGCUUGAAUCGUAUGGUUCAAGUUUAAAGAAUUUUCUCCAUAAUUUGAAGAUCUAAAACAUUUUCACCUUUAAAUUUCAUUUAAUUAUUAAUAUCUACAAAAAAUAGUUAAAUACUCUUUCUAUUUUUGAGUUGUUGAAUUUUUUGAAAGUUUUUAUAUUUGUUAUCAAGAAUUUAUAUUUUAUUAAGUGUGAAUAUUUAUAAAUAAGAUAUUAUAUAAUAUUUGGAUAAGAGAGAAUGGUGGAAUAUAAUAAAGUUUUAAUCCUUCCCAAUUUUUAUCUUUUUUUUUUUUUUUUUUUAUAAUCGCCUUUCUCUUUCAAUCCUAUUAUCAGGUACCUUAUAUUUGCUGAUGCUAUCUGGAACUAAAUUCCAAUCAGACAUUGUCCAAUUACUAAUAGGACAGAUCAUGUCUCUCUGUUUCUAAACUAACAUGUAUCGUAAUGUGGCCUCAUAAGGAAGGCUAGGAAGAUGGAGGAUUUUGUGGGAAGCGACCAGAAUCAGAUGGAAGAGAGAUAGCCCUGUUGACCUAAUGGCUGUAAUAGGAGAAGCGUGUGGAUUUAUGGGACUUAACUGAUACUAAACCUAUAUGAUGCUUGGAGUGGUGUUUCUUUCAUUUUGUUAAGAAAAUAUGGCAGCAUACAUCCUUUCAAUUGAGUGCAUCAGAGCAUCCAUAAUAGAUGGUCUGCAACCCUAGGUGCAUGCCACUUUCUGACUGAUAAUGAAACUGUCAGGUACUUGGCCUUGACUAAGCUCAACAGCAUCACAUAAAAAGAAGCUUUCAUACUUAGAUUACUGUUUAAAGCUUUUGCUUAUUUGCUUUCUUAAUGCCAUUAUGACAUUAUUGUUUCAAUUCUGCUACCGAUUUUCGAAGUUCUGGGCAUCUACUGAUUGCAUCAUUAUAUGAGAAGUUGCAUGAGUUUAUGUAUCCUGUUAUUGCUCCUUUGCGAUUUCACUGCUCACGGGACUAACCUCUCCAUUCAGUCGAAAUGAAUUGUAAUUUCUUUACUGGUAGCAGUAGUACUUUUCAUAGCAAAGAUAAUAGUAAAUAUGAAAUAUAAAUAGAAGGAAAUCUGAAUUGUAGAUGGCACUAUAAGUAACACUCAAUAUUCACUACAUAAUAAAAUAGACAGUGUUACAAAGGUAGAGAAACCUACAAUGAGUACUCAUCACCAUUCUCAAACAGAAACAUAGCAGCGACUUAUACAUAGAACCUAUAGGCUUGCAGGGAAAGAAGGGAAAGAGUAACAUGAUAAGUUCACAGCGGGUAGCAGCUCUUAUUUUACGUAUUACUCAAAAUCUCAAACUAACCAAAGUCACUCAGUUGGGAUGGGUAGGAGAUGGUGGUUUGUGGGGUGGCUUCUGGGUAGGAGCUGGUGGCUUCUUUGUUGGAGUUGAAGGAGGCGUAAUCUUCUGAGGUGGCUUGUAUGAGUCUUCGGCACUCUCUGCAGGAGGGUGCCCAGGGUUGUGACCGGAAGGAGGUGGCUUCUGUCCCUUUGGUGGUUUGCCUAAUGGGCUUGGUGGCUUGUGCUCCGGGAGUUGUUUCUCUCCCUCGAGUAGGUUUCGAGUUUUGUCAGAUGGCUUGUGUUCUGGUGGUGGCUUCUCUCCCUGGGGUGGUUUGCCGAAUGGGCUUGGUGGCUUGUGUUCGGGGAGUGGCUUCUCUCCCUGGAGAAGGUUACGAGUUUUGUCAGAUGGCUUUUGUUCUGGUGGUGGCUUCUCUCCCUGGGGUGGUUUGCCAAAUGGGCUUGGUGGCUUGUGUUCGGGAACUGGCUUCUCUCCCUUGGGAGGUUCAUUUGGUGGCUGGUGUUCCGUAGGUGGUUCCUUCACCGGCGGCUUGUGCUCCGGAAGCGGCUUCUCUACCUGGAGAAGCUUACGAGUUUUGUCAGAUGGCUUGUGUUGUGGUGGGGGCUUCUCUCCCUGGGGUGGUUUGCCAAACGGACUUGGUGGCUUGUGUUCGGGGAGUGGCUUCUCUCCAUUGGGAGGUUUAAUUGGUGGUUGGUGUUCCGUAGGUGGUUUCUGAAGUGGGGGAUGCUUGGGGUAGUCAGCAAGAGACGAGGUAGUGAGAACCACCAGUCCCAGCAGCAACACUAGCAAGGAUGUGGAAGACAUCUUUGAGUUCAGGCUGAGAUCU
rnacentral:lncRNA from 1 species